GUUCAUUUGCAUAUCCAAUACAUUAAGAGAAGUUAAUGUUCCCAGGCAUUGUGGAAUCAUACCUGUCAAAUUGUUGUGAGCCAAAUUGAGAACAUUCAGGUAACUUGCAUUGCAGAAUGUUGAAGAAAUAUCUCCUGUGAAGUUGUUAUUUGAGAGUGAAAAGUAUCCAAUGCCAUCAGGUGGAAUUGGAAGAUCUCCUUGUAACUUGUUGAAACUCAAGUCAAUGUACGAAAUCCCAUUCCAUGAGUUUUCCCAUUCCAUGAGCUUCUUAUGAAACCAUUUGGGAAUUUUCCCAUGAAUGUUGUUGUUGGAGAGAUCUAACGAUUGCAGAUUUGGUAGUUGCGCUAGGAAUUUAGGAAAACUAUUAAUAUUAGCAUUAGAUAAUUCUAAGUCAACAAGGUUGGGUAAGAUGGAGUCAACAUUGCUAUUAAUGUUGAUAGAAAGAAAACUAUUAUGGGAAAGAUCAAGGGAACCUAGUUUGUUUAAUUUUGAAAAUUGGUGAAAAUCCACAACACCACUUAAGUUUGUGGAUGACAAAUAUAAGUCGGUAAGAUUUUGGAGUUGAAAUAUUGAAUUUGGAAAAUGACCUUGUAGGUUGUUAUUAGAGAGAUCCAAAUAUUGCAAAGAAUAUGUUGAAAACUCACCAAUGAACCCUGUGAGGUGGUUGUUGCUGAGGUGUAACUCUAACAACGAAGGCAAAGAAUAACACCAAUGUGGAAUUGUUCCAUUUAACAUGUUAUCACUCAAACCCACAUAGCUCAAUUUUGAACGUUUUGUGAUUUCAAUUGGAAUUGGCCCAACUAGUUUGUUAUAUGAUAAACCUAAAAUAGAAAGGUGAGGUAGAUGAAAAAGUGAUGAUGGAACUUGGCCUGUUAGGUUGUUAGAGGAAAGUGAUAAAUAUUCCAAUUUGAUUAAAUUUCCAUAAACAUUUGGGAUGCUAGCACUAAAGUUAUUCAAUCCAAGAUCACAAUGAAUGAGGUGUUUGAGGUUUGAAAGUAAUGGUGAGAUCUCACCGUUAAGUUUAUUAUGUGAAAGAUCCAAAUAUGUUAGUUGGGUGAGGUUCCACAAAGAUAGAGGAACCAUUCCAUCAAAAUUGCAGAAUGAAAGGACUAAUUGAGUAAGAGACUUCAAUUGACCUAUGGAAUAAGGAAUUUCACCUGAAAAAGCAGAGAAAGAGAGGACCAAGUACCUUAGAGGAGUGCUCCAGUUGGACUUUGGAAGUUGACCACUAAGGUUAUCAUUAGAUGACAAAUCCAAUCUUUGAAGAUUAGGUAAAGAGAGGAUGUCACUUGACAAAUUUCCUUGCAACUCAGUUUCUGAUAGACUAAGAGAAACCAAAGAGGAUGACAAAUUCUUUAGCAUUGACAAAGAGCUCUCUCUGAUGGAAGACAUGUUCACAUUAUCCAAAUAAAGUUCCCUUAAAUUAGUAGCAUUAUGAAUGAGUUUCUUCCAAAUGAACGAAUUGAGUUUCAAUCCCACUUCUGCGGACCAGUAACUGCUAAGAUCAAGUGAUACUAAUUUUGACAAAUGAGAGAUUGUGGAAGGAAUAUUACCACUGAGGUCAGAGUAUGAUAGAUUUAGAUGUGUGAGUUUCACUAAAUCUCCAACACCAAUAGGUAUUGAAGACCAAGAAAAAUGAUUAAAAGCCAAGUUGAGUUGUUGAAGGUGUUUAAGCUGAAAGAUGGUGCUAUUGGGAUGUAAUUCACCUUUUAGAUUGUUGCAACUGAGGUCCAGACCAAUCACGUGAUCUGACAUGGUGUCGCACGUGACACCAUCCCACUCACAACAAUCUGUACUGUUUUCCCAAGAUUCUGUCUUGAAAGAAAAAGAAGAACGCGCAAAAUAGAGUUGAGAUGAAGUGCUGACAGAAAAAGAGUUUUUGAAUUGUAACAAGGCAGAGUUGUCAUGUUUGUUGCACAGUGAGAAAGUGUAGGAAGUAAAAUGAGUAAUCAACAACAACAAGAAAAAGUGAAAGGUAAAAUAAGGCAAUGGAAUAAAAAAGGAUCCCAUUUAGAGAAACUUACACUUAAUACUCUCUUCUCAGUAUUAUUUCCUUUUUCCUUUAUGAUAUGAUUUUGGAUGUACCAAUUGAUUUCCCUCUAUUUAGUUAUUUAUAUUCAAAGAAACUAAAGCAUUGAUAUAAGAUGGGUUUGUUUUGUAGUAAGUGCUGGUGCUUAUCUUCAACCGUAUGAGGCACUCCAGUUCGAAGAUUGAUUUUUUGUGGUUGCAAUUUUUUUGUAAUGGAGUACUAAUUGACGAUAACAUUCAUUUAUUACUAAUUGACGAUAACAUUCAUUCAUUAGUAUCCAUACAAACAUUUGGUGUAUAAUUAAGUGGUGCAUAAUUAAGAUAUGUAGGGUCAACCAAACAUUUAUCAAUUUAUUUUUGAGCAAAGUAAUAUAAAAUUACUUUAACAAAUUAAUUCUAAAGUUGAAUGAAGAGUUAUCUUUAAUUUAAAUGAAAUUAAGAAAAUUAAUUGAGCCAAUGAAUGAAAGUUAUUUUGCGUAGAAAACCGAGUAAACGUUUUAGAAAUUGAGUCUUGCGGUGCUCUUGUUUGGUAGUAGCUAGGGGAUGUCUUCUUCAACCGUAUGGAGCACUCCACUGGAAAUAUUUUUUGUGGUUGCAAUUUUAGUGAUACGAUAAUUAAUUCAUUAGCAUCCAUAGAAAUAUUACAAGACUUGACUUUAGCCAAAUGAGACAAUUCCAUGAAGAAAAAUGAUAUAUUGGAACAGAUAUUAUUAUUUUUUUAAUAGAAAGAUUUUGGAACACAUAUGUGACAUCAAACAAGAGACGUCUACACAUGUCCUUUUUUAAUAUUUAAAAAAAACUUUUUUAAAAUGGUGGAGAAUUAUUGUAACACAAAAAUUAAGUUGUGAUAUUAACUUUUUUUUCACGCGCAUGGCUAGUAGACAUGUCAUACAUGGAACCAUGAUGAUCUUGAGAUUUUUGAGUAAAUGACGUGCACCCACGCCAAAGGUUGACAGACAAAUCUGUUGUACCAUAAACUCGACCACGGGUACGACCCCCUGCAGACUCGGUCCACAACCCAAGUUUUGUUCCUCCAUCAGCCUCUUGCACACCAUCUCUAGUUGUUUCAUCAAUCUGGGCUUGUACUGUACUCAAAAGGAACGAACUAUGAAGUAGUUAAAUUAUAGUCUUAACCAUUGAUUUCAAUUCAAUAGUUAUAAAUAUUGUUUCUUAGUUUUUGCUCUGUUUCUAUUGUAAAUAUUGUUUGGACUUUGCUGGUUCUUUCUUAGUACAUCUUGUGCUAGGAAAGACUCAUUGUAAAUAUUGUUUGAUUUCGUAAUAUAUUCCAUUUUAGCUUCUUCAAAAAAAUUCAAUAGUUAUAAUUUUGCAUCAUAUUCGGAGCACUCAUCAUUUUAGAGGAGCCAAAUCCAAAAAUAGUACAUAUGACCAGGUGGAGGAUCUGAUGUAUUAACAAAUUUGCUCAAGAUUUGUAUCUCACUUUCUCAAAGGAAUAGUGAUCUCAUCUUCUAACUUCACUCACUAAAUAUCUGUCAGAAUUUGUAUAGACCGUAAAGAUUUUGAACUCUUGAUUGAAGGGUGUUUCCUCACUAUGAAAGGAAGUCAUGUUGUCUUAUUACAUUUAUCAUCUGGUUCAAAAUAUUGGAUUAGCAAAAGGCAAGUAAGUUUGACUCGACCUUAAAAGGUCAAUAUGUAUAGGUAGGUGAGAAGAUUCUCUUGAUUUUUAAUAUUCUUGCCACCAAAUUAUAGGAUUUUAAUGCAUAUUAAUGGCUACUUUUUCUUUUAAUUUGUGGGGAGAAUUAUUUUUAAGACAUUUGAUUGAACAGUUUAUGUUACAUUGGUUAAAUAGGUGGUACAAAAGUACUAGUUUUCAACCAUCACAUGUGGUGUUACAUUGGCAAUUUGAUUUCCUAGCCUCGUUUGUGGCAUUCUUUAUCGAUCGAGAUGUACACCAAGUAUUCUUUAUUCAAAUGUUUUUAUUUCUUUUAAAAUGGAGCGGGGAGUGAUUUAUAUAAACAGGGGAGGUAUAAAGAAACCAGCAAAAUAGAGUGUUGAUUUUGAGUAGAUAGGUACAAUAACUUGUUAUCUAACUAGUUAUUUUGGGAAUUGUUGGAACAUUGAUGUGAUGCUUGAUGAAAAAUUAGAAGAUUAAACAUCAAGUAAUUAUACUUUGAUAUAAUGUUGUGUGAAUUGAAAAAAUAGAGUGUGGGGUCCCACAUAAAAUAGAACACACACAUAUUAGUAGUGUUUAAAUUGUGGUAUUUAAUUUUAAAUACUUGAUAAUGAUAAAAAUAAUAGUAAUUAUUAUUUUAUUCGAGAAUAUCACUUUCCAUAAAUUUAGCUUAUGGUGGUUGUGAUAAGAAUAAUAAUUUAAUUAUUAUUAUAUUUCCUUCAUUCAAAUCCAAUAGUUUUUUUCCUCCACUUUUGUGGAUUUGUUUCUUUUGAUCCUAUCCACAAGUGUUGUUGAACUGAUUAAUAGAUAAACUCCAUUUUAAUCUUAUUCAUUAGAGUAACUGUUGUCGCAAUUUUUGCUAAAACAGUUACAGAAUCUCUAUAUAAAUAGAGGACUCCACUGAAGUAGAUAAAAUAGUCACAAGGAAGGGGGGGGGGGGGGGUUUGAAUUGUGACCCUUUAAAAAUUAAACCUGUAACUUAAAAUUGAUUCUCAAGUUGAAACUUGGAAUGGUUAAGUUAAAACAGACUUCAGAACGUUCUGAUGUCUGAUUGCAAAAACAGUUUAAUAAAGUAAAUGUGUUUGUGUUUGUUGUGUAUGCAGUAAGUAAAGAGUAUAGGGAAGAGAGAAUCAACACAUAGAGAAUUUAUAGUGGUUCACCCAAUGUGGGUUAGUCCACUCCUCACAAUCUUGUGAGAGUUUCCAUUAUGAUGCUUGAGAUAACCUCUCAAAUCCUGCACCUUACAUUCCUUGUUCACCUGAACAAUUACAACAUCUGUAUUCUCUAAGCCUCAGCAGACUUGCACCUUGUUGCUAAGUUAACCACUUAGACUUUUACAAACUCAGCUCAAACUAACACUUUAGUACCUCUAAAGCUAGAUGAGAUUUGUUUUUCUUCUUGCUAAGUUACCCACUUAGACUUUUUCUCCUUCUGCUCAAACUAACACUUUAGUACCCCUAAAGCUAGAUGAGACUUUCUUUUCUUCUUGCUAAGUUACCCACUUAGACUUUUGCACCUUUAGCUCAAACUAACACUUUAGUACCCCUAAAGCUAGAUGAGACUUUACAAGAUGUUUGAAGCUUGAAUGAUUGAAAUCAGACAAGAGAAGAAAGGAAGGAAGUGUUAUCUUUAAAGAGAUAACAAAGAGUAUUGAUGUGCACUAAGGAAACAAGAACCUUAGAGAUUGAUCAAUUUCAAUUUGCAAGAGCUUCAAACAAUCAAGUUGUUUUCUUGUAUGCUUUGCAAUUUGUUGUGGAGUUUGAAUGUUUGAGAAUCAAACAGAGGAGGAGGAAGAAAGUUAUCUUUGCACGAGAUAACUAAGAGUAUUGAUUUGCAUUAAGGAAACAAAAGUCUUAGAGAUUGAUAAAUUUCAAUUUGCAAGAGCUUCAAACAAUCUUUGUUGUUUUCUUGUAUGCUUUGCAAUGGUGCAAGUUUUGCUAAUUCCUUGAUCUCUAUUUAUAGAGUCUUUGGGCUCAUAUAGCCGUUGUAGGAUGUUCAAUGGUGUUAUGCCAUGUGUCCUAGGUCCCACAAGCUUUAACUUGAAAUUCUGGGCAAACAUUCUGAUCUCUGAUGAACAUCAGAAUGUUGUUGUGUUCAUGAUGAUCUUCAUCUGGGUUCAUCAUGUAUGAAUGAACACAUGAAGUUCUGGGCUAUGCAUAUGCUUUUCAUAUGAAUUUCUGGACAAUAACCAAUGUAUGGACUUUUCUUCAUACAUCAGAAUGUUCCUUUCCCAGAUUUUGCCUUGGGUGUAACGCCCUAGUUAUUUAAUUAAUUAUUUUAUUAUGAGGAGUAUAUAUAUAUAUAUAUAUAUAUAUAUAUAUAUAUUAUUAUAUAUGAUGUUUGGUGAUUUAUGUGGAGUAUAUGCAUAUAUUUAUUCAUAUGUGAUUUUUGGAUGUUCUAUGUGGUACAUUAUUUUACUAUAUGGUUUAGUUAAUAAUAAUUAAAAUAAGUAUGAAAUAUUAGUUAUUUUGGAGUUUGGAGAGUUAUUUAAUAAUUAUUAAAAUUCAUGGGGAGCUAAUAGAAAUAUUAGGGAGUUAAGUAAUGGGAAGUUAGGAAAAGAGAAGUUAGAAGCUUUGUACGUGAAAACUGUCAAGUUGGGAGAAAGGGAGAGAAGAGCAAGUAUAACCCAGAGAAUUCAAUUGCUGUGCAUUUCUUCUGCAAUUUUAAGGUAAGGGUGGGAUUUACUUCAAGUAUGUAGUUAUUGAAUUCUGAUUUUGUGUUUAACAGAGUGUUGGUGAGAAUUUGGGAAAUUGGGUUUUUAUGAUAAAAUGAUGAUUUUGAAGUUGUAAGCAUGAUUUUGGGGUUAGAAUUAGGUUCUGGUUGCAUAGAACACUUAAUUAUGUAUCUGUAAACUGAUUUGGGGAGUGAUUGGAAGAAAAAUGGGAUUUUGGGGAAAAACCAGUUUUCUGCCCGUACUGAUGUUCAUUGCUCGCCUCGCGAGCAUUCAUGUCUCGCCUCGCGAGUGAACAACAUCAUUACUCGCCUCGCGAGCAAUCCAACUCGCCAUGGCGAGUAGCCCAGAAUAAAACUUGAUUUUUGAAAAGUUGUUAUAAGAUGUUUUGGGGAUGGUUUAAGGUACCUAGAUGAUUUUAAUGAUGAAUGGUGGAAGUUUUAGGUUAAAAAGAUGAAUAGGGAACUUAGAAAUGGAGUUUGAGUGAGAAAAUGUCACUUUUUCCCGAGAGCACCCGUUUUUCACUCGCCUCGAGUUCGCCUUGAACUCGCCAUGGCGAGAUAGGAAUUUUGUGAACUCGCCAUGGCGAGCAGAUGUGCUCGCGAGGCGAGCUAGUGCAGUUUGAGUGCAGUUUUGCUUGCUUGAUUAAUGAGGUUUGAGUGUUGUUGUUUAAGCAUAAUCGUAUUUAAUUGUGCAUCAUUAUGAAUGGUUGAAUCUCUGUUGGAUGUUGAUUGAUGAUGAGGAAUGUAUUGUAUGUUUUAAAUAUUAAUCAUACAUGUUGUUUUAAUUGGAGUCACAUGGAGUUGCAUUGCAUGGUCAGUUGUAUGUAGAUAUACACAAGUAGGUCCAUUGCAUAUGCAUAAAACAGCGGUGAGGGCUUCGGUCCUGGAGUACUAGUUACUCAACAGCGGUGAGGGCUUCGGUCCUGAUGAAUGCUUUAACCAUUCAAAAGCGGUGAGGGCCUCGGUCCUGAUUGGUACCACAUGCAUAAUUGCAUUUCAUUAAGAAGUCUAAGAUGGUGUCUUAGCAGUGGUCAUGUCAUUUGCAUGGGUCUCGGUUGUUAUUUCAGUUAUUACCUGGUUGAUGUUGAUGUUGGAUAUACAUUCAUAUAUAUAUGUAUUCAUUGUGGUUUUGGUGUAUUGUUGAUGUUGUUGAAGUUAUGUACAUUGUAUACAUACCUGUUAAAUGGAUGAUUAUGAUGAUGUUGCUGUGUCUUGUGAAUAGUUAUGAAUAUUACAAAAUGUUAUAUUUGAAGUUAUAGGGUGUUAGAUUCAUUUGAAGAUUUAAUAUCUAUAUUGUUGUUGUGAAUCUCACCCCUUCUGCUUGAAAACGUUGCCCUUCCUAUGGGUAACUUGCAGGUGAUCCUGAGUAGUUGGUGGUGGCUCAUUGUCGUGUCUAGGGCUCUGAUACGUGGGAUGGGAAUAUUGAUUAUCUUUGUUGUUGUUGCUUUUCCUUUCCAUGUAUCAAAUUUUGGAACUUGUGGUGUGGAGCCUUUUGUUGUCUUUGAACUAUGAUGUUGGAUUAUGUUAAGGCCUUUAAUGCCAUAGACUUUUGUUGGAUGUUCAUGAUGAGAUGGAUUUUGAAAACUAUUCCGCUGCUAUGUUUUCAUUUAUAAUAAGUUGAUUCGAUUUAAAUAGUUUUAUUUUCUAUUUAAGAAUUUUGAAAUGACGUGUAGCAUGCCCGUUGCGGGAUUACUCUGAUGUUUAUAUGCUAUUUAAUUGCUUUUGGGUAACGGGGUGUUACAAUUUGGUAUCAGAGCAGGUUGGUCCGUCCGGCCAAGUAGUAGAGUCUUGUUGAGCCACCUAGGAUAGAGUGUCAACUUUAAUGUUGCUUUUUGUUGUUGUCUUGUUGUUUGUUUGUUGUGUCUUGGUAUGAACUGGUUGGAGAAUAAUCAUGUUCAUAUCAAUUGGUUUAGUAAGACGGUGUACUUUACUUCUGCCGGAGAAGAGAGUAAAGCUGAGUUUGUGACUACGAAGCAGUUGUAGGAGUUGUUGAAUGAAGGUACUUCAGUGGUUGCUUUGACGACGUCUUUGUCGGUAGAAAAUCAAGCUGUGAUUGAUGGUUUACCUGUAGUGAAUGAAUUUCCAGAAGUAUUCCCUGAUGAGAUUCCUGAUGUGCCACCAGAGAGGGAGGUUGAAUUUUCAAUUGAUCUUGUUCCAGGAACUAAGCCGGUGUCGAUGGCACCGUACCGUAUGUCAGCUUCUGAGUUGGCUGAGUUGAAGAAACAGUUGGAGGACCUGUUAGAUAAGAAGUUUGUAAGACCCAGUGUUUCACCUUGGGGAGCACCGGUGUUGUUGGUCAAGAAGAAGGAUGGUAGUAUGAGACUGUGUAUAGAUUACCGUCAGUUGAACAAAGUUACGAUCAAGAACAGGUAUCCGCUUCCUAGAAUUGACGACUUGAUGGAUCAAUUGGUUGGUGCUAAGAUUUUUAGUAAGAUUGAUUUGAGGUCUGGUUAUCAUCAGAUAAAGGUGAAGGAUGAGGAUAUGCAGAAGACGGCCUUUAGGACACGUUAUGGUCAUUACGAGUACAAAGUGAUGCCUUUCGGUGUUACUAAUGCGCCUGGUGUUUUUAUGGAAUACAUGAAUCGAAUUUUCCAUGCCUUUCUGGAUAAGUUUGUUGUGGUAUUUAUUGAUGAUAUUCUAAUCUAUUCCAAGAAUGAGGAGGAACACGCAGAGCAUCUGAGAAUAGUGUUGCAAGUGUUGAAGGAAAAGAGGUUGUAUGCUAAGUUAUCAAAAUGUGAGUUCUGGUUAAAUGAAGUAAGUUUUCUGGGUCACAUUAUUUAUGGUAGUGGUAUUGCAGUGGAUCCUUCAAAGGUUGAUGCGGUAUCACAAUGGGAGACUCCGAAGUCGGUAACUGAGAUCAGAAGUUUUCUGGGUUUGGAUGGUUAUUACUGCAGGUUCAUAGAAGGGUUUUCGAAGUUGGCUCUUCCGUUGACACAGUUGACCUGUAAGGGUAAGUCUUUUGUGUGGGAUGCCCAGUGUGAGAGUAGUUUCAAUGAGUUGAAGCGAAGAUUGACAACUGCUCCUGUUUUGAUUUUGCCUAAACCAGAAGAACCGUUUGUUGUAUACUGUGAUGCAUCUAAGCUGGGCUUAGGUGGUGUUUUGAUGCAAGAUGGUAAGGUGGUAGCAUAUGCUUCUAGGCAGUUACGUGUUCAUGAGAAGAAUUAUCCUACACAUGACCUGGAGUUAGCUGCGGUGGUUUUUGUUUUGAAAAUUUGGAGGCAUUAUUUGUACGGAUCCAGAUUUGAGGUGUUCAGUGAUCAUAAAAGUUUGAAGUAUUUGUUUGACCAGAAGGAACUGAACAUGAGGCAGAGGAGGUGGUUAGAGUUAUUGAAGGAUUUUGAUUUUGGCUUGAAUUACCAUCCUGGUAAGGCCAAUGUGGUUGCUGACGCUUUAAGUAGGAAAACUUUGCACGUGUCUGCUUUGAUGGUGAAGGAGUUUGAAUUGUUAGAACAGUUCAGAGACAUGAGUCUUGUCUGUGAAUUGUCACCCCAGAGUAUACAGUUGGGAAUGUUGAAAAUUGAUAGUAACUUCUUAAACAGUAUCCGAGAAGCUCAGAAAGAGGAUUUGAAGUUUGUUGAUUUGAUGACUUCUGGUAAUGACACUGAGGAUAGUGAUUUCAAAGUUGAUGAUCAGGGUGUACUGAGGUUCAGAGGUAGAGUUUGUAUUCCUGACAACGAAGAGUUGAAGAAAUUGAUUCUUGAGGAGAGUCACAAGAGUAGGUUGAGUAUUCACCCAGGAGCUACGAAAAUGUACCAUGAUUUGAAGAAACUGUUUUGGUGGUCCGGUAUGAAAAGGGAUGUUGCUCAGUUUGUUUAUGCCUGUUUGGUUUGUCAGAAGUCCAAGGUUGAGCAUCAGAAGCCUGCAGGGUUGUUGACACCGUUAGAUGUACCAGAGUGGAAGUGGGACAUUAUCUCUAUGGAUUUUGUAACGAGUUUACCGAACACUCCGAGAGGGCAUGACGCUAUUUGGGUUGUUGUCGACCGGUUGACAAAGUCGGCACAUUUCAUUCCUAUUAAUAUCAGUUAUCCGGUAGCGCAGUUAGCAGAGAUUUAUAUUCACAGUGUGGUGAAGCUUCAUGGUGUUCCGUGUAACACCCCGUUUUCCCAACAUAAAAAUUCUUAAAAACAUUUAUCAGAGUAAGCAUCAUAAACAACGGGAUAUCACAUAAAACUUAAUCCAAAACAGUCAAAUAAUAAUUUAACCAAUAUCUUAAACAUUGCAGCGGAAAUUCAUAAAACGUUUUGGCACGCAGGCCCCAUCAAAAGUUCAUAAUCAUAAUCCAUAACAUUAUAAAAAUAACAUAUUAGUCACGUAAGAGAAUGAAGCAUGCAUAAACAUAAACCCCAUCCCGUUACGUAUCAGAGCGACCUAGACGACACAGUGAAGGCAAGGCCACUCACGACGGCAACUGCACACUAAGCACGAUCACCUGCAAGUUACCCAUACGAAGGGCAACAUUUUCAAGCAGAAGGGGUGAGAUUUCAUAAUACAAUAACAUUAAUCAAUGUAAUUGAGAAUCAUAAAUUAACAUCAUAUUCAUUCCAUUACUAACUUUGCAUAAUUGCUAAACAGUUAUCACGUAAUCAUAUAUCCAAUCAUUAGGAAUAACAUAUCAUAAUCAAUAAACACAUAUCACGUAAUCACAUAAUCAAUCAUCAUCAACAAGGCAUCUUAAUCAUGACACUGUGACAAUGCUCUUAGACUCCUUAUAUGCAUGUGGUACCAAUCGUCAUCAUAAGUAUUAAUAUACUUUAAUCGUGCGGAGGACAAAGCUCCUAUAAAACGUGCGGAGGACAAAGCUCCUAAUAUUCGUGGUGAGGACUAAGCUCAAUGAUAUGCUAUGCAUGGACACUUAUGAACAAAACACGUAAUCAUCGUAAUCAACAUGCAUCCAAUAAUUUGGAGCUAAACCUUAUCAUAUACAUAUGCACUUAGUUAAAUAACAGAAGCAGCAUAAACAAGUCACACAGCAAGAUGAUAUCAUUAUAUCAAUAGCACAUAAAUUGCAUUAUUAUCAAACCUUCGUAUCUUGCAUGAAUAUACAAUACAUUAGAUCAUACUCAAUUAAUAUCAAUAUAGUCUUAAACAACUCUACAGGCUGCAUUAAACGUCAUCACUAGGUCUCAAUACCAAUUAGGGGUUCACUCUUGAUCAACACAUGCGACACAGAUCGCACAAACACUCAAGCAACUACAUUCUGGUUGUACUCGCGAGGCGAGAGUACUUACUCGCCAUGGCGAGUAACACUGAUUCUCCCAAACUGAUGUUGUUCUGGGUUCAAUCCUGUCCUAAAAUCAUUCCUAAUCAAUACUAGGUAUGUUAUGGUACUCAAAGGCAUACAAGGUUCAACUAAAAAGGUCGAAACACGAAAUAUGACAUGCUCUCUGCCUAAGCUCGCGAGGCGAGGAAAGGUUGCUCGCCAUGGCGAGUUGCACCAGACAACUCGCGAGGUGAAGGGGAAAGGCUCGCGUGGCGAGCGAUGAAUCUUCAUCACUCGCGGGGCGAGGAUCAUAGCUCGCCGUGGCGAGCGAUGAAUGUCGCUACGGCCAGGCUUCCUAAAAUCACAAAAAUCCGACGUUUCACAUGGUUCUAAGCUUGGUUUUGAUUCCAGAAUUCAUCCUAAACAUAUUCUAAGGUUACAGGACAAUUCUUACAUCAAUCUAAACAAGUUUUACCGUUUAUUCUCAAAUUCUAGGGUUUUGACCUAAUUCCAAAACUUCUCUGAAUCAAUCCUAACUUGUCAACUAAUCAUCAGAAUUACAGAGGUUAAUGCUACUGAGUUAUUAGUCCCACCCUUACCUGGUUAUGAAGAAAAUCGCAGCCCUCUUGGUCUCUUGCUCCUCUCUAAGCUUUUUCUCCCUUUUCCAAAAGUUUUCACGUACAAUCAGUUUUUCUAACAAUUAGGUCUUCCCUAUUUAUAUCUCUUCCUAAUUACUUAUCUUAUCUCAAUUUCUCCCCCAAAACUAUCUAAAAUAUCAAAACAGCCCUCAACUAAAUAUUUUAUAUUAUUUUCAAAUCUUUAUUCUAUUUAUCAAUAAAAUAAAUCUCAUAUCAUAAUCAAAUCCUCCAAAACUCAUAACUUAUCACGUCAUCAAUCAUAUCAUCAAAACAUAUCAAAAUCAUGCAUAUAUUAUAUAAUUAUAAUAUAAUUGCCUAAACUCGAUUAAAUAACUAUUAAACGAAAGUGGGCGUUACAUUCCGUCUAGCAUUGUGUCGGAUAGAGAUCCGAGGUUCACUUCUAGGUUCUGGAAAAUUUUACAGGACGCCUUGGGUUCGAAGUUGAAGUUGAGUUCGGCUUAUCAUCCUCAAACAGAUGGUCAGUCGGAGAGGACAAUUCAAUCAUUGGAAGAUUUGUUGAGAGUGUGUGUGCUUGAGCAAGGUGGAGCUUGGGAUAGUCACUUGCCUUUGAUUGAGUUUACUUAUAACAACAGCUAUCACUCGAGUAUUGGUAUGGCACUGUUCGAAGCCUUGUAUGGUCGGAGGUGCAGGACUCCUUUAUGCUGGUUUGAGUCGGGUGAAAGUGUUGUGUUGGGACCGGAUUUGGUACAUGAGACUACUGAGAAAGUAAGGUUGAUAAGAGAAAAGAUGAAAGCUUCGCAGAGUCGACAGAACAGUUACCAUGACAAGCGAAGAAAGGAUCUUGAGUUUCAGGAGGGUGAUCAUGUUUUUUCUGAGGGUCACUCCUUUGACGGGUGUUGGACGUGCUUUGAAGUCGAGGAAGUUGACUCCUAAGUUUAUUGGUCCGUAUCAGAUUUCUGAGAGAGUUGGUACUGUGGCAUAUAGAGUUGGUUUGCCACCACAUCUUUCGAACUUGCACGAUGUGUUUCAUGUUUCUCAGCUUCGGAAGUAUGUUGCGGAUCCUUCUCAUGUGAUUCCGAGGGAUGAUGAUGUACAGGUUAGAGACAACCUGACAGUUGAGACUAUGCCAUUGAGGAUUGAUGACAGGAAGGUGAAGUCCUUGAGAGGUAAAGAAAUACCUCUUGUGAGAGUCGUUUGGGGUGGAGCGACUGGUGAAAGUUUGACUUGGGAGCUGGAGAGUAAGAUGCGGGAGUCGUAUCCGGAGUUGCUUGCUUGAGGUAAGAUUUCAAGGACGAAAUUCUGUAAUUUGGGGAGAGUUGUAACGCCCUAGUUAUUUAAUUAAUUAUUUUAUUAUGAGGAGUAUAUAUAUAUAUAUAUAUAUAUAUAUAUAUAUAUAUUAUUAUAUAUGAUGUUUGGUGAUUUAUGUGGAGUAUAUGCAUAUAUUUAUUCAUAUGUGAUUUUUGGAUGUUCUAUGUGGUACAUUAUUUUACUAUAUGGUUUAGUUAAUAAUAAUUAAAAUAAGUAUGAAAUAUUAGUUAUUUUGGAGUUUGGAGAGUUAUUUAAUAAUUAUUAAAAUUCAUGGGGAGCUAAUAGAAAUAUUAGGGAGUUAAGUAAUGGGAAGUUAGGAAAAGAGAAGUUAGAAGCUUUGUACGUGAAAACUGUCAAGUUGGGAGAAAGGGAGAGAAGAGCAAGUAUAACCCAGAGAAUUCAAUUGCUGUGCAUUUCUUCUGCAAUUUUAAGGUAAGGGUGGGAUUUACUUCAAGUAUGUAGUUAUUGAAUUCUGAUUUUGUGUUUAACAGAGUGUUGGUGAGAAUUUGGGAAAUUGAGUUUUUAUGAUAAAAUGAUGAUUUUGAAGUUGUAAGCAUGAUUUUGGGGUUAGAAUUAGGUUCUGGUUGCAUAGAACACUUAAUUAUGUAUCUGUAAACUGAUUUGGGGAGUGAUUGGAAGAAAAAUGGGAUUUUGGGGAAAAACCAGUUUUCUGCCCGUACUGAUGUUCAUUGCUCGCCUCGCGAGCAUUCAUGUCUCGCCUCGCGAGUGAACAACAUCAUUACUCGCCUCGCGAGCAAUCCAACUCGCCAUGGCGAGUAGCCCAGAAUAAAACUUGAUUUUUGAAAAGUUGUUAUAAGAUGUUUUGGGGAUGGUUUAAGGUACCUAGAUGAUUUUAAUGAUGAAUGGUGGAAGUUUUAGGUUAAAAAGAUGAAUAGGGAACUUAGAAAUGGAGUUUGAGUGAGAAAAUGUCACUUUUUCCCGAGAGCACCCGUUUUUCACUCGCCUCGAGUUCGCCUUGAACUCGCCAUGGCGAGAUAGGAAUUUUGUGAACUCGCCAUGGCGAGCAGAUGUGCUCGCGAGGCGAGCUAGUGCAGUUUGAGUGCAGUUUUGCUUGCUUGAUUAAUGAGGUUUGAGUGUUGUUGUUUAAGCAUAAUCGUAUUUAAUUGUGCAUCAUUCUGAAUGGUUGAAUCUCUGUUGGAUGUUGAUUGAUGAUGAGGAAUGUAUUGUAUGUUUUAAAUAUUAAUCAUACAUGUUGUUUUAAUUGGAGUCACAUGGAGUUGCAUUGCAUGGUCAGUUGUAUGUAGAUAUACACAAGUAGGUCCAUUGCAUAUGCAUAAAACAGCGGUGAGGGCUUCGGUCCUGGAGUACUAGUUACUCAACAGCGGUGAGGGCUUCGGUCCUGAUGAAUGCUUUAACCAUUCAAAAGCGGUGAGGGCCUCGGUCCUGAUUGGUACCACAUGCAUAAUUGCAUUUCAUUAAGAAGUCUAAGAUGGUGUCUUAGCAGUGGUCAUGUCAUUUGCAUGGGUCUCGGUUGUUAUUUCAGUUAUUACCUGGUUGAUGUUGAUGUUGGAUAUACAUUCAUAUAUAUAUGUAUUCAUUGUGGUUUUGGUGUAUUGUUGAUGUUGUUGAAGUUAUGUACAUUGUAUACAUACCUGUUAAAUGGAUGAUUAUGAUGAUGUUGCUGUGUCUUGUGAAUAGUUAUGAAUAUUACAAAAUGUUAUAUUUGAAGUUAUAGGGUGUUAGAUUCAUUUGAAGAUUUAAUAUCUAUAUUGUUGUUGUGAAUCUCACCCCUUCUGCUUGAAAACGUUGUCCUUCCUAUGGGUAACUUGCAGGUGAUCCUGAGUAGUUGGUGGUGGCUCAUUGUCGUGUCUAGGGCUCUGAUACGUGGGAUGAGAAUAUUGAUUAUCUUUGUUGUUGUUGCUUUUCCUUUCCAUGUAUCAAAUUUUGGAACUUGUGGUGUGGAGCCUUUUGUUGUCUUUGAACUAUGAUGUUGGAUUAUGUUAAGGCCUUUAAUGCCAUAGACUUUUGUUGGAUGUUCAUGAUGAGAUGGAUUUUGAAAACUAUUCCGCUGCUAUGUUUUCAUUUAUAAUAAGUUGAUUCGAUUUAAAUAGUUUUAUUUUCUAUUUAAGAAUUUUGAAAUGACGUGUAGCAUGCCCGUUGCGGGAUUACUCUGAUGUUUAUAUGCUAUUUAAUUGCUUUUGGGUAACGGGGUGUUACAUUGGGACCGGUGCAGGAAGAUAUAGUGGGAUUCUGCAUCUUCAUGCCCAUGCUUUGAGGGAUUGUGUGGUCCUUGUACUGUACCAACUCCCAUAUGUGUCUAUCUCUUAUUGAUCAAGACAGAUUUGCUUUUUGCUUUUCACCUACUGUACUGUUCAUAAAGUAAGCAUGUGCUGAGCUGAACAUUCUGACCAUCAGAAUGUUUAAUAUUCAUAAUGUUCUUCAUCUGGGUUCAUCAAGGAUGAAUGUCUGAUGAGUUUCUGGGUCCAUCCAAUACGUGACAUGAGAUUUGUUCAAGUUUUAUCCUUCAAAAGUUACUUCUCCAUUGCAUCAAAAGUUGCUUGAAAAAGUAGGAUAAAGUUGAUUAAAUCUGUCUUGGAUUUGGUGCAGGAAAGAGAGGAUAGUGGAUCUGCAAUCUUCAGGCCCAUGCUUCAAGGAGAUUUGCUUGAUUCAUCUCAGAGUACACGUUAUCUUUGAUGCAAGAUCUCUUUUGCUAGCUUUUCCAUCUUUCCACCAACUACACUGUUCAUGGCUGGAAGCAUGUGCAGAAGUGAACAUUCUGAUCUCAGAAUGUUCCAUUUGUUCUUACUUUAGGUUGAUUUAUAAGACUUAACUUUUAAUGUAAUCAAACCUAAUAGUAAGAUACAACUGAAGUGCAGUGAAUGCAUCAUCUAGGACAAUAUUCUCUUUGGAAUAUUCCUAGUACUUUAAUGUUCAUAGUCUUGGAUGAACAUUAAAGAUCCUUUUGACAUAGAUCCUUGUCCAUGCCUUUAUUUGUUGAUAGAUCCAUGCAGAUGUACUUUUCUGGACCUUUUAUUCAUGUCAAGUGUACUUGCAUGCUCUUCACGUUCUUGAUGAAUCUGGGUAGCUUCUGAACAACCUUCUGAACUGGGUUGCUUCUGAACUCUCAUCAGAACGUUCUGAUCAACUCUCUGAUCAACAUUCUGAACUAACUUUCUGAACUUCAGAAUUAGUUCAUGGAUUCAAUGUCCUUUGAUUUUAUGCAUCUUGGUAUGAUUCAAACCUUGUUCUUGUCUUAGUGAAAACACUCAAGAGCACAAGUUAAAUACCAAGGAAUUAAUCAAAGUCCAUUUAAUCCUUAAUCAUUAAAGUUUAUUAUCUUUAAAAUUAAUUAGGGAUUUUGCCUCAACAUCCACUUAAUUCAAAAACACACUGAAAUUCACAGUUGACGUUCCUGUGUUUUUCAUCUCUUCUCCUUCCUUCGACUUGUGUUGACAAGUCCUUCUCCUUUUUCUACUCCUUUCUGUCCCUUUGGAAAUAAGAGUGUUCUUAAGACCAUAGUCCCUUUUCGGUUUAAUGUCCCUUCGGAAUUAAGAAUGGUCUUGAAACAUAGUCCAUUCGAUAAUAUAUGUCCCUUCAGAAUAAAGAGUACUUUUAAGAUCAUAGUCCCUAUUUGGAAUAACAAUGUCCCGUCGGAAUUAAGAAUGAUCUUAACGGUAUAUAUAAAAAGUAUUUCAAUAUUUUUCUAUUUGAGGAGAAAUGGUGGUAUCACCAUAUUUAAGUGGUCGUAGUACCAUAUUGAUAGUUUAGAGAACUUAAAGUUAGAAUGAUAUUAACACCAUAUUUGAGUGGUCUCAACAUUUGUAGCAGUGCUUGUUUUAUCCUGGAGGUGGCGUGGUUGAUAGUCUGCCUUGCACAAUUUUGGACAAUUUCGUGACUCAACCUAAUACAACUUCGGUAGAUAAUAGAAUUUGGAAAUCCAAAUACAACAAUUUGAAAAUCCAAAAACAACAUAAAUGUAGUUAAACUUAUUAUUUUCAUAUAGUACUAAGUUGUUUUCAUUAGCCGUCAUUGGAAGCUUGCAGAAAUAAGCUAUAAAUAGCUUAUGGACAUCAUGCCAUGUUAUAAGUCCUCCUUAAUACUUAAAUGAUCACUUAUGUCAUAAGGUAAACCUAAAUAAACUGUAAACUAUAUAUCAUUUUCAGUGUAGUUCCUAGUUUCAUCAUUAUUGGUGUAUUGGAUUACAGUUGGAUGCGGUCAAUUUGGUUCUGUUUGGACUUAAUGCUAUCUUAAGUAAAUUAGUCUAAUCUAGUAAUUUAAUUGUUAAAGAAGUGCAUUGUGCAUGAUAUGUUGUGUUGUCAUGAUAUGCUAUGCCUAUUUCAUAGUGCAUGUAAGACUUGCAACAAGAAAGUUACCGAAAGCACGGGUCAGAAUUGCUAUAUGCUCAGAAUGGGGCAGAAGUGUCUUCUUAAGCUACUUAGAGGCAACCUGAGCUUGAUUGAAGCAAGGAGCAAUAUUUAGGAAGCAGGUAAUGUUUUAUGCUCUUGAAAUUGCAAUCACAAGUUUGAAGUCGUGAUUGUUGUAUUUAUUUGUUGAUUGAUUUCGAAAUUCAUGCUGCAGGCACGUGAGAAGUUUAUGUCAUUGAGAAAAAGCACUAAGUUUGAUGAUGCCACUGCCACAGAUGAGGGAAGUCCAGUGGCUCAUAUUUGGCAUAGUUUUGACUCUAGGUUCAUGUCAAAAUAGGAAGCUUGUUUCAAUAUGGUAAUAUUAGUGGACUGUAUCAUUGAAUAUUCUGUGAUUUUUUUUCUAUAAUUUUUAUUUUUAUGGUUCUGAAAUACAUUAUUUUUUUUAAAUAAAUAAACCAAUUUUUUGCCGAAUUACCAACGGAUUGGUGUUCUAUUUUAACGUUUCAUCGCGCUUACGGGCAAGAGGACUCCUCAAAACCUGACCGAAUGUUUACUGAGAUUUUUUCACUUUUUUUGCGGAUGUACUUUUCUUGCAGAUCCUAAAAUCCUAAUGGGUGUUUGGAUUGAGGGUUUAGGAGGGGAGGUGGACCGUCAAUAUAUUCCUAAGGGUCUAAAAGCUAUCUAGAAAGGCUCAGGCAUCCUCCGGGAGGGCUCCUAAAGUCUAGGCGCCGCCUUAUCCAACUUCUAGAAACACCUAGAACUGGGUGAAAAGACCCAAAGCCCAACUUAAUUAGGGCUUAAGUCACACUAUAACCAGCCCACAAAGGGCUAUAAAUACCACUAUUGAGAUCAUUCUUAAGGCAUCACAUAAACAGAAAGGGAGAUGAUAGUUUACUUUUCGUUUUUAAAUUAUGGACUAUAUAAAAGUUUUUUAAAAAUAAAUUAUGUGUGAUUGAAGUAUUAUAUGAUCGUUUAUCAUGUUAAUAUGUUAACUUUUUAUAAAACAUUUCAGUGUCUGUAGUUUAAAAAUGAAAAGUAAACCAUCCUCUCCCUUUCCCUCGUAAACCCUCCAUCCAAACACACCCUAAGGAAACAACUACCCACGAAGGUAUUACCUGGGAAUCAAAAUCCUUAGCAAAAUCUGUAGGAGACCCUUUUCUUGCGGAAUUUGUACCAAAAUUCGUAGAAAAAUCGAGAAUUUAUAGUAGUAUAAGUAUAUGUACAUGGAGUACAAUUUUAGACAUCCGCAACAUGCUUUACACAUAAAUAUACACAUAAGUUCAUUGUCAAAUGUCACAGUAAAUAAGUCAAAGGUCACAGUAAAUAACAAGUUUCAUGUUGACAAAGGGACAGGGGCGGAGCCACCCCCUCAGCUCCAAUUUUCUUUCUAGCAAGUCCAGCUAUUACUAGAACUUUUAUCUUUUCCUGCGGAGUUACCUGCGAAUUGUUAUGUAAAUUUCAUAGGAAACACAUUUCCUGUAGAUUCCGCAGGAAAUGUGAAAUUAUUCGCAGGAAGGAAGUAACAUUUUGCAAUAAUUUUUUUGCCCAGGCUCUAUAAAAUUUCUGGCUCCACCACUGGAGACACCAAUAUAUCUAAUUGUUACGGUUAACAUUAAAAAAUGGGUUCUUUUUCAAAAAACAUUAAAAAAAUGGGUUAAAUAAUGUUUUACUCCCGAUAUUUGAGCGAGUUUUGAAAAAAUCCCUGUAAAAUAAUUUUUUAUAGAUCCCCUUUGUAAUUUAAAAAGGAGAAAACUUAGGUACAAUUCAUUCCGUGCUUUUUGUACGGUUCUUAACUAAAUUCACCAUGACUUCCUCAAAUUCAUAAUUUUCUCAAAGUUUGUUAUAACAAAAAAAUAUGUAUUUUUAGUCAAGAACCAUACAAAAAGCAGAAUUGUACCUAAGUUUUCUCCAUUUAAAAAUUCCAUCUAAAACAACUUUGACCUCAGCUGACUAGGCAACUAAACUAAUGUGGCACGCUGACUGGACAAAUUAGUUUAUCUUUCAAUUUUUUUAAAAUCCAUCUCACAUUUUUGAAAAAAAAUUAAAAUGAAAAUUAGAUUAUUAUUAUAAAACAAAAGGAAGAAUCGCAAAACCUAAUGUGCUUUUUCAUUAACUAAAGCACAUUAAUGCACUUCAUUCCCCCCCUAAUGUUUUUAACUAAAGUCAAAACCUAAUGAAAAACAUUAAUCGCAAAACCUAAUGAAAAACAUUAAUCGCAAAACCUAAUGUUCUUAACUAAAGUCAAAACCUUUGCUCAAAAAAAACUAAAGUCAAAACCUAAAGUACUUCUUCAGAAUAGCAAAACAUUUUUUUUUAUCCCCUUCUAAAACCUAAAUAAAUAACUAGAAAAAAAAAAAAGGAAAAUAGAAGAAGAACUGACGGAAGAAAAAGAAAGAUGCAAGAAGGAAGAAGAAGAAUCGACGGAAGAAGGAAAACGAGGGUUAGGCUUUACAUAAACUCCAUAUUUGCAUGAUAACCUAUGUGGAACAUACUUUAUUAAUGAUACCCUUCUUAAAACAGCGUUAUAUGCUUGCUGAGAGUACUAAAGAAUUAGUGGAAACAAGGAAGAGUAAGAAAGGAUUAUGUUGUACCAAAUCCUCACUAGUUAAUUUGAUGAGGUCAAUGCUGUUUUUUAUGGAGAGAAAAAAAAUGAAAGGGGGAUCUAAAUUUUUUAUUUCACAGGGGUUUUCAGAAAGGGAGAAAACAUUAAUUAACCCCUUAUAUUCAAACCAAAAAUUUUAGAGGCUGGAAGAUCUUGGUGUGUGUGAUUUGAAUCUGCUUCAUUUGCAAAAAUGUUGGGCUGAAAAACAAAAAUUGUUUCAUGUUUGAUCUGAAGACUGAAGAUUGUUUAGGACACAAGACACAAAUGAGACAGGACAAAAAUAAGGGUCUUUGUGAGAAAUAGCAAAUCAUUAUUGAGAAGAAUAAAUUAAAAUUCAACUUUAAGAGAAAUAAAUCGACACAAUUUUCAAUAUAGAAAUUCUAAUUUUAGUACAUUAACAUGUGCCCUAAAAAUAAACAAUUAUUUAGUGCCACACCAACACUUCUCAACACUUUCUGAUCAAUUGAAAUUUAAAUGGGUCUAUGUUUAUGCCGGGUUUAUAUUAUUUAGUGAGAUACAUUUAAUUUUUAUUCGAUUAGAGUGUGUUAAAGCGAGUGUUUGAAAGUGAGUUGAUAACAAUUUUAAAAUCUAAUACUCCGGUCUUAAAUUUAAGCAAAAAAAUUCUCUUAUCAGAAUUCAUAUUAAUUGAAUAACUGAUUAGAUAAGUUAUUCAAUGAACGUGAAAAAAAAAUCUUUUUUUUUUUUGUGUCCAGUAGUCUAGUGGCUAUAGCUCACACAAUUAAAUGUGGAUAAGUGGGGUGUCUGGAGUUCGAACCUCGGCCUCUGCAUAAAUUAUGCAAUGUCCCUGCCAAUGUGAGAAAAAAAAAAUCCCUUAAUAAAUAAAUAAAUAACAUAAAUGCACCAUUUAGCAAGCUAGAGGAUUGGUAUUCUUUUUUAUCAUCUACGGACCCAGGAAAAGAUGUCUUGUUUCUCUAUUUCAUAUGUUAAACUUCAUAAUAGAUACGAAUAACUUCACAUGGGAUUCGAAUCCACUUGAGUUGGUUUGAUCAUGUUGGUUUGAGACAUUGUAGUGUGAUGAUCCUCUCAAAGGUCUUAAAUUCGAUUCACUCUGAUGUCAAUUUCGAUGGAUUAGAUUGACUUAAAAAAACUUCAUAUUGGAUCUAGUGUAGUUUAUAGACCGUUGAACUUCACUAAUUAACGCAUUCCACUGUCAACAUACUCCAUCCGUCUCUAAAUAUAAGUAAAUUUUACUUUUUAAGUUCAUUCAAUUAAUGAUGUAUGUGGUUCAUAAUAUAAACUACAUACAUUAUUAAUUGAAUGAAUCUAAAAAAUAAAAUUUGCUUAUAUAAAAAACAGAGCACAUUAUAAAUGACAUACAUUACAGGUCUUCUUCGAUAAAAAGCAAAAGCCGUUGAUAAUAACUGCCCGUUUGAUGUCUACAUGUGAUUGGCAACAAGUUGGUACUAGUUUUGUUGAUUUUGUCCAAAAAAAAAUUCUAUGAUUGUACAUAUAUACUUUUUAUUUUUUUUUGUCACAAAUAGAGUUUAUAGUUCAAAUUUAUAUCAUUAUAUAAUGAAAACUGUAAAUUAACUACCGUUGGUAAUCAAUUUUGAUCGAAUUUUUUUUAUAGACAAAUAUACUCUUAACAUUUUAAUUAACUUUUUUAAAUUUAAUUUUUCAAUAGGCCGAACCGGUCUACUGAAAUUUGUGUUGGAGAUAAUUGAAUUUUGGACUUUGAAAGAAGUAAACUGCAAUAUUUUAAGUCAAUCACCAUAGGAGUCAAAAAAUUAACUACUAAUUUUAGUCAAUCUUUUUCAAAAAGUUUUCUUUUUGCAAUAUAAUUUUUUUUUAAAAUUCAAAUUUGUAUUAAAAAAAACAUGAAUAUAUCCUGUCAUUUUUAUUUACUCAUUAUAUUAUAUUAUAUAAAUAAUAUAUCAAUAAAAAAAAAAUAGUGUGUCUUUUCCGUUAUGGAUUUCCUGGAACAUAUCGUCGUAUUUUCAAUGAGUUCGUAUGGAAAGUAUUCAGUCCCUCAUGCUACAAGCUCACCCUAACCCAAUUUUUUUUCCCCUUUUUAUCUGCAAGGUUUGGUGGUUUGAGGGUUAUUUUUGUUGUAUUUGUUGCUCAUUUAUUUGUAGUGAUAGGGAUUUUCAAUUCUGAUUGUGGAAAUUUUUGUCUAUUGUUGUUUUGUUGGUUGACUGAUUGUUUAUCGAGUAGAUAGUCAUUUGGAUUCUGAAUGUGGAAGACACUGUUACUACCAUCUUCGUUUGAAUGUAUCAAAAUUAGAAAAACAUCUCCAAAUAUAUAUUUCGUUAGUUGGUUUGAUUCUUUGAAGUGUCGUUUGUUAAUAAGUUAAGUCCUUGAAUGUGUUGUCCACUAUGAAGCUCGAAUACGUAGUGCGGGUGGGAGGUGUGAUAUAUGAUACAAAUGCGUGAUUUUUUUUUUUUUUUUUUUAAAUUUAGAAUAUGAUACGAGCUAGAUAUGUUAACAAGUGAUUCUGAUGAUGAUGUAAGUUUUAUCCCUUUUUAUCUGCGAGAUAGGUUUGGUACUUUGAGUGUAUGCAUUUAUGAGGUCUCUUUUUGUUAUAUUUGUUGCUCAGUUGCUUGUAGUGAUAGAGAUUUUCAACGCUGAUCUAGUAGCUUUUUGUAGCAAUUUUUGUUUGUUUCGUUUUGUUGGUUGACUGAUUGUUUAUUGAGUAAAUAGCCAUCUGGGUCCAUGAAUGUGUUGGGCGUUUUACACCGUCCUUGAAUUUUCAAAAUUACAAUUGCAAAAAAUCCUCAAAUAUAUCUUUCGUUUGGCGUUUUGAUCCUCAAACGUGUCUUUUGUUUGUGAAUAUGGUCGUUGAAUGUAUCGAACAUUAAUCGAGAGUUGAGACACAUUUAUGGAUGUUUAUAUAAAUUUGAUACAGUCAAGGACUUUAGCGAUACGGUCUCGCUCAUUUGAGAACCAAAAUGACUGUUUACUCUUUGUUUAUCCUCAUUAUUUAUCUGUUUAUGGUUUUUGUUGAAUUUGGCUUCAAAUUUGUGGUCUGGAAGAACAGAGUAAUCGUGACACGAUUUGGUAAUCGUGACACGAUCUGAGAUGCCGUGAGCCAAGUUUUGAUGGAGGCAAAUCGUGGCACGAUCUUGGGAAAUUGUGACACGAUCUAGAAACUUGCUGGUUAAGUAUCUCUGAUAAGGACUGGUUAACCAGAGGACCGUUGCAGAUCGUGACACGAUCUAGGGAAAUCAUGGCACGAUUUCUUCAGGGCAGGACUAGUAUAUAUUGUGUUCUUGUGCUUUUUUGAAGAGAACCUUAAGAUGGCUUAAGAGAGAAAACUUGGAGAUCAAAGAGGGGAUCCUAUGGGGUGUGUUCCUUUGAUGUGAGUGUUUCUUAGGUUGGGAAAACAUUGUAAUCACCUUGGGAUUUUGGGUUCAUAGUGUGAGAGUGGGAAAAUACCAAAGGGUAGUUCUAGGGUUUGUUCAUGUGUAAAGCUUGAUAAGCUAGAUACUUGUAACCUUUUGUAACACUUUCACAUAUUGGAUUGGAGAGCUGCUCUCUCCCCCAGAUUAGGCCACAUUGGCUGAACUGGGUCAACAAUCUUGCUCGGUGUUUUGUUCUUUCCAUUUACCGUUUAUCUUGUUUAUGCUUGUUAGCUCUUAGUGUGGUUUUGCUAUACACAAGUCAUAGGCUGUUUUGUUGUUGUUAGCUUGGAGGCCAUUUGCUCUCAUAGAUUAUCACUAUCACUUGCUCCACACAUCUUUGGUUUAUUAUCAUUGGUGUGAAGAUUUGAUUAGUUGAACCGGAUUCACAACAAUUGGCGCCCACCGUGGGGCAUAGGCGUGAUUGAUAGUUGGUAUCAUGGGGUCAAAGUGGGACAUCGAGAAGUUCACCGGAAGUAAUGAUUUCGGGUUAUGGAAGGUUAAGAUGGAAGCGGUUUUGACUUAACAAAAAUGUGUAGAAGCAUUGAAGGGUGAAGCGGCGAUGCCGGCAACCUUGACACAAGAGGAGAAGCGUGAGAUGGUAGACAAGGCAAAGAGUGCUAUUGUCUUAUGUCUCGGAGAUAAGGUCUUAAGGGAUGUCGCGAGAGAAGCUACCGCGACAUCGAUGUGGGCGAAGUUGGAGUCAUUGUAUAUGACGAAAUCUUUGGCUCAUAGGCAACUCUUGAAGCAACAACUCUAUUCAUUCAAGAUGGUGGAGUCUAAAUCGAUCUCGGAGCAACUAACGGAGUUUAACAAGAUUCUUGAUGAUUUGGCCAACAUUGAAGUUAACAUGGAAGAUGAGGAUAAGGCUUUGUUGUUACUUUGUUCAUUACCAAAGUCCUUUGAGCAUUUCAAGGAUACCAUCCUUUAUGGUAAGGAGGGCACUACUACUUUGGAGGAGGUCCAAGCGGCUUUGAGAACCAAAGAAUUGACCAAGUUCAAGGACAUGAGGGUUGAUGAAGGUAGUGAAGGCUUGAAUGUUACAAGAGGGAGGAAUGAGCAUAGAGGAAAAGGCAAAGGGAAAUCAAGAUCCAAGUCUAGGUCCAAGGGCUUUGACAAAUCAAAGUAUAAAUGCUUUCUUUGUCACAAGCAAGGUCAUUUCAAGAAAGAUUGUCCGGAUAAGGGGGGCGAAGGUGGUCCCUCGGUUCAAGUUGCGGAGGCUUCAAAUGAAGAAGGUUAUGAGAGUGCGGGUGCACUAGUGGUAACAAGUUGGGAACCAGAGAAGAGUUGGGUUUUGGACUCGGGAUGCUCUUAUCACAUGAUUCCUAGAAUGGAAUAUUUUGAGACUUUGAUUCUAAAAGAAGGAGGAAUUGUUCGACUCGGAAAUAACAAAGCUUGCAAAGUCCAAGGCAUGGGCAACGUUCGUCUAAAGAUGUUUGAUGGCCGUGAAUUCCUUUUAAGGGAUGUGAGGUUUGUUCCCGAACUUAAGCGAAAUUUAAUUUCCAUAAGCAUGUUUGAUAAUCUAGGUUAUUGCACUAGAAUAGAGCAUGGGGUUUGUAAAAUUUCGCAUGGUGCAUUGAUUACUAUUAAGGGGUCUAGAAUGAAUGGUUUAUACAUUUUAGAUGGUUCCAUAGUAAUUGGUAAUGCAUCGGUAGCUAGUGUUGCAUCUCAUAAUAAUUCUGAAUUGUGGCAUUUGAGAUUGGGGCAUGUUAGUGAGAGGGGUUUAGUUGAACUAGCUAAACAUUGGACAAGCUAGAAUUUUGUGAACAUUGCAUACUAGGCAAACAACAUAGGGUGAAGUUUGGGAGUGGCAUGCAUCAUUCUAGUAGACCUUUUGAGUAUGUGCAUUCGGAUCUUUGGGCUCCUUCUAAGACUCCUACUCAUGGGGGAGGUUCCUAUUUUCUUUCUAUCAUUGAUGAUUAUUCUAGGAGAGUGUGGGUCUUUGUUUUGAAAAACAAAAGUGAUACCUUUGAAAAGUUCAAAGAAUGGCACACUCUCAUAGAAAAUCAAAUGGGAACUAAACUAAAAGGUUUGAGAACUGACAAUGGCCUGGAGUUUGUUUCAGAGCAGUUUAAUGAGUUUUGCAGGUUGAAAGGAAUCAAGAGGCAUAGAACCGUACCAAGAACACCUCAACAAAAUGGUCUUGCGGAACGCAUGAAUAGGACUCUUUUGGAGCGUGUGAGGUGUAUGAUUCUAGGAGCUGGGUUACCUAAGAGUUUCUGGGGUGAAGCCGUGACAACAGCUGCUUAUUUGAUCAAUAGAUGUCCAUCAACGGGGAUAGACUUCAAGACACUUAUGGAGGUAUGGAGUGGGAAACCGGUGGAUUACUCCUCUUUGAAGGUUUUCGGAGCUUUGGCAUAUGCGCAUAUCAAGCAAGACAAGCUUGAGCCUAGAGCUUUGAAAUGUGUCUUCAUUGGUUAUCCGGAAGGUGUGAAGGGGUACAAGUUGUGGAAAUUGGAAUCUAGUGGAGGAUCAAGAGUCGUGAUAAGUAGGGAUGUUACCUUUGAUGAGACCCGGAUGGGGAUGAAGUGUAAAGACCUAGAGACUCAAGUACCGGAAACUAUGGUGGAGAAAACUCAGUUUGAGGUGGAGCUUCCAAAUGAAGAAGAAGAAGAUGAAGCUUCGAUAUCGGAUACAAGUGGAACUCAACCGGUGGUGGAUCCUAAGUAUCUAUUGGCAAGAGAUAGAGAAAGAAGGACCAUUACGGCUCCUAAGAGAUUCGGUUAUGCGGACUUGGUGUGUUUUGCUCUAAAUGCGGCGGAAGAUGUGCAAGACUCGGAGCCUAGAAACUUCAAGGAGGCAUUUGAGAGCAAAGAGAGCAAGUAUUGGUUGAAGGCGGUGAAUGAAGAAAUGGAUUCAUUGGAAAGGAACCAAACUUGGAAACUUGUGAAGCUACCUAAUCACCAAAGGGUAGUUGGAUGCAAGUGGAUCUUCAAGAAAAAGGAUGGCAUUCCGGGUGUUGAAGGUCCAAGGUAUAAAGCAAGACUUGUGGCAAAGGGUUUCACUCAAGUGGAGGGGAUCGACUACAACGAGAUCUUUUCACCGGUGGUGAAGCAUUGUUCCAUAAGGAUACUUAUGGCUAUUGUGAAUUAAUUCAAUCUUGAGUUGGAACAAAUGGAUGUGAAGACCGCUUUCUUACAUGGUGACCUUGAAGAGACAAUCUACAUGGAGCAACCAGAAGGUUUUGUGGAGGACAAGUCUAAGGCGUGUCUUUUGAAGAAAUCUUUGUAUGGGUUGAAGCAAAGCCCUAGGCAAUGGUAUCGUCGGUUUGAUGAGUUUCUUUUGAAGACCGGUUUUGUGAGAAGCGGAUAUGAUUCUUGUGUGUACAUGUUGAAGAAGAGUGAGAAAGUCAUUCUCUAUCUUCUUUUAUAUGUGGAUGACAUCUUGAUGGCGAACUCUAGCAAGGAUGAGAUUAUGAAGCUCAAGGAGAGGUUAAAUGGUGAAUUUGAGAUGAAAGAUCUUGGUCCGGCAAAGAGAGUCCUUGGGAUUGAUAUCAAGAGGAAUCGUGACAAAGGCGAACUUUUCUUAUCUCAACUUGGUUAUUUGAAGAAGGUGGUGGAGCGGUUUAGAAUGUCAAACUCUAAAACCGUGAGCACUCCCUUGGGUCACCACACAAAGUUGUCCAUACAACAAUGUCCUCAAUCCGAGGAUGAGAAGCAAUUGAUGGAAGGUACUCCCUAUGCAAGUGGGGUUGGAAGCAUCAUGUAUGGAAUGGUUUGUAGUAGGCCGGACUUGGCUUAUGCAGUUAGCAUUGUGAGUCGGUUUAUGGCAAAUCCGGGAAUUGUGCAUUGGCAAGCUUUGAAGUGGGUUUUGAGGUAUUUGAAUGGGUCGUUGAAGGGCGGUUUGAAGUACACAAGGGCAGCUCAAGAUGAAGACGCUUUGGAGGGGUAUGUUGAUGCGGAUUAUGCGGGCAACGUGGACACUAGAAAAUCCUUGUCGGGUUUUGUGUUUACUCUUUAUGGCACGACGAUUAGUUGGAAGGCAAAUCAACAAUCCGUGGUGGCAUUAUCUACAACUCAAGCGGAGUACAUUGCACUUGUUGAAGGUGUGAAGGAGGCCAUAUGGUUGAAAGGGAUGAUUGGUGAGUUAGGAAUUACUCAAGAAUGUGUGAAGAUACAUUGUGAUAGUCAAAGUGCCAUUCACUUGGAAAAUCAUCAAGUGUAUCAUGAAAGGACAAAGCACAUUGACAUUCGCCUGCACUUUGUCAGAGACAUGAUUGAAACAAAAGAGAUUGUGGUUGAGAAAGUGGCAUCGGAGGAGAAUCCGGCGGAUGUGUUCACCAAGUCAUUGCCUCGAUCAAGAUUCAAGCAUUGCUUGGACUUGAUCAAGUUUGUCGAAGAGUAAUUCCCUUUUGGAGAGAGCAGCAUGGUGGUUGAUGGUUAAAUUGACAUCACCACCAAAUUAGAAGUCAAGGUGGAGAAAUGUUGAAUUUGGCUUCAAAUUUGUGGUCUGGAAGAACAGAGUAAUCGUGACACGAUUUGAUAAUCGUGACACGAUCUGAGAUGCCGUGAGCCAAGUUUUGAUGGAGGCAAAUCGUGGCACGAUCUUGGGAAAUCGUGACACGAUCCAGAAACUUGCUGGUUAAGUAUCUCUGAUAAGGACUGGUUAACCUGGGGACCGUUGCAGAUCGUGACAUGAUCUAGGGAAAUCGUGGCACGAUUUCUUCAGGGCAGGACUAGUAUAUAUUGUGUUCUUGUGCUUUUUUGAAGAGAACCUUAAGAUGGCUUAAGAGAGAAAACUUGGAGAUCAAAGAGGGGAUCCUAUGGGGUGUGUUCCUUUGAUGUGAGUGUUUCUUAGGUUGGGAAAACAUUGUAAUCACCUUGGGAUUUUGGGUUCAUAGUGUGAGAGUGGGAAAAUACCAAAGGGUAGUUCUAGGGUUUGUUCAUGUGUAAAGCUUGAUAAGCUAGAUACUUGUAACCUUUUGUAACACUUUCACAUAUUGGAUUGGAGAGCUGCUCUCUCCCCCAGAUUAGGCCACAUUGGCUGAACUGGGUCAACAAUCUUGCUCGGUGUUUUGUUCUUUCCAUUUACCGUUUAUCUUGUUUAUGCUUGUUAGCUCUUAGUGUGGUUUUGCUAUACACAAGUCAUAGGCUGUUUUGUUGUUGUUAGCUUGGAGGCCAUUUGCUCUCAUAGAUUAUCACUAUCACUUGCUCCACACAUCUUUGGUUUAUUAUCAUUGGUGUGAAGGUUUGAUUAGUUGAACCGGAUUCACAACAGUUUUUGAUAUUAUAAACGCAUGCGGUAUUUUUGUGUUUUCAUUGUUGGUGUUAUUUUGUUGACAAGAUAAUUUAUUUUGAGUAUUUUAUUGUUGAUUAUCUGGAAAAUGUAAAUGGUCGAAUGUGUUCUUUUGAUGGACUAAAUUGAUAGAUAGCCCUUAUCUUCAUUUUUCUUUCUAUUCCAGAAUGGUGCGGAUUUCUUGAUUCAAGCCAACACACGUAAGCGCUUAAAACCGCACGAUGAUAACGAUGAUGUUUUUGAACGUGCUGAGGUUUGUUUUUAUAUGGUGGCUCUAUAUACUCUUUGCUAUAGUAGUAAUAGAAUAGCCGUGUCUCAUUGAAAAUACGACAAUGCGUCAGAUAAAUUGCUUGUGCUUGGCUUACUUCUAAAUACUAUAUGUAGUUGCCAUCUUCUGUUACUAGUAUUUUGAUGACUUCAACAAUUGUAAGAAGUGGUAUUCUGUCUCAAUUUGGUGUCGUAGUUGUUUCCAUUCCAACUGAAUAACUAUCACUAUAUCAGGUUGUUACUGAAGGAAGACAAACUAGUUUGGAGACAAAAAAUAAUGUUGAUGCAAAUAGAAAGAAAUCUGGUCGUGGAAGAGGGAGUUCUGGUUCAAGCAGAGGCCGUGGUUCCAAAUCUAAUGAUCAGACCAGAACACAAAUUUCUUCUUCAACAGUUUCGGCUUCAAAUGGUCAGAAUGAGAAUGUAUGUCGUAAAGUUACUUCCCAUCAAAUAUUUGGUUCUUUAAGCAAUAAAUUUUAUGGAUUGAUCAUUUAUGUCACACUCCUUGAUUGUUCGUUACAGAACUCAUAUUUUUGUUUGCAGGAUGGUAGACUCAAAGAUCCGUUUCGUAAUGAUAAUGGUGCUUCAUUAGAGGUAUAUGUAGAAGAAUGGGUGGCUUUAUAUUUUUGUUUUUAUAUUUUUGAGUUCCACGUGCAAGUUUUAAGGCAAGUAGAAGAAUGGGUGGCUUUAUAUGUACUCCCUCCGUCCCAAAUUAUAAGCAAAAAAAAAAUCACACUUAUUAAGAAAACUAAAACAUAAGAAUUUGGAGUAUAGUUUUUUGUGUUUUUUUUUGGAAAAAGUUUUAUAGGAAGAUGUAAAAACAAUUUUCAUUAGCUAUUGUUUAUGGAAAAAAUGAAAGACAGAGAAAAUUGAAUGUAAUUUGCAUUUAAUUUUAUGAGAAUAAACAAAAAAAAUCAUGGAAAAGAUAAAAGUUUGUCUUUUUUGCUUAUAUUUUGGGACGAAGAAAAUGUGUUUUUUUUGCUUAUAUUAUGGGACGGAUGGAGUAUAUGAUUAGAAUUAUGAUAUUAUCUCUUUAAAUUGUCCCUUUCCCCAACAUAUCUCAAUGACAUUGCUGGUACUUUAACUUCAUUAACUUUCAUUUUCUUAUUUUAUUUCAUCUUUGUAUUAAAUUAGGAGGAGAUUGCAUCUUUACGUGCAAAAGUUGUUGUGUUGGAGGAAGACUUACGUAAAGCAAAGCAAGAAGCCUCUCAGCAUCAGAAUAUUUGUCCACAGUUAGAAAAGGUAUAUGAAUAAGGGUGCGUUUGUUUCAGCUUUAAAAAAAAAAUAGAUUUUAUGUUAAAAGAAUCUAGAGAUUUUAAAAAAAAUUUAAAGUUAAUUUUGUUUGUUUACUACCCAUAAAAAUCCAUUUUUUCUAAAAAAUGAGUUUUAACUUGUACAUGUGUUACCUCCUUGUUGUUGAAAAAAAUAGAUUUUGAGAAAAGCUAAUCCUAAUAGCUUUUCAUUUUAUGAUCAAAAUAGAUGUUUUUGAUAAAAUGAUUUUUCUAAAAAUCCUAAACAAACACUUAAAAAUGAAAAAAGUGAUUUUUUUAAAGGAAAAAAUAGAUUUUUUUUGGAAAAAAUCCAAAACAGAUGCACUCUAAUUGUCCUAUUGCAACAAGAGAUGUGAAUCAGAAGGAUGUUUUCUGAAUCUUGAAUUGUAUCAAAUGAUAAGAUAUCAUGACAAUUGAUAAAUAGUUUCAAAAACAUACACCUAUAAAUGAAAGAAAAUAAUUACAAUAGAAUUUUCGCCCAAAUUUUACUCAAUGGAACUUAAUUUGUCACUAAUAAUGAGUCAUACACGGCAUAUAUAAUUCUCAGAUUCAACAAAAUUUAAGGCCCAAACUAAAAAAUGACAAUAAUUUACACUGUAUUUCUUAUAGAAGGUGCAACUGGGCAGUUGGUAUUGUAACUCAUAUUCCAAACCAAGUCCGUUCUACGACCUGACAAAAAUGGCAGUGAAACAACCGAACUGUGUUAUUCAAACUGCAUUCUUUUGAUACCAUUUGCUAAUUGAAUUUAUAGUGAACUGUAAUUAUGCUUUUAUGAAUUGUAAAUACGUAUUAAAGGUAAUAGAAUUGACGGUGUUGAAAUUAAUGUGAUGGUUUUCUGUUCUUCUUCUAAUGUUUGAUUUUGGCACAUGUAGGAACUGAAGGAAUUGAAAGAUCUUGAGGAGCAAAUGAAACCUAAGGUUUGAUUAUUUUCAUCUUUUAAUUGUGGUUAAACUUUUCCUUCUCGAUUCUCUCAAGACACAAAACUCCUAUUGGUAUACAUGUUAUUUAAAAUAUAAUGAAGUGGUGGAUUCAAUUGUGCAUGCACACGAAUCUUCUAUAACAAAGAUGAACUAGAAAUUUUAAAGAGGUUAUCGUUCUCUUACUCCAAAAUAAGUUAAGGAGCAUUGCACGUGUCACUUAUAAAAAUUAAGUUAAGCCGGCAUAUUAACAUCCAGUCCUUGAAUUUUGUAGAGAACAAAAAUAAUAUCCGAUUUGCUGAUAUCAGUUUCAAAGGCUGAGAGACAAGAAGCAAGACUAAAAGUACGACAGGACUCAUUGAGACUCGGAAAUGUUGGUGUAAUCAGGUAUAGGUAGAGCAUUGUGACAAAUACCUUUUUAUAAUAUUUUUAUUUAGGUUUUCUUAUUGGUUUAUUAUAUGAAUUUUAGAGCUGGAACUGUCUUAUCUGAGACCUGGGAAGAUGGUCAGGCGUUAAAGGAUCUGAAUGCCCAGCUUGUAUGUCUAACCUCUUUCUUUCCCUUCAUAUUUAUUUAUUGAAUUUAUUAUGCACCAAUGGUAUUUGUAAGUAUGAUCGUAGAUGUCUUACCCUCUUUGGGACAAUUUCUUCAUAAUAUAUUGGGAUUCAAGAUGAGAUUCCUAUUCAAAAUACAAUUUUAAGGAUGGUGUCUUCGAACUUCUACUUGUUUUCCUUUCCGGUACUAUUAGGCAUUAGCUUGUGGUAUAUUUUGUGAAUGUUUCUAUAACUUUUCUGUGGUGGUUUUUUUAUUUUCAAUUGGAGCCAUUGCAUAUAUCAGUAGUUUGCAUUAGUAAUAACAUGAAUUACUUUAUCUCUUGAUUUUUACAUAAACAACUACUCGAAACAAAGGAGGCAAUUGAGCGCCAGCGCAAGUUAUUCAAGAAAAAACAAUCUGGUACCACUCAGUUUCCUUUUUUCUGUUAACACUUGUCUUCCUGAACUUGGGGAAGAAGGGUUAAGUGGACUGAACGAGUAACUGUCCUUUUCCGCUUUUCCUUUCCCUUUCCCUUCAUUCGUAGUUUGUACCAAUUGUCAUUAUAACCAACAUAUACCUUGGAUCAUAAUAAACCAGAACACUAUGUAAUUUGUUUGCAUCUUAUAACACGCCGUUACCCAAAAUCAUUUAAAUGACAAUCAAAUUCCACGUAAUUCCACAAACGGGCAUGCUACACUACAUUUCAAAAAUUCUUAAAUAGAAAAUAAAACUAUUUAAUUCAACAUCUUUCAUAACUUCAAAAAUCAUGCAGCGGAAUAUUUGCAUCUCAAAUAACAACGACAACGGUUAAAGUCUCCAAGCAAUAUCUUGGCAUUAAGCCUAAUCAACCAACAAAGGGCCACAUCAUCAAGUUCCAAAAAUUGAUACAUAGGAAGGAAAACAACAAUAAAACUAAUAAUAAUUCUCAUCCCACGUAUCAGAGCCCUAGACACGACUCUUGAGCCACCACCGACUACUCAGGAUCACCUGCAAGUUACCCAUAGGAAGGGCAACAUUUUCAAGCAGAAGGGGUGAGAUUCACAACAAUAAAAUAUAGAUAUUAAAAUCUUCAAUUGAAUCUAACACCCUAUAACAUCAAAUACAUCAUCUUGUAAAUAUAAGCAUAUAAUUUCACAAGCAACAACAACAUCAUCAAAAUCCACUCAUCACAAUAUGUAUAUAAAUGUAUAUAUUCAUCAACAACAUCAUCAUCAUCAAUGUGGCAACUACAACCAACAACUAAGACUCAUGCAUGACAUGAUAACACCACUAAGACUCCUCAAAAUAUGCAAUUAUGCAUGUGGUACCAGACAGGACCGAAGCCCUCACCGCUUUUGAAUGGUUAAAGCAUUCAUCAGGACCGAAGCCCUCACCGUUGUGAACAACUAGUGCUCCAGAACAUGAGUCAUCUCCGCUGUUUAUGCAUAUGCAAUGGACCUACUUGUGUAUAUCUACAUACAACUUGACCAUGCAUACAUACUCCAUAUGACUCCAAUUAUACAACAUGUAUGGUUCAAUAAAUAAAUCAUACAACACAGCCAUCAGCAACAUCAACAACCAGCAAUCCAACAAUCCGGAAUAAUGCACAAUUUAAUAUAACUAUGCUCAAAACAACAACAUCAAUCACUACCAUUCAUGCAAGCAAAUUCAGCACUCAAAAUCUGGGUAGCUCGCUAUGGCGAGUUCACAAAGUUGGUUGCUCGCCACGGCGAGUUCAAGGCGAACUCGAAGCGAGUGAAAAGUAGGUGCUCUUGGAAAUUUGACAUUUUUCUCACUCAAACCUCAAUUCUAAGCUCCCUAUUCAUCUUUUCACUACAAGAAACAUUGCCUUUUGCCAGGGGCAAAAUCCCUGUCAAAAGGACAAAAUCCCUGGCAAACGGGACAUUUGUGAGGGAAAAAACGAGGGGCAGAUGGCCUGGCAAAAGCGCUCAUCGCAAACACUUUGCCAGGGGCUACACCCCUGGCAGAAAAACAAGGGGCUGAACCCCUGGCAAAACGCAACGCUUUCUCCCAGGCAGAACCCCUGGCAUGUUCCCUCACUUUCGUCUGCAGCUUUCCUGCACCACUGACUACGACUGACACCUCUGCGGCGGCUCUGACUGAAGUGACAGCAGCAAAAAACGAGGGACAAAGCGAGGGGUUUAACCCCUGGCAAAUGUCCUUAUUUUUUUUUUUAAAAAAAUCAUUUUUAUGAAAACGAUUUUUUUUAUUAAUUAAUAAAAUAUAUUUAAAUUAAUUUAAAAAUCAAUUUUUUUUUUUAAAAAUUGUUUUUGUAAUACAAUUAAAUGGUUAAAAAAUCAAUUUAAUUAAAAAAUAUAUAUUUAAAAAAUUAAUUUUUUUUUUAAAACACAAUUAAAUGCAUAUAGAUAAAGUUUAAUCACAGAAACACUAAUAAGUCUAAUUAAAAUGCAUGAAAUAGAAAGUGUACUUAAUAAUAUUACAAACCGUGCAGGAAAAUAAAUAUUGUGCCGGGAAGCAUGGAAAACCUCCCAAAAUCAUACAAACCAUAACAUAAUAGUAAAGAAAACACACAACAAGCAUCAUAAUUAAGCAUCAAUCAUCCAUCUCGAGGUCGUCAUCAUCAUCCUCUUCGCCCUCACCAUACACUUCAUAGGGGUCAUCCGCAUCAUCAUCACACACUGGAGGAGCCCUCACACUCUCUCGGCUUCCACUCUGCUGCCCAACACCUUGCUCUUGCCUAAAUGUGUCCAACUGAGAGUCUAGGAAUUCUCGUUGCUUCCUAACCACCUCAUGGAUCAGGUCCUGUUGGGUUUGCAUAUGGGCAGCAAGCUGUUCUUGAGUCAACCUAGUGAUCAGAUCCCGCAUUUCUGGAGUGAGCUCAGGUUGCCGAGAAGAGCCCUCCCCAGCAUUAAGGGUCAACUUUAGAGUGGUAGCAACACCCUUGCGGAAGUUUCCAGCUAAGUUUCCUGCACCGUACAAUCGCCCCUUCUUCUUCUCACCAGCAACUUUCGUCCAUGCACGAAGUGUGAGAGCUUCAUCAACAGAGCAUCCACGGGAGAGCGCCUCCGAUAGCUGACGAUCAUACUCCUCCUAAAAUAAAUAAGAAUAAAAUAGUUAAAGAUAAAUAAACAUUAAAAAAAAAUUAUAAUCACUAAUAAAAUUAAUUAAAAUACACUUAUGUAACAAUUACCUGGCAUAUCUUGGAGCGAUCAUCAACAUACUGGCCUGAUCGAUAUGUGUGGGUCUUCUUGUGGAGCUCAUUUAUGUAUGGCUCCCUACCCAGCUUCUUUGCCUAAUUGACAAGAAACACAAUUAUUAAGUAGUUAGUAAAACAUUAAACUAUAUUUAACCACAAAAUAUUUAAAAACAUACAUUCUAUAAAAUUAAUUAACAGAGUUAUUAUUUUUAAUUACCAGUCGACGGGCAUGCUCUGCUGUGCUUAUGCAGCCUCCCGUGUGGAUGCAUCCCCCUUUCUCUGAUGCUCUGUUCUUCUUUGCCUUCUCUGAUUUCGCCUUAAACUCUGGACUCCCCCAAUAGUCCACCAACUGCCUCAUAAGUGGCUCCCCGAUCCAGUAGGGCCUCUUUCCAGCAGUCUCGUGACGAAGUCGGACAUGUCGCAACAUGUCGGAGAGGCGGGCAGAAGCUCUAAUGUGAAAGUUCCUCCUUAUCUGAGCAUAGUACCUGGGGUUCCAGGUACACUUCAUCUGCAUAUUUGUUAACAUAUUUUAGGAAAUUAGUAAAUUAUAACAUAUGUGCAGAUAAGUUAAAAUAUAUUAUGAUAAGUAUUAAUGUAACCUCAAAAAGACCAAACCAUGCAUCCUUUUCAUCAUCUGGGAUAUCACCAUAAGUCUUCCAAAAUCCAUGAAACCUUCCCUGGAUGAUGUCUCUAAUGGCACUGGCGGCUGGCUUGCAGGGCAUGAAACUACAAACAAUGAAAACUCAUAUAGUUAAACAUUACAUAAAUUUAUAACAAUAUACAUAUUGAACAAAAAUACAUAAAGACUUACGAGUUCCCGCUAGGCACAAUGAUGUAACGCUCUUGUUCAUCUUGCGGAUAAUCUGCCAUCUCCUCAUCAUCAUCAUCAGCACCCUGUUGGGGUUGGGGUUGGGGUUGUUGAUGUUGGGGUGGUGGGGGUUGUUGAUGUUGAGGGAUUAUAAAGCUGGUCUGCCCAUGAGGAAAUGUUGGUGGAGGAGGCAACUGGUAACCUGUAGGGAGGAUAAAACCAACAGGUGCAACAACACCAGACCCUCCAGCGGGUGCAGCAGCACUAGCUUGGGAUGACCCAGUCGAUCCCUGGCUAGAAGAAGAGGGUGGUCUGGGAAAGGGAGUCAAUGUGGCAAGUGUGGCUGGAUCCGCAAUGUGUGUUGUGAACCGCCUCCUGGGGUCCUUGCUCUUGCCUUUCUCUUUUUGUUUCGGAGGCAUUGUGAAUCUGUUAAAUAACAAAAAAAGCGAUAUUGUAAAGGACUCAAAUAUAUAUACAUCAUUAAACAAGCGAUAUCUUCAUUCAAACUCAAAUGUAUUCAAGAUUACAAUAAAUUCAAAUUCAAUCAUUACAAGGGUGGAUAACAAUAUACUUCAAGUGUUGUUAUCAGACGCAUAGUUAUAUUCAUCUACAUCACCAUCAUCAACUUGAUUGUCUUGCUGGUCCCCUUCAUUAUUAUCAUCAACAACGUCUUCAUUCUCAUCUUCAACUUCAUCACGCAUCUCCAAAAUAGAAAGAUCAACCUGAUCCCCUUCAACGUGAGAGUCUUGCCAACUUGUCACUUGAUCUACUUCAAUUAUCUCAUUUACAUGUGUCAUAUCAUCGGCUUGGUAAGCAACUUCUUCGUUUGGUUCUCCAGUCUCAAUGCGGCCCCUCGGUUUUGUUUUGAUUGCAACAGACCAACCUCGUUUGCGUGGUAGAGUUGGGGGAUAAGGAACAUAGUACACUUGCCUAACAUUGUGUGCCAUGAUAAACGGGUCAUAUUCUUUAUAUUUUUUGUCGACUCGAAUAUCAACAGUGUUGCAUAAUUUAUUAAUUUUAGUCCAUCUAGGCGAGGGAUCAAACCAGUCACAAUAAAACAACACAACUUUAUUGUCAUUAUAUGAAAGCUCAUAAAUGUGUUUGAUCACGCCAUAGAAAUCAUCUUCACCUCCAUCUGUAACUCCUUUUACAUAAACACCACUAUUAAUAGUCUUUUUUCCUUCCGUCCAAGAGUGGGUAUGAAAUUUAUAUCCAUUCACGAAGUAGGUGUGAAAUUCAUUGGCACAUUGUAAAGGACCCUGAGAUAAUUGCCGUAAACGGAUGACUUCAUCAGUUGGCUCGGCAUUAUACACUCUUUGUUUAAACCAAGCUGGAAAAUAUUCAUGUAUAGAACCAGCUGUCGAUCCUUCACCAAACUCCGCAUAAAGAGCAAUAAAUUCCCUAAAAAGCAAUAAAUUCAAUACGAUGUUGUUAACCGCGUUAAAACUUAUUGUUAUAUGGACUAGUAAAAAUGGGUAGGAAUAAAUUUACUUACUCAAGGUAUGGUUUAACUUCCGCACAAUUAAUCAAAACAUGAACAUGAGCAGACCGCAUCUCUUUCUGAUCUACCAUCCAAUAUUGAAGCACCUUGCCCGCGUGUCGACCAUGAAGAUUGAAUACGGAUAAGGUUGACGGAUCCCGAACAUCGUUAACCUCAACUUCAUUUCUUGUAUUUGAUGGAGUAAGUAGACGAUCAACGAAAUAAUGGCCGAUGAAGUAUGUGGUUUCCUUGGCGGUGUAAAUAGCAACAAUUGAUCCUUCCACUUUGGCCAGAUUUUUAAAUGCUCGUUUUGAGUCACCCAUGAAUCUUUCAAAAGGGUACAUCCACCUAUAUUGAACAGGUCCGCCAAGUAUAGCUUCAUAUGCCAGAUGCACAGGAAGAUGUUCCAUAGAGUCAAAGAAACCUGGUGGAAAAAUUUGCUCCAACUGACAGAUAAUGAUUGGCAUAUUAUUCUCCAUUUUCUCAAGUUCAUCAACUCUCAAGGUUGAAGCGCACAAAUUUUUAAAAAAUUGACUAAUCUCAAUAAGUGGAUCUAGCACAUGUUUGGGCAAUGAACUAAAUGCAAUUGGGAUAAAGUUCUCCAUGAAAAUGUGAGAGUCAUGACUUUUCAUCCCAUGCAACCUUCCCGUGUUGACAUCGGCACACCUGCCUAUGUUAGAAGAAUAUCCAUCGGGCAUUCUCAAAUCCUUCAACCAUUGACACACUAAUUUUGCUUCUUGGGCAGAUAGGCUGUAGUUGGCUUUCGGUUUCAACAACUUCCCAUUCGGUUGAGGUUUCAACUCCAAAUCCUUUCUUUUGCAAUAUAUUUGUAAGUCUUUUCUAGCCUUCUCAGUGUCUUUUGUUUUUCCUUUGACAUCCAUCACUGUGUUAAAUAUGUUGUCAAAGACAUUCUUCUCAAUGUGCAUUACAUCAAGAUUAUGUCUGAGCAAGUUAUCUUUCCAAUAUGGGAGGUCCCAAAAUAUACUCCUUUUAGUCCAGUGAUGGUCUACUCCGUAUCUUGGUAUUGGGACAGCUCGACCAUAAUCAGUGACUUUUGGAUAAUCACAAACUCUUGUCCACACUUCUUCUGAUGUAAUCUUAGGUGGAGGACCAACAAAAACUCUCUCAUCCUUCUUGAAACCAUUCUUAAGUCUUCUAAACGGGUGAUUAUGAGGCAAGAACGGAUGAUGACAGUCAAACCACGAACUCUUCCCUCCACUUUCCAAAGUAAAUGCCUUUGUAUUUUCCAUACAAUGUGGACAUGCAAAUCUACCAUGAGUACUCCAACCGGACAACAUGCCAUAAGCGGGAAAAUCAUUAAUGGUCCACAUCAAAGCUGCUCUCAACUUGAAAUUUUGUUUUCUAGAAAUAUCAUAUGUCAAUUCUCCAGCCCACAACCUCUUCAAAUCAUCAAUUAAAGGUUGUAGAAACACGUCUAUGCCUGCUUUAGGGUUAUCUGGUCCUGGUACAAUACAACUCAAAAACAAGUAUGGUUUUGUCAUGCACAUUUCAGGAGGGAGAUUAUACGGGGUUACAAUGAUUGGCCAACAAGAAUAUGGUUUUGCCGAGGAUUGGACAUAUGGCUGAAAACCGUCAGAGCAUAAUCCAAGUCUCACAUUCCGUGGAUCUGCUGCAAAAUCAGGAUGUACUCGAUCAAAGUGUUUCCAUGCUUCACCGUCAGAAGGAUGUCGCAUCACUCCGGGAAUUCCAUUUGAAUGAUGCCACGUCAUUUGACUAGCAGUUUUCAUCGAUGCAAACAGUCUUUGUAAUCUUGGUAUUAUCGGCAAGUAAAACAUUGACUUAACCGCAACUCGUUUCUGCUUGCUAAUACCGUACCUCGGGCUUUGACAAAAUUUACAUUCCUCCAAUGCUCCAUCAUUUAUCCCAAACUCAUUGUCAUAAAACAACAUGCAUCCAUUUCUACAACAAUCAAUCUUUUUAACUGAUACUCCCAACUUCAUCACCAACCUCUUCGCAGCAUGAUAAUUCAUUGGCAGAUUAUCUUUGAACGGAGUCACGGCCUUCAACAUCUUCGUAAUAUCAUCCAUACCAUCAUCAGGAUUAAGAUAAUUCGACUUAUGAGAUAAAAGCCACACACACAUAGAUAGCUUAGAGUGCGAAGACCCUUCAUACAAAGGUGUAUUACUUUCACUCAACAAUCGGUAAAAUCUUUGCGCCUUCUCAUUCGGGGGUUGUUCCUCUUCAUCAUCUUCAACAUCUUCACCGUAAGACAAUUCCACCCCUAAAGCAUCCGCAACCAUAUCAUCCAUCAUGUUGAAUUGUUCUGUGUUGACAUCUUCAUUGUAUUCCACAUUUGUUUCCACAUUUGUUCCACCAUGGCUAGUAGAAGCUUGUGCAUUGACCCCUACCCCAAAAUUCUGAAACAUUUCACCAUUAUAUGUCCAAACCCAAUAAUUAGGCAUAAAACCAACUUUUUUUAGGUGUUUCUUCACAUCUCCAGGAUCGGUAAUUAUAUGUCUGCACCUACAUUUUAGACACGGACAUCUAAUUCCUCCCUCAUCUCUACAUAUUUCUUGCUCCCAUGCCCAUGAAAUAAAUCCGUCAACUCCUUCGACAAAUUGCGGUUUUAGUCCAGUUCUUCUCGGAAACGUCCUAUCGUACAUCCAACGACGAUAAUAUUCAUAAUACUCCAUCUUCUACACGUUCCGCAACUUCAUUGACAUAUUCCACGUCGUCAAAAAUAAAUUAUUACUCGACGGAGAUAACUAACAUUACGCGCAAAAAAAAAAUCCCGCUCAAACAAUAAAAUAUAAGUUUACGCGCAAACAAAUUAAAUUUUUAACUCGCAAAUUAAACAUAUAAUAAUUAAUUAUUAAAUAAUUGUAACAUAGUUUUAAUUUUCAUCGAUAAACAACUUUCUUGUACUAUACUAUUUUUGAGUCCCUCCUUUUUAAACAAUAUGCAUUAUUAUAUUAUAUUGUUUUAUUUUAUAAAAAUAAUAAUUAUAACAUUUUAGACACGGAAAUCAAACAUAUUUUAAUUUAUUAAAAAAAAUUACAUUUUAACAAAGUUUUAAUUUUUUUUAAAAAAAACUGAUUUUUAAUACACUAUUUUAAUAAAUCGUUUUCCAAGAACUUUUUAGUGUAGUAUUUUUUAUGUAGUAUUUUUAUUUUCCUACGCUUUAAUUAGUUUUAAUUUAUGAAAAUAAUAAUUAUAACAUAAUUAUAAUUUCAAUAUAAAAACAGAUUUUUAAAUAUAUAAACAUAUUUUAAUUUCAUAAAAAACAGCAUUAGGUUUAAAAAUCUGUUUUUAUAAUUUAAAAACUGGUUUUUAUAUGGUAUUAACUAAACUAAAUUAUAUUUAUAAAAACCAGUUAUUAAAAUUUAAAAAAAAAAUAUUUUUAAUAACAGAUUUAGUUUAACAAACAAUUUUACUUUUAAAACAAUAUUCCCUUAUUUUGUUAUUUUAAAACAGUACCGAAAGGUACACUUGCUAAAAUUAAUUAAAUUGGUCCUAUUUUUCUUUCUUACAAUUAAAUAAGUUUAUUAUUAAAAGAAAAAACAGAAUAUAAGCAAUAAGUGUUUGACCAUAUUUUUUUUAACAUUCUACUACAACAUACAUAUAUAUUACAUUUUAUAAAAAAAAAAAAAAAAAAAGACAGCAUGCAUAUAUUUCAUUUUAUCACAAUAAAAACAACAUGCAUAUAUUUCAUUUCAUCACAAAAAAUAAACAUGCAUAUAUAUAUAUAUAUAUAUAUAUAUAUAUAUAUAUAUAUAUAUAUAUAUAUAUAUAUAUAUAUAUUUCAUUUUAUCACAACAAAUAAAAAAACAUGCAUACAUUUCAUUUUUUCACAAAAAAAGCAUGGAUAUAUUUCUCAAAUUCGAAUAAAUAAACCAACAAUAUUCAUGCAUAAUAAUAUAUAUGAAGAAAAAAAAAUAUUACAUGAUUAUAUUAAAUAUUUUAGAUUUUCGGAAAAAAAAAAUACCAAACAGUCAUCAUAUAUUUUUACAACAUAUCAUCAAAAUGUAUAAUUUUUAGGCCAAAAAAAUUACCAAACAGUCAGCAUAUAUUGUUAUGAGGAAAAAAAAUCACUAACUUGUUGAAGCUUUAUUACACUAGAAGAUCUCCAAUGCAAUCCAAAAACAACAACAGUUGAAGCAAUAGCUGACCACAGGAGGCAGAUAAGUAACACAACUGCAAAUAACAUAGAAAAUAAAUAAGAUUAAUAGGUGUUAAAAAUUAAUAUCAUGAUAAAACAUAUAAGAAAUGAAGUAUUUUUUACCAAAGAAAUGAAGUUUGAUGAAAGUGUUGAGUUUUAAGAGAAGAAAAUGUUCUAUCUUGCUUCCCUGAGACCGGUGCAACUCUUAUAUAGGGAGGGGAAAAAGCCACGGCUUCUGCGACGGCCUGCCCCCUGGCUUAUCUGGUCAAAUCCUACCUAGCUAGGCGCAACAAUAGGGCACAUAACGGCUUGCAAAAAGCCAGGGAUAUGUGCAAUUUCCGAGGGGUUCUGCCCCUGGCAAGCCUGCAGCACAUCACCUUUCCCAGGCCCUUGUCAAGUCAACAGAAAAAGCAGCAGGAAUCUAUGGAAACGCGUACAUCCGAGGGGCUUUCCCUCGCAUAAGCCCUCGGUUAUUUCUGACAUUGCAGAAAUUGCACCAGCUUUUGAAAUUUCAAUCUGGCGCCUAAAAAUAUGCCACGGCUUUUGACAAAAAACGAGGGGCAAAGUCCCUGGCUUUUUUGCCAGCGGUUGUCCCUGGCAAAUUUGCCAGGGGUUUCAAACCUUGACAAAAUCCCUGGCAAAACGCAAUGUUUCUUGUAGUGUUUUAACCUAAAACUUGUUCCAUUCAUCAUUAAAAUCAUUUAGGUACAUUAAAUCAUCCCCAAAACAUCUUAUAACAACAAUUUGAAAAUCAAGUUUUGAACUGGCUUGCUCGCCAUGGCGAGUUGGUCUUCUCGCGAGGCGAGCCAUGCUGUUGUUCACUAGCGAGGCGAGACAUGAAUGCUCGCGAGGCGAGCGAUGAACAUCAGUACGGGCAGAAAACAGGUUUUUUCCAAAAAUCCCAUUUUUCUUCCAUUCACUCCACAAAUUGGUUUACAGAUGUGAGUUAACUUACUGUAUGCACUCAGAACCUAUUUCUAACAUCAGAAUCACAAUCUCAACCCCAAAAUCAUCAUUUCAUCAUAAAACCCCAAAAUCCCAAUUCACUCCAAAACUCUGUUAAACUCAAAUUCAGAAAUUAAAAUCUAUACUACUUGAGUAAACCUCACCCUUACCUUAGAAAUUGCAGAAAAUGCACAGCAUAAAUGGUUCUUGGCUCUAACUUGCUCUUCUCUCCCUUUUCUCCUAACUGGACAGUUUUCACGUACAGAGUUUUCUAACUUCUCUUUUCCUAACUUCCCAUUACUUAACUCCCCUUUAUUUUCAUUUAACUCCCUUUAAUUCUAUUAAAUAUUAAAUAACUCCCCAAACUCCAAAAUAAUUAUUAUUUCUCACUUAUUCUAAUUAUUAUUAAAAUAAACCGUAUAAUAAUAUAAACACACCACAUAAAUCACCAAAAAUCAUAUAUAUAUAUAUAUAUAUAUAUAUUAGACUCCACAUAAUCCAAAAAUAAAUAGCACAACGAUUGGAGUGUUACACAUCUACUUUUAAUAGCCUUCACUAUUUACUUAUUUGUCAUACCCCAAUUUUUGACCCAAGAUACCACUUACACGUGUCAUUUAAACUCCGACCGGUCUCAGCCUUUCGAGCAAAAAAUUCGGCAGGGAGGUAUUUUAAAAUACCUCAUAGUUGGUUCCGAGUCGGGCCCUCUUCUCUCAAUUUUCAAUUUUCAUCUAAUUUCCAUCUUUUAUCAACUUUAAAUCCAUCUUAAAUUUUUAUCUUUUUAUCUCAUUUUGAUUCACUUCUAUCUUUUAUUUUAUUUUAUCUUUAUUAUUAUUAUUUUCCAAUUUGGUCCGAUAAUAUCCAAUUUACAGCCUGUCAGCUUCCUCUCCAAGCCACAACAGCCUGUCAUGUUUCCUCCCCAAGCAACAAAAUUUUGCUCAUUUCAAGCUCUAUAAAUACAACACGCAAGCAGCACACAGAGAGGGGGGCCCAACAAACAAAAAAAACAUUCCACGGCCACAACACAACACACAAGACAACAAUUUUCAUUCUUUUUUCGAUCCCAAACCAGCAACCAACAGAGAACAAUUUUCCUCCCAUUUUUUCUUACAAUCCAAACCUUUCCAAUCAACCAACCAAACACAAAUUUCAAACCAGAACAUUUCUAACACAAGAUCAACAACCAAACUCACAGAUCCGGUAACCAAACCGCAAAACAACACACAAACUGUUCUCAUAACAAAACCGAACCAUCGCAACUCAAAUCGAACCAAAUCUUUACAAACCCUCUCAAACCAAAAAGGUAGUAUUUCUUUCCUUAGAUCUAGGUCCAACCGCUUGGUAAAAAUAUUUUUUGAGCUUAAAAUCAUAAAGAGUGAGUAAAAAGAAGUAAAAAGAAGUAAAAAGAACGAAAAAAGGAGACGCUUUCAUCUCCGGCGCGGCGGCGCAGCCGCUAUGGCUCACCGGCCACCGCGCCGGAACCCCCUCCGACCACCAUCUCUCCACCGGAGAAGAUGAAGAAAUUCUAGAGAGAAGGCAGAGCUUCUCUCUCUAGAAAUAAGAGAAGAGAGAGAAAGAAAAAUAAAAGUGAAUGAAAAAAACCAGUCCUGCCUAUUUAUACUACUAGACCGAACCGGUUCAAAUCUGAACCGGUCUGAACCGGUCUAAUCCAGGCCCAUGCGUUUUUCCUGAGGCCCAAUCUCGAUUCUUCAUUUUUAUUCUUGCACCCUCACUUUACUGCUCAUACACCACCAGCAUCUCAUCUUUUUACUUUCUUUUUUUCAUGCAUUUUAAUUUCCUCUCUAUUAAUCCAGAGUGCUCUGGUCCUAUAUUAACUGUUAAUAUUAUAUUCUUGUUUAAUUUAAUUAUUCUCCAGAACAAUCUGGUCCUUGUUAAUUAAAUUAAUCCAGAGUGCUCUGGUCCUAUAUUAACUGUUAAUAUUAUAUUUUUGUUUAAUUUAAUUAUUCUCCAGAACAAUCUGGUCCUUGUUAAUUAAAUUAAUCCAGAGUGCUCUGGUCCUAUAUUAACUGUUAAUAUUAUAUUUUUGUUUAAUUUAAUUAUUCUCCAGAGUGCUCUGGUCAUUGUUAAUUAAAUUAAUCCAGAGUGCUCUGGUCCUAAAUUAACUGUUAAUAUUAUAUUCUCCAGAAUAUUCUGGUCCUAUAUAUAUAUAUUAAAUACUAUUUAUCUUGUUGAACUAACAAUCUUUUCUUCACACCCACACACUUUAUUUUUUUGUUGCUCUAUUUGUUUAAUUUUCCAUUACUAUUCAAAACAACAAAAACAUUCAAAUAUUCAAAAAACAACAAAAACAUUCAAAUAUCCAAAAUUCACAAAAAGAGCUUUUCACAACAAACCUUGACUUUCAAUCAAGUGACCGUCUUUUUAUUUUAUUUUUCUUAAUCAAAUUUCAAAUCAAUUCUAAUUCAACUUCAAGUCAAUUUUCUUCAAUCUAAAAAACACAAAUCAAUUCUCAUUUGCCAUUUGGCUUUUUAUUUCAAAACCUUUUUCAAAACAUAUAAAAAACACCAAACAAAUCAAACGUCAAUUUCUACCCCGAACUACGAGGUUUUGAUCCCUCACGGGUACGUAGGCAGAGGACCUUGUCCUUCCAAAUCAAUUAAAAAACAAUUUUCUUUUUUCUUUUCAACUUUCAACUAAAAAACAAUUUUCUUUUUUUUCCUUCAAUCAAAAUCAAUUUUCUUUUUCUUUUCAACUCAUCAUUCAAUUCUAUUUUCAUCUCUUUAAAAGCAAGCAAGUUUAAGCACAAAAAGUUAAAUAAAAUCAAGAGGUUCUCGUAGAGUACUACGAAUAUUUAGGGUGCUAACACCUUCCCUAAAUAUAACCAACCCCCAAACCCUAAAUCUCUUCAAAAUGGGUUGUUUGGAACUUUUUCCCCUUAAAAAAAAAUUUGUUCAGUCGUGAGAUAAAAAGUGAGUCAAAGUCAAUCAAAUGGCCUUGACGUCCGAAAAAUGGCGCGACAGAAAUGGCGACUUCACUGGGGAUGUCAUAAGAGGGUUGAGCCUAACUUGAAUUUAUUUAAAUUUUGUGCCAUAACUUGCUUACAAAUCAAAAAAUAAAAGAUGAAAAUACGUGCAUAUAUGUUCUCUUUUCUUCUUUCUUUUUCCUUAACAUGAGUGGUGAGAUAAGUCCUACACCCGGGCUUGAGGAAAACAUAAGAUAGGAUGGUGAUAUAAUCAAAGUGCUAUUCCAAGAGUAAUCUUGAGUGUUAGUACAUGUGAUAAUCCCGCUCAAUGGAGGUUCUUGGAAGUAAUACUAUGUUGACAUGAGUAAUCGUGUUUGACACUAUUAUUUUCAAGUAAUCGUCGAAGUUGAGGACCUUUAGUUACCUUUAACCCAUCUUGGCCUCUUAGGACGUAGUGCGGUGGGUAAUCAAGAGUAAUCUUGAAUUAGUCGAUACGCGAUACUACACCCAAACAAGACUUUCCUACAAAUGUCAUUGGAUCAAGAGUAAUCUUGUAACCUGAUAAUAUUUGGAAGUGGUUGUAGACUUUGGGAACUUGGUAGAACCCAUGAUACAGGUACAAAAUGAAACCAUAGUCCUUACCAAAUGGCGUGUUUACCCCUCGACUCCAUCGUCAUGGCCUUAAACCUCACCAUGUUUUCACCAUUUGUGUCGCAUAAUCAUGCAUACAUGCAUUCGUUCAUAAAUAACUUUUUUUUUCUCUCAUCAAAAUAUCGAAGGACUAAAAAAAAAAAAUCUUUUGUAAACAUCAUAGGUAUGAAUCCUGCGACAAGAACCACUAGGAAGUACUAUUUCCGAAACCCGGAUUUGUCAAACCUAAGGAAGCUAGGGAAAAGGGUGACUAAUCCGGUAGAUUUUCAAAAUCGCCAUGGAAGACUGCUUAACCUCCUCGAGACGAAGGUGGUGCAAGGGAUCCUCGAUACUUUGGUCCAGUUUUAUGACCCUUAUUGCCAUUGUUUCACUUUCCUCGACUACCAACUUGUCCCCACCCUUGAGGAAUACUCCUACUUGAUCGGGUUACAGUGUCUAACGAAGAACCAUUCAACGGCCUUGAGCCUGUUCCUAAGCACGCAACCAUUGCAAAGGCCCUUCACCUUGAAACAUCUGUUAUAACAGCUAAACUUACCACCAAAGGAGGCCUUCUAGGUCUACCCGCCAAUGUCCUCUUUGAAAAGGCCGUCGCUUUCGCCGAUAUGGGCAGUAUUGAUGCCUUUGAAUCCAUCCUUGCCCUACUCAUAUAUGGUCUUUUGCUUUUCCCAGAUGUCACCAACUUUGUUAAUAUUAAUGCCAUCAAAAUAUUCCUAGCCAAAAACCCCAUCCCCACUUUGCUUGCCGAUACAUAUCUCUCCAUCCAUGAUCGAACCCAAAAAGGGCAAGGAACUAUACUUUGUUGUGCACCCUUGUUGUACAAUUGGUUUACCUUACAUUUACCCAAUCACUUCAAAACCAAUCCAGAAAACACCCUUUGGUCACAAAAAAACCAUGUCCCUCGCUCCAUCUGAUAUAGUUUGGUACAACCGAAAUUAUGACACUGGAACAAUCAUUGACAGUUGCGGAGAAUUCUCUAACGUACCUCUUCUCGGUAUAUGUGGGGGAAUUAGCUAUAACCCUAUUCUCGCCAGGCGUCAAUUUGGGUACCCAAUGGAAAAACCAAAGGAUAUCUCACUAGACGGGAUAUUCUACCUCAACCAAGAGGAUAACAAGGGCAUGAGAGGAAGAUUUAUACAAGCUUGGCGUGCAGUUCAUAAGAGGGAAAAAGGUCAGUUAGGAAGGAGGUCAGGUUUGAUCUAUGAAUCUUACACUAAGUGGGUCAUUGAUAGAGCUGCAAAAAAUGGAAUACCUUAUCCUCUACAAAGACUCCCAUCUUCAACUACCCCAUCUCCAUCCUUACCCAUGACUUCUAAAACCAAGGAGGAAGCUCAAUACCUGUUAACCGAGAUGACACGAGAAAAGGACAUAUGGAGAAUGAGAUAUAUGGAAGCCGAGAACAAGAUUGGGACUCUAAAGGGACAAGUAGAACAGAAAGAUCAUGAGCUCAGCAAGAUGAGGCAACAAAUGAUCGAGAGAGACGAUCUACUCCAGGAGAAGGACAGGUUGCUUGGAAAGCAUAUCACUAAGAAGCAACGCAUGGACUUCAUGGAUUUGUUUGAUGGUGCACAUUCAGAUUUCGAGGAGUAGUCUGCUUCAAGAGCUCAAGAGCUCCCCGUUUGUUUUAUCCUUUAUGCUUUCUAUUAUGUACUUUGGAGUCUAUCCCUUGGCUCAAUUUGUUAAAAAGGGAAUUAACUUGUUUCUAUUUGUAGGACUAUCCCUUGACUUUGUUUUAGAAAGGGAAUUAUCUUGUCCAAGGAAACUUUCAGUUAUGAUGUUUACUAAAAUUGCUUUUAUAAGUCCUUCGAUAAAUAAAAUAUGUCUAUCUUUUUGCAUAACAUCAUGCAUCAUCCCGCAUUUCAUAGUUUCAAAUACAAGUCUCACAAAUUUUAUUUUAUUUUUCUUUUCCACAAAAAGGUCAAAGAAGGGUUUCAUGUCUUCAUUCAACUUCAGCUCACACAUGCAAACACUCGUGCAAACACAAAAAAUGGAUCGACUUGGAGAAGAGGUCCACGAGCUUCGUGAAGAAGUGACUAUACUUCGGGCCGAGGUAGAGAAGUUAACUAACUUGGUAUCUUCACUAUUGGCUACGGAGGAUCAGCCGCUAUGCCCACAACAGCCUCGACAACAAGCUCUUCAGCAGUUUAUUGCUCAAGAUCAAGCUAAGGGAGCACCACGGUUUGGUCUGAUCCCUGUGAAAUAUGCAGAGUUGUUUCCCGCACUUCUUAAGGAAAAUCUGAUCCAAACUAGACCACCUCUCCCGGUACCAAAAAGGUUGCCAAUAGGGCAUAGAGCUGACCUUUCUUGUGCUUUCCAUCAAGGGGCAUCAGGUCACGAUAUCGAGCAAUGCUUUGCUUUCAGGACUGUAGUCCAGAAGUUAAUCCAAGCUAACACACUGUCCCCUGAGGGUCAGCUACUUGUCCAACAAAGAUCUCAAAAGCCGGUUUACCAGCCACAACUUCAACAACAGGCUCCAAGAGCACUGCAGUUUGAUCCGAUUCCUAUGAAGUACGCAGAAUUGUUUCCUUAUCUGCUCAAGAAGAACUUAAUCCAAACUAGGGCACCUCCUCUAGUGCCGAAGAAAUUGCCGGCUCAAUGGAGACCUGACCUCUUUUGUGCUUUCCAUCAAGGAGCACAAGGUCAUGACAUUGAGCAUUGUUUCUCCUUGAAGAUUGAAGUCCAGAAGCUGAUUGACGACGAUGUCUUGCCUUUCAAAAAUUUGAAUCCGAGUGUGUAGCUGCAAUUGGGUCAACGUUUAUGCCUUCUUCUGCUACUCGAUUUUCUUCCAGCGAUACGUUUGUUGGUUUACUACCUUUUCAAAAAAAUCCUUUCGUCCCGCCCGAGAUGAAAGUGAACUGGUGUAGGGCUUUUUGCUUUAAGAAUUGUCAUCAUUAAUAAAUAAAAAAAGUCGCUUCGAUCCCGACUUUGCCUUUUUGCUUUUUCUAGAAAAAUGGUAAAUACAAAAAAACCAAAAAACAAUAAUCAUUUUCAAAUAUCUGCAUAAUCAUAACUUUCAUUUACUCGUCAAAAUCAAUAAUCAAAUCAUGCAUUAAUAAACUCGUUGAACACAAUAACCAUGUACUCUCUUCCAACUUUGAGUUCCCUAUGUCCGAAGAUGAAGAAGAGGAAAAUGAGGAGACUCCUAGUGAGAUCUCUUGCUUACUGGGGCAUCUUAGCCGUCGAAUCUACAAACAAAAAUAUCAAGAAGAUUGCCCAGAAGAUGGCUUUCAUUUACAAAGACUGGCACAAGAUGCUACCAUCCGCACUUCUUGAGUAUAGUACUUCAAUGCACAUUUCAACAGGGGCAAGCCCCCCCCCCCCUCCAUCCCUCAGUAUACAACAUGAAGUUUGUGCUUCCCAUGGAGGUCGAAGUCCCAACAAUAGGAGUUCUACCAAAGUCCAAGCUUGAUUGAACUUAAAACACAUGACGACCUUGUACAACCAUGUUAAAAGAGGUUGAAACAAACUUCAAACAAGAAGGUUCGUCCUCAUGGAAUUCAAGAAAGAGACUUUGUGCCCAAAAAGGUACUAUCUUUCCAACCACACUCUAGGGGCAAGUGGACGCAUAACUAGGAAGGCCCAUGUGCACUGACUCUUGUGCCUACAAAUGGUGACAAACUCACACUUCCUAUGAAUGUCAAUGCAGUCAAGAAAUACUUUGUCAAAAAAUGAAAGCUCGAUAAGUCGCAAACCUGAAAAGGCGGCUUAGGCAAAAAUGAGCGUCUCGGUGGACUGAAAACCCAAAAGGGCGGUCCAGGCAAAAGUUAGAGACACAAAAAUGAUUAUCCUGAUAGAUUGAAAACCCGAAAGGGCGAUCUAUGCAAAAAUUAAGGAUCAAAAGACAAAGUAACUGCAUCAGUCAGGCACCAUACACUUGGGGCAUCCAACUAUCAAAGGACUUCCGACUCGAAGCCUCUACAUAUCAAAGACCCAGAACAGGGGCAUUCAAAGUUGUUGGGGAGAAUAACGGUUAUUGUGUUCAAUGCACCCUUCCCAUUACAUUUACCAUUUUUCCAAGAUUUUCAAAAUCCGUGGAGCCAUGCCCUUGGCAGGUCACCACUCAAUUCAGCAAAUUUGAGCCUGUGCCCAUUUAUUUGGAACUCUCAUUUAUUCUGUUUGCAUAAUUUUUUUCUAUUUUUUAUGGCAAUACUUAAAGCAAAAAUUUUCAAAAUACAAAACAUUUUUUUUUUUUUACAUCUUUUGAAAAGUGUGAACAACAAACACACUCUCUUUGAACUCAUAAGUAGGUGAAGCGUACAUCAACAUUUGCCUCAAGAACGGUUACACUACGAAAGAGAAGCAGGGCUAAGCACAUAUGGAAAGAACCUCUGCCUUGAGCAAGAUGCUGUCACAGUCAAAAAAAUACAAAAAAAAAAAUCAAAGCUCGCUAAGUGAAAACCUGGAAAGGUAGCUUAGGCAAAAAAUGAGCGUCCCGGUAGACUGAAAACCCGAAAGGGCGGUCUAGGCAAAAGUUAGGGACACAAAAAAGAAAUAUACUCCCGGUGGACUGAAAACCCGAAAGGGCAGUCCAGGCAAAAGUUAGGGAUUUCAAAAAAAAAAAACACGACUUUUGAAGCAUGCAAGAGGAGGAACACCCUGCGUCGUCUUACAACUGGCGACUUCUUCUAGACUUUCUAUCAACAAUGGGCUUUACCCCCAAGAGGCAUCAGUUGCUACCUUGUGCCAGGUUCUUAUACCGUCAACGGUUUGAUUUGUUAACAAUAAUGUCAUCUCCAAGGAAGUUUGCCAAGUGUUUGUACUGCGAUGUCAGUCCGCCUCCCACCUUACCAAUCCUGUCUCGUUCCAUCGAGUCUAUACAAUCAUACAUUCAUUCACACAUUCACACAUCAAUACAUUCAUACAAUCAUGCAUUCAUCAAUAUUUUCACAUAUUCUUACGUUUACGUGUACACAACAUAUGCACAACAUCGAUCCACCCAUAAUUACAUCAGUCAUCCAUAAUAUCGUUUCAGUCAUGUCUCUUAAGUUCGGUUUUAACUUAUCAAUUUCAAGCGGCAAGUUUCGGAUAAAGGGACAACUUGAAUCUAUUUUCAGUCAAUUUCAAGCGGCCAGUUUCCGAUAAAGGGACAACUUGAAUCUAUUUUCAGUCAAUUUCAAGCGGCGAGUUUCCGAUAAAAGGGACAACUUGAAUCUAUUUUCAGUCAAUUUCAAGCGGCCAGUUUCCGAUAAAGGGACAACUUGAAUCUAUUUUCAGUCAAUUUCAAGCGGCGAGUUUCCGAUAAAGGGACAACUUGAAUCUAUUUUCAGUCAAUUUCAAGCGGCGAGUUUCCGAUAAAAGGGACAACUUGAAUCUAUUUUCAGUCAAGUUCAAGCGGCGAGUUCCCGAUAAAGGGACAACUUGAAUCUAUUUUCAGUCAAGUUCAAGCGGCAAGUUCCCGAUAAAGGGACAACUUGAAUCUAGUUUCAGUCAAACGGCAAGUUCCCGAUAAAGGGACAGCUUGAACCUAUUUCCAGUCAGUUUCAAUUUCAAUUUCAAUUUCAAUUUCAAAAGUGUCAUACCCGGCGUAAAGCCGUGCAAGCCAUGUCACUAAUCAAUUUCAAUUUCAAUUUUCAAUUUCAAAAGUGUCAUACCCGGCGUAAAGCCGUGCAAGCCAUGUCACUAAUCAAUUUCAAUUUCAAUUUCAAUUUUCAAUUUCAAAAGUGUCAUACCCGGCGGAAAGCCGUGCAAGCCAUGUCACUAAUCAAUUUCAAUUUCAAUUUCAAUUUCAAAAGUGUCUUCCCCGGCGUAAAGCCGUACUAGUGAUGUCACUAAUCAAUUUCAAAGUGUCAUCCCUAGGCGUGAAGCUGUGUCAGUGAUGUCACUAGUUUAAUUUCAAUCACCUGUUAUACAUGUAGUAGACAAUCAUUUCCCCCAGUGAAACUACAUUCCCCUCGUGGAGUCAGGAUCCCUUUCUUCAGCGAAUUCGGGUAUCCCAUUGUUGUUUCUCAUUCCAGUCAAGCCAUCUAUGUCAUCCUGCAUUCAUAAUUGCAUCGCAUGCAUUCAUAACAUCUUAGGCCAAAAAUUGUGUACUUUGUAUUUAAGUCUCUUCGACCCGUCGAAUCAAAGAUUCCAUCUUCAAAUCUCUGGUCGAAGAAACUUAAAUAGGGGCAUCUGUCAUACCCCAAUUUUUGACCCAAGAUACCACUUACACGUGUCAUUUAAACUCCGACCGGUCUCAGCCUUUCGAGCAAAAAAUUCGGCAGGGAGGUAUUUUAAAAUACCUCAUAGUUGGUUCCGAGUCGGGCCCUCUUCUCUCAAUUUUCAAUUUUCAUCUAAUUUCCAUCUUUUAUCAACUUUAAAUCCAUCUUAAAUUUUUAUCUUUUUAUCUCAUUUUGAUUCACUUCUAUCUUUUAUUUUAUUUUAUCUUUAUUAUUAUUAUUUUCCAAUUUGGUCCGAUAAUAUCCAAUUUACAGCCUGUCAGCUUCCUCUCCAAGCCACAACAGCCUGUCAUGUUUCCUCCCCAAGCAACAAAAUUUUGCUCAUUUCAAGCUCUAUAAAUACAACACGCAAGCAGCACACAGAGAGGGGGGCCCAACAAACAAAAAAAACAUUCCACGGCCACAACACAACACACAAGACAACAAUUUUCAUUCUUUUUUCGAUCCCAAACCAGCAACCAACAGAGAACAAUUUUCCUCCCAUUUUUUCUUACAAUCCAAACCUUUCCAAUCAACCAACCAAACACAAAUUUCAAACCAGAACAUUUCUAACACAAGAUCAACAACCAAACUCACAGAUCCGGUAACCAAACCGCAAAACAACACACAAACUGUUCUCAUAACAAAACCGAACCAUCGCAACUCAAAUCGAACCAAAUCUUUACAAACCCUCUCAAACCAAAAAGGUAGUAUUUCUUUCCUUAGAUCUAGGUCCAACCGCUUGGUAAAAAUAUUUUUUGAGCUUAAAAUCAUAAAGAGUGAGUAAAAAGAAGUAAAAAGAAGUAAAAAGAACGAAAAAAGGAGACGCUUUCAUCUCCGGCGCGGCGGCGCAGCCGCUAUGGCUCACCGGCCACCGCGCCGGAACCCCCUCCGACCACCAUCUCUCCACCGGAGAAGAUGAAGAAAUUCUAGAGAGAAGGCAGAGCUUCUCUCUCUAGAAAUAAGAGAAGAGAGAGAAAGAAAAAUAAAAGUGAAUGAAAAAAACCAGUCCUGCCUAUUUAUACUACUAGACCGAACCGGUUCAAAUCUGAACCGGUCUGAACCGGUCUAAUCCAGGCCCAUGCGUUUUUCCUGAGGCCCAAUCUCGAUUCUUCAUUUUUAUUCUUGCACCCUCACUUUACUGCUCAUACACCACCAGCAUCUCAUCUUUUUACUUUCUUUUUUUCAUGCAUUUUAAUUUCCUCUCUAUUAAUCCAGAGUGCUCUGGUCCUAUAUUAACUGUUAAUAUUAUAUUCUUGUUUAAUUUAAUUAUUCUCCAGAACAAUCUGGUCCUUGUUAAUUAAAUUAAUCCAGAGUGCUCUGGUCCUAUAUUAACUGUUAAUAUUAUAUUUUUGUUUAAUUUAAUUAUUCUCCAGAACAAUCUGGUCCUUGUUAAUUAAAUUAAUCCAGAGUGCUCUGGUCCUAUAUUAACUGUUAAUAUUAUAUUUUUGUUUAAUUUAAUUAUUCUCCAGAGUGCUCUGGUCAUUGUUAAUUAAAUUAAUCCAGAGUGCUCUGGUCCUAAAUUAACUGUUAAUAUUAUAUUCUCCAGAAUAUUCUGGUCCUAUAUAUAUAUUAAAUACUAUUUAUCUUGUUGAACUAACAAUCUUUUCUUCACACCCACACACUUUAUUUUUUUGUUGCUCUAUUUGUUUAAUUUUCCAUUACUAUUCAAAACAACAAAAACAUUCAAAUAUUCAAAAAACAACAAAAACAUUCAAAUAUCCAAAAUUCACAAAAAGAGCUUUUCACAACAAACCUUGACUUUCAAUCAAGUGACCGUCUUUUUAUUUUAUUUUUCUUAAUCAAAUUUCAAAUCAAUUCUAAUUCAACUUCAAGUCAAUUUUCUUCAAUCUAAAAAACACAAAUCAAUUCUCAUUUGCCAUUUGGCUUUUUAUUUCAAAACCUUUUUCAAAACAUAUAAAAAACACCAAACAAAUCAAACGUCAAUUUCUACCCCGAACUACGAGGUUUUGAUCCCUCACGGGUACGUAGGCAGAGGACCUUGUCCUUCCAAAUCAAUUAAAAAACAAUUUUCUUUUUUCUUUUCAACUUUCAACUAAAAAACAAUUUUCUUUUUUUUCCUUCAAUCAAAAUCAAUUUUCUUUUUCUUUUCAACUCAUCAUUCAAUUCUAUUUUCAUCUCUUUAAAAGCAAGCAAGUUUAAGCACAAAAAGUUAAAUAAAAUCAAGAGGUUCUCGUAGAGUACUACGAAUAUUUAGGGUGCUAACACCUUCCCUAAAUAUAACCAACCCCCGAACCCUAAAUCUCUUCAAAAUGGGUUGUUUGGAACUUUUUCCCCUUAAAAAAAAAUUUGUUCAGUCGUGAGAUAAAAAGUGAGUCAAAGUCAAUCAAAUGGCCUUGACGUCCGAAAAAUGGCGCGACAUUAUUUAUACGAUAUUAUUAUAAAUCAUGAAUAUGCUCCUUAAGAUGGCUAAUCGAUACAAUAAAUAUCUGUUUCAGGCUAUGAGAUACUGCUAUGCUAUCUUGUAUCACAUUAUUCUGCUCACUUUCUAAUGGUUAGAAUUUUGUUUUUCUUGGCCCUUUUAAGGGUGAUGGAAUAGAUGCAGAGGCUGGAUUGCUGGAAGAUAUUCUCAUUCACGAGGAAAUCUAUAAGUCUCGACUAGCCAGCAUUAAACGGGUAAGUUGCUACUUCUCCGCUUAUUCUAUUUCCUCUUUAUACUUCUACUGACUGAACAAUUUUCAGGAAGAAGAAAUUGUUUUGCGAGAGAGGGACCACUACGAACUAGAGAAGGGAAGACUAAUUCGUGAAAUGAAACGCAUUCGGGAUGAAGAUGGUUCACGGUUCAACAAUUUUCAGAUUCUAAACCAUCGUUACGCCCUUCUAAACCUUUUUGGAAAGUGAGGAUUCAGCGAGGUGUACAAGGUCUAAACUUUACUGUACAAUAUUAAUCAUUUUAUCAUAUUUAUAUUAAUUUAGCGAAUAUUAUACAUGGUUGAGUUACUAAAACCAGAAUCCUAGAGAGUUCCUUUGCCUUUUAUUGGCAAAUGUAAAUAAAUACCUUUUUGCAGUGAUUUGAAGUAAAAAAUUUCCAGCAGGCUUUUGAUUUGGUGGAGCAUAGAUAUGUUGCAUGCAAGCUUCAUGGUUUAAAUGCUCAAUGGAGUGAAGAGAAGAAGCAAAGUUACAUAAGGCAUGCAAUUCGGGAGUAUAAUAUUCACAAGACCUUGGUCCAUCGUCAUAUUGUUCGUUUAUGGAACAUCUUUGAGAUUGAUCCAAAUACAUUCUGCACUGUUCUAGAGUAUUGCAGCGGUAUAUACACCUCAUAUGUUUUAUGAAGAUAAUUAUUUUGUUUACUUUUGUUAUAGACUAUGGGUCUGUUUGGAUUGAGUUAUUUGAGCUUGCACUUUGUGAGACUGUUUGAGAGAGCUUAUGAAUACAACCUAUGAAAUGUUAAUAAGCUGUUUUCAGCUUAUUUCCAUAAGCUCUCCAGAAUAACUUAUGAAAACAACUUAUAGCUUAUAUGAAAACUUUUUGAUUUGAUUUUAUCUUUUAUUAUAGAAAUAACUUUUGCAUAGCACUUAAAUGAUAAACACAUCUAUAAGUGCUUGAUGAAGUUGUUUAUCCAAACAUGCUUAUAAAUAUUGUAUGUUUGAUUUCUUGUUUUGUCUACUGCUCCUUCAUUUGAUCCUCCUCUGUUCUACCAGGGAAAGAUCUUGAUGCUGUUCUUAAAGAAACACCUAUAUUGCCUGAGAAGGAGGCUAGAGUCAUUUUAGUUCAGAUUUUCCAAGGCCUUAUUUACAUGAAUAGAAGAGCACUGAAGAUUAUCCAUUAUGAUUUAAAGCCUGGAAAUGUUUUGUUUGAUGAGCUUGGUAUUGCCAAAGUGACUGAUUUUGGUCUUAGCAAGAUUGUGGAGAAUGACGUGGGAUCCCAGGGUAUGGAACUUACAUCCCAGGGGGCUGGAACGUAUUGGUAAGUGAUGAAGAUCAUUGUUGUAGGAUUUCUAAUUUUGAAGUGUUCCAAACUUGUUGGUUUUAAACUUCUUUAACAUUUGCUUUAAUAAACUUCUUUUUGCCUUUCUUUCAUUUUUGAUUUGCAGGUAUUUGCCUCCUGAAUGCUUUGAGCUCAGCAAGACGCCUCUUAUAUCAUCCAAGGUCAUUAAUUAUUUUUUAGUCGUGGAUGCAUGGAUCAUUUUUUUGUGUUAUGAUUUAUGAAUCUCAAUUUGUCAGUCAUUUUGGUCAAUGGAUAUUUCGUUUUAACAUAAGUUUCGUGAUGUCGGUAUUGUGCAAACAACUAAGUGUUGGAUAAUUAUCUUACUUGAUAUUCACAUAAUAUUUCUGACUUGUGGAAAACAGGUUGAUGUCUGGUCUGCUGGUAUUUUGUUUUAUCAAAUGCUAUUCAGCAGACGUCCUUUCGGACAUGACCAAAUACAAGAAAGAAUACUUCGUGAAGAUACAAUUAUUAAAGCACGCAAGGUUGAAUUUCCCUCAAGACCUACUGUUUCUAAUGAGGCAAAGGUAGGUUGAGACCUUUUACGAUAAGUACUGCCCGUAGCUUAUUGUUCUUUGGCCAUCGUUCAUUUAUUUAUAUUAUUCUAUUAUUCUGUGGACACGAUCUUCACCUGUUUUAGGUUAUAUUAUUGCAUGAAAAUUCGACUUUAUUCUAUGUGCAGUCGCAAUUAGCCUUGACAAUUCAUCUGAAUGUGCAAAUUCUCUCCUUGGUAUCACAAUGCCAUUAAAAUGUUAAUAAUGGUUUGAUAGUUGAAAGUAAUUUGCAGCAAUGAGAAACUAUUGGUAGUGCAAGAUAUUUUUUCAUUUAAAAAUUUAUAUUUCUAAUUAUCAUCAGCACUCAGCAGAACCAUAAUAAUAUUUCUUAGGCAUUGUAUUAUUCUCUAAGUAACAAACUAUAAAGUAAUUAUAAUCUCAACUGUUGAAGAAGGAAACAAACUAUGAAGAAGUUAAAGUCUCACUGUUGAUUUCCAAUCAAGAAAUAUAAUUUCGCACUGUUUUCUCUGAAUAAAACUCCUCACAGUUUAGAGGAACCAAAUCCAAAAUACCUGUACUUACUGCCUACAAAUAUCACUGAAACCUGACAAUUAUCUCUACUGCAUGUACAAAUUUGUCAGGAAUUUAUACGGCGGUGUCUGACAUAUAACCAGGCUGAGAGACCAGAUGUAUUGACCAUUGCUCAAGAUCCAUAUCUCACAUACGUGAAGAAGUAGUGAUGUUCAUUGACAUGGCUUUGUUACCCUUUCCCUACCAAAAAAGCAUAUGGGGAUCUCAUCUUCUAACUUCAGUCACUAAAUAUCUGUCAGAAUUUGUAUAGGCUAUUAAGGUUUUCUUGUCUCAAAUGAGUGAGGGAAAGGAUUUUUCCCAUUCUACAAGGAGUUCUUGUUUUCUUCAUGCAUUUAUCAUUUUGGUUCAAAAUACCGGAGUAGCAAAAAGCUAGUUGAGUUGACUUGACCUUGAAAGGGUCAUGAUGUAUAGGUAGGUAAGAAGUUUUUUUUUUUUUUUUUUUUAAUUAUUUUUUUAAUUAUUCUUCUUGCCACCAAAUUAUUGGAUUAUAAUGCAUAUUGAUCGGCUACAUUUUCUUUUCAUUUGUAAAGAGUUGUUUAAAGACAUUUUAUUGAAGAGUUUGCUUAUCUUACAAUUGUGUAAUAGAUGGUUCAGCCUAGUAUGUGUGAUGAUGUAUUUCAAUCAAACUGGCAAUGGUACAGCAAUGAAAAACAACUUGUUAUUUGUAACUUGGCCUCAGUUACAUAUGCUUGUUCAACUUUGGCGAGCCAACUUUUGAAACCUUGGGUUUUGUAAUUCCCUGAUGAGGGUUUGCAGUGCCUCAAUAAUAAUGAUGGCAAUUGGGGCCCCCCAACAUCAUUUCUGAAAGACGAACUCGCACAUGCACAAGUAGAAGGAAGGCAUUUGGCACACUACCAUUGUGGCCGCGUGGGUGUGGCGACCGCAAUCUGUGUUUUGCCACAAGGGCUUGGACGUUAUGAGCUCUAUUCUUUGCCUCCUUCUAUAGAUCAUCAUCACCAAGAGCAUGCUUCUUGAGUUCUCAAGAGUCUUAGAACUUUUAUCGACAGUUGCGCAACCAAAUUAUUGUAAUUGCUUGAGCUUGCCUCACAAUCUCUACAUUUAGAACUUCAAAUCUCUACAUUUUAUAUAUUUCCUCAUUGCCAUAGUCCAUAAGCCUUUUACUCUUCUAGUGAUACUUCUGUACACUUCAAUUUGAUCUCCUAAACUUAGCGUUGGGAUUAUCAAACUCCCCACCAAUCAAUAUUUUCAUUGUCAGAUUCGUAAAUAUCUUGUCUUGAUAGCAAAAAAAGAACAGAUCUGAAUUCUCAAUGGUUCAUGCAUCUGCCUUCACACAUUUAUUAUACUAACAUCUCCAAAUUUCUUCCACCAGUUUAGAUUUAAAUAAAUGACCAUCUCGACGACAAAACUUGUGCUGUAAUAGAUCAAUAGCUUAAUAAAAAACAACAACGAUCCUUUUCAGUCUAGUGCACUGAUAGAAUAUUAGAUAUUGGUGAUUAAUAUUACAAAUAUUGCUUCAAUUGUUAAAAUUUGUAAGCCUUCUUACAUGACAUGUCAGCUAAUCAAUUAAGCUAUUCAACUUACGGAUCUCCAAGUUGACAACAAUGCUCAAAAGUAAUAAAAGAAAAAACAUUCAAUAACAAAAAAGGUGUCCGGUAGUGAGGGUCACAUGACCACGUGUCACAUUUAUAUGUGGUGGUAGAAAAGGUAUGUGACACUUGUGGUGGUCAACUUAUCACCACUCAAUGAUUUGCAUUAAUGUUUUAGAUAAAAAUGUCUCUCUCACGUAGUUGCACUUCACUAAAUAGAGUGCCCCAGACUCCCAUUGUGACCCCACAAGAAAAUAGCUAAAUAGCUUUGGUUAACCCUUAUUAUUUUUUUUAAACAAGUCUAUCAUCUACAAUAUUUUUUUGUUAAGCAAAACAUUUUAUUUACUAGCUAUCGAAGUAUGAAAAUGAACUUGUACUUGCAACAAUGCCUAAAGCCUUGAAUUUACCUUCGUUGUUUGUUGGACAAUGGACAUAUCAUAGUGAUUUGAGUUGAUGUGCGUUUUGUUUGUCAUUUAUGCCGACUAUUUGAUGAAAGGAUUAGGAAGUACAAUAUUCAGCAUCAUCAUUUUCGAAGGCAUGCUGGGAGUUUGGUAGUGAACGACAUUAUACGAGGGGUGGCACCGCUUAGUGCCGAAUCGCUAGUUUGGUUUAUAAUUCAAGAGAAGUUGACCACAAGGAAUAGAUUCAAGAGAUUAAAUAUUAUACUUGAACCAUAUUUGCACAUCACAGCUUAAAGCAACAAUACGUUUUACUCAUAUUUUCAUAUGAAUGUGUAUGUAUUUACGCAUGUUUUAAUGAAUAUUGUUCAAUUAUUCAUUCAUUGCCGCAGUACCCUAAUCGAGUCGAUGACACACUUGAACAGGCAUAAAGGAGCGAUAAUUACAUAGAAAUAAUAUUUGGAUGCUGUGACACCAUUCAAUUCCAUUUUAUAAGAGAAGUUGAACACUGAAAUAGAUUAAAUAUUACACAAUGAGGAUAUUGUUUCAAAUAUACAUUAUUCAAAAGGUAAAAAACAUCACCAUCCUUCAAUUGAAGCACCAACAUCUAUAUCCAUCAUAGAAAUUAAAAACAACAUAUUUUGAUAUGUGUGAACUACCUAACAACCAAAAGACAUUGAGAUAAAAAAAAGUUUAGAAGUUGAAGCAAUUAAGUCUUAUCAUUUAUUCAACAAUAAAAUCUUGAAAGUAACAAAAAAGCAAUUAAUCACUUUAAUUUCUUAUUUGUUCAACAACUUACAAUAACACAUUGGUGUAUAUAUAUAUAUAUAUAUAUAAUACAACAUCCCUUAAACUGGGAAGUUCUGAUUAAUUACAAACAGCUGUAACUACAUAUUUGAAAAUACAAACAUCAAAUUAAUUCAUUCUUCUGCGAUUUGCACAGUAUCUGUUGUUUGUUCUUUUCAGUCUUAUGUUAAACAUGUUUUCAACAAUUCUAACAAGCCAUUGAGGUUUACCAGUGAAGAAGAAUACAUUAUAUCCCAAGAGGAACCCGGAUAUUGCCCCACAUCCAUAUCCAAUUGCCACAGCUUUCCAGCCAAAUCCGGAUUCUUCUUCAUCUUCAGAUGUUGAAUGAGGUGGCAGAUCUUCCUCAUUUUUGCAUGAUUUAGACAAUUGGAAUCCACACAACAUUGUAUUUCCUUCAAAAGAAUCAUUUCCAAAUGUAUUAAACUGUUGACCUUUAGGUAUGAUUCCCUCAAGGUGGUUUUGUGAAAGGUUUAAGACUGAGAGGAAGUUCAAAUUUGUCAAAGCCACAGGAAUCUCACCCUUCAAUUGGUUGCAUGAGAGGUCCAACCACUCCAAAUUUCUCAAAUGACUCAAAGAUUGUGGAAUGCUACCUGUGAUUCCAUUGUUUGAAAGGUUAAGUCCUUUGAGAGAAUUUAAUUCUCCAAUGACUUGUGGAAUUUCACCUUCAAACAUGUUAUUUGAUAAAUCAAUAGUUGUGAAAGCAGUCAAUAUCCUUGUUAGCUCAAUGAAAAAACCUUUCACUGUGACCACAACAGAAUCAUUAUAGUAAUAACCCACACCCUUGUAUUGCAAACCAAUUUGGCUGUCAUUCACAUUCAUCAUUCCUUGAAAGUUCUUGAUGCAUGAUGUUGGCAAGGGCCCACUAAAAUUGUUGAUAGAAACAUCAAAAAUUCUCAACUUAGGAAAUGAAUGCUUGGUGCUAGAACAAGUGAUUGCACCAUGAAGAUUAUUUGAUCGUAAGCUUAGAACUUGUAACUCUUGUAGAGUUUCUAGCCAAUUUGGAAAUGUGUCCUCUAUGUUGUUGUCACCAAGGUCCAAAACUUCAAGAAAUGAACAGUGAGACAAAGACUGUGGUAAUGGUCCUUCCAAUUGGUUUCCAUUCAACUUUAUAGUCUGAAAUGCAUUUUCUUUGGAAAAGGUUCUAGGAAUGUUUCCAUAGAGGUUGUUCAUUUGCAUAUCCAAUACAUUAAGAGAAGUUAAUGUUCCCAGGCAUUGUGGAAUCAUACCUGUUAAAUUGUUGUGAGCCAAAUUGAGAACAUUCAGGUAACUUGCAUUGCAGAAUGUUGAAGAUAUAUCUCCUGUGAAAUUGUUGUUUGAGAGUAAAUAGUUUUUAAUGCCAUCAGGUGGAAUUGGAAGAUCUCCUUGAAAGUUGUUGUGAGCCAAAUUGAGGGUAUAAAGGGAACUUGCAUUGCAGAAUGUUGAAGAAAUAUUUCCUGUGAAGUUGUUAUUUGAGAGUGAAAAGUAUUGAAUGCCAGAAGGUGGAAUUGGAAGAUCUCCUUGUAACUUGUUGAAACUCAAGUCAAUGUACGAAAUCUCAUUCCAUGAGUUUAAGAGCUUCUUAUGAAACCAUUUGGGAAUUUUCCCAUGAAUGUUGUUAUUGGAGAGAUCUAAUCUUUGAAGAUUUCGUGUUUGGAAUUUAGGAAAACUAUUAAUAUUAGAAUAAGAUAAAACUAAGUCAACAAGGUUGGGUAAGAUGGAGUCAGCACUGCUAUCAAAGUUGAUAGAAAGAAAACUAUUGUGUGAAAGAUGGAGAUAUUCUAGUUUGUUUAAUUUUGAAAAUUGGUGAAAAUCGACAACACCACUCAAGUUGGUUGAUGACAAAGUUAAGUAAGAUAGAUUUUGGAGUUGAAAUAUUGAAUUUGGAAAAUGACCAUGUAGGCUGUUAUUAGAGAGAAACAAAUAUUGCAAAGAAUAUGUUGAAAACUCACCAAUGAACCCUGUAAGAUUGUUGUUGCUGAGGUACAAUUCUAACAACGAAGGCAAAGAAUAACACCAAUGUGGAAUUGUUCCAUUUAACAUGUUAUCCCUCAAACCCACAUAGCUCAAUUUUGAACGUUUUGUGAUUUCAAUUGGAAUUGGCCCAACUAGUUUGUUAUAUGAUAAACCUAAAAUAGAAAGGUGAGGUAGAUGAAAAAGUGAUGAUGGAACUUGGCCUGUUAGGUUGUUAAAGGAAAGUGCUAAAUAUUCCAAUUUGAUUAAAUUUCCAUAAACAAUUGGGAUGCUACCGCUAAAGUUAUUAUCUGUAAGAUCAUAAUGAAUGAGGUGUUUGAGGUUUGAAAGUAAUGGUGAGAUCUCACCGUCAAGCUUAUUAUAUGAAAGACUCAAAUAUGUUAGUUGGGUGAGGUUCCACAAAGAUAGAGGAACCAUCCCAUCUAAAUGGCACCAUGAAAAAUCUAAUCGAGUAAGAUACUUCAAUUGACCUAUGGAAUAAGGAAUUUCACCUGAAAAAGCAGAUAAACGGAGGUUCAAGUACCUUAGAGGAGUGCUCAAGUUGGACUUUGGAAGUUGACCACUAAGGUUAUCAUUAAAUGACAAAUCCAAUCUUUGAAGAUUAGGUAAAGAGAGGAUGUCACUUGACAAAUUUCCUUGCAACCCAGUGUUUCGUAGAAGAAGAGAAACCAAAGAGGAUGAAAAAUUCUUUAGCAUGGACAAAGAGCUCUCCGUAAUGGAAGACAUAUCCACACUAUUCAAAUGAAGCUCCCUUAAAUUAGUAGCAUUAUGAAUGAGUUUCUUCCAAAUGAAUGACUUGAGUUUCAAUCCCACUUCUUCGGACCAGUAACUGCUAAGAUCAAGUGAUACUAAUUUUGACAAAUGAGAGAUUGUGGAAGGAAUAUUACCACUGAGGUAACAAUAUGAUAGAUUUAGAUGUGUGAGUUUCACUAAAUCUCCAACACCAAUAGGCAUUGAAGACUCAGAAAAAUUAUUAAAAGCCAAGUUGAGUUGUUGAAGGUGUUUAAGCUGAAAGAUGGUGCUAUUGGGAUGUAAUUCACCUUUAAGAUUGUUGCAACUGAGGUCCAGACCAAUCACGUGAUCUGACAUGGUGUCGCACGUGACACCAUCCCACUCACAACAAUCUGUACUGUUUUCCCAAGAUUCUGUCUUGAAAGAAAAAGAGGAACAACCAAAGUACGGAUUGGGUUGAGAUGAAGUGUUGACAGAAAAAGAGUUUUUGAAUUGUAACAAGGCAGAGUUGUCAUGUUUGUUGCACAAUGAGAAAGUGUAGGAAGUAAAAUGAGUAAGCAGCAACAACAACAAGAAAAAGUGAAAGGUAAAAUAAGGCAAUGGAAUAAAAAAGGAUCCCAUUUAGAGAAACAUAAUUACACUUAAUACUCUCUUAUCAGUAUUCUUUCCUUUUUCCUUUAUGAUAUGAUUUUGGAUGUACCAAUUGAUUUCCCUCUAUUUAGUUAUUUAUAUUCAAAGAAACUAAAGCAUUGAUAUAAGAUGGGUUUGUUUUGUAGUAAGUGCUGGUGCUUAUCUUCAACCGUAUGAGGCACUCCAGUUUGAAGAUUGAUUUUUUGUGGUUGCAAUUUUAGUGAGGGAGUAUUUUGAGUCAAUUAUACUAAUUGACGAUAUCAUUCAUUUAUUAGUAUCUUAAAAAAACAUUAAUUAAUUCAUUAGUAUCCAUACAAACAUUUGGUGUAUAAUUAAGUGGUGCAUAAUUAAGAUAUGUAGGGUCAACCAAACAUUUAUGAAUUUAUUUUUGAGUAAAGUAAUAUAAAAUUACUUUAACAAAUUAAUUCUAAAGUUGAAGGAAGAGUUACCUUUAAUUUAAAAGAAAUUAAGAAAAUAAAUUGAGCCAAUGAAUGAAAGGUAUUUUGCGUAGAAAACCGAGUAAACAUUUUAGAAAUUGAGUCUUGCGGUGCUCUUGUUUGGUAGUAGCUAGGCGAUGUCUUCUUCAACCGUAUGGAGCACUCCAGUGGAAAUAUUUUUUGUGGUUGAAAUUUUAAUGAUACGAUAAUUAAUUCAUUAGCAUCCACAGAAAUAUUACAAGACUUGACUUUAGCCAAAUGAGACAAUUCCAUGAAGAAAAAUGAUAUUGGAACAGAUUUUUUUUUUUUAUAGAAAGAUAUUGGAACACAUAUGUGACAUCAAACAAGAGACGUCUACACAUGUUCUUUUUUAAUAUUUAAAAAAAACUUUUUUAAAAUGGUGGAGAAUUAUUGUAACACAAAAAUUAAGUUGUGAUAUUAACUUUUUUCACGCGCAUGGCUAGUAGACAUGUCAUAUAUGGAACUAUGAUGAUCUUGAGAUUUUUGAGUAAAUGACGUGCACCCACGCCAAAGGUUGACAGACAAGUCUGUUGUACCAUAAACUCGACCACGGUUACGACCCCUGCAGAUUCGGUCCACAACCCAAGUUUUGUUCCUCCAUCAACCUCUUGCACACCAUCUCGAGUUGUUUCAUCAAUCUGGGCUUGUACUGUACUCAAAAGGAACGAACUAUGAAGUAGUUAAAUUAUAGUCUUAACCAUUGAUUUCAAUUCAAUAGUUAUAAAUAUUGUUUCUUAAUUUUUGCUCUGUUUCUAUUGUAAAUAUUGUUUGGACUUUGCUGGUUCUUUCUUAGUACAUUUUGUGUUAGAAAUGACUCAUUGAUUUCGUAAUAUAUUUCAUUUUAGCUUCUUUAAAAAAAAAAUUUAAUAGUUAUAAUUUUGCAUCAUAUUCUGGAGUAUCUCACUUUCUCUAAGGAAUAGUGAUCUCAUCUGCUAAUUUCACUCACUAAAUAUCUGUCAGAAUUUGUAUAGACCGUAAAGAUUUUGAACUCUUGAUUGAAGGGUGUUUCCUCACUAUGAAAGGAAGUCAUGCUGUCUUAUUGCAUUUAUCAUCUGGUUCAAAAAAUAUUGGAUUAGCAAAAGGCAAGUAAGUUUGACUCGACCUUAAAAGGUCAAUAGGUAUAGGUAGGGGAGAAGAUUCUCUUGAUUUUUAAUAUUCUUGCCACCAAAUUAUAGGAUUUUAAUGCAUAUUAAUGGCUACUUUUUCUUUUAAUUUGUGGGGAGAAUUAUUUUUAAGACAUUUGAUUGAACAGUUUAUGUUAUAUUGGUUAAAUAGGUGGUACAAAAGGACUAGUUUUCAACCAUCGAUAUCACAUGUGGUGUUACAUUGGCAAUUUGAUUUCCUAGCCUCAGUGAUGGAAUUAUCAGUCUCCCCACCAACUAAUCUAUUCAUUGCCAUAUUCGUAAGGAUGUGGCAUUCUUUAUCGAUCGAUGUACACCAAGUAUCUGCAACAAGCAAGUAAAGACGAAUAAUUAUUCAAAUGUUUUAUUUCUUUUAAAAUGGAGUGGGAAGGGAUUUAUAUAAACAAACCAACAAAAUAGAGUGUUGAUUUUGAGUAGAUAGGAUAUCUUGGUUGUACAAUAACUUGUUAUAUAACUAGUUAUUUUGGGAAUGUAGUUAAACUUAUUAUUUUCAUAUAGUACUAAGUUGUUUUCAUUAGCCGUCAUUUGAAGCUUGUAGAAAUAAGCUAUAAAUAGCUUAUGGACAUCAUGCCAUGUUAUAAGUCCUCCUUAAUACUUAAAUGAUCACUUAUGUCAUAAGGUAAACCUAAAUAAACUGUAAACUAUAUAUCAUUUUCACAGUGUAGUUCCUAGUUUCAUCACAGUGAAAUAAACUGUAACUAAGCGAGCCGGAAGCGAGCUGUUAGCGAACAGCUACUGUAAGUAGUUCGCUUAAGCGAAGACUCGUUCGCAUAAGCGAAGUGCCUUUUUACAGCAUUUCUUAUUUCACGUUCUUGUGUCUUUAUCAGACGUUUCUGUUUUGAAUUGGCCUUUGGUGUAAACAUGAAAGUUGUAAAUAAUUUUGUUAGAUUUCCAAUGGCUUUGGUUUGACUCUAAAAUGAUUUUUGGUUUAGGAGUUAUGAUGAAAAUACUCCAAGUAGGUCUUAGGGAAAUUUUAUGAAAAUUCAGCAAAACAUUUUCCAAGUUAAUCCAAAACUUGUGGGACAAUUCCAAGGCUCAAAACUAGAAUUAAUAUGAGUGCAAUUAAGGUUUUUAAGAGUAUUUAACCCAUGUUGUGAGUUGACCCUUGGGGUAGGAAUGGAGGUUGAUUAUAGUACUGUUGAUGUUGAGUGAGUCAGAUAUAAUAUGAUUUGAUGUUGUUAGUAAUGAGAUAUAUUUGUAUAUGCAUUAUGUGGAUUAUAUAAGAUGUUUAAGUUGAUAUUGAUUAUCAUUUGAUAUUGUUAUAUCUUGAGAUGUUUAUGUGCUGCCUAUGUUGCCGUUGUUGAGUUUAGUGAAUCUGGAGAUGAUUAAUUGUGUAUUUUCUGGAAUCGUUGGAUCAAUUAUGAUGGAUUAUUGUUGACUGUGAUGUAUAUUUAUAUUUAAAUAAAUUAUACAUGUUGCUGAAUUCUUUUCAAAGGUUGAAGUAUUAUUAAUUGGAUUGUCGAGGUGAAGUCAUAUUUACAUAUAUGCAUUGAUGAGUAGUGGUUGUCGUUGAUGUUGUUGAGUUGUAUGUAGAUAUACACAAGUGGAGUCAGUUGCAUUAAAGGGUGGUGAGUCAUAUAAGUACAUAUGCAUUUGUCGUUGAGUUGUAUGUAGAUAUACACAAGUGGAGUCAGUUGCAUAAGCAUAAAAAUGAUGUUAUGAUGAGGACUUCGGUCCUGGAACGCUUUGUCGUUCAAAAUGAUGGAACACUAUGUUGUUCAAAACGAUGUUAUGAUGAGGACUCAUGUCCUGAUAAAAGAAUGCUUUAAUCAUUCUAUAAAGAUGAGGGCUUCGACUCUGUUAUGGUACCACAUGCAUAGUUGCAUUUGUUGAGAAGUCUUAGUGGAGUUGUCAUGUCUUGCAUGAGUCUUAGCGGUGGUGUCGAGUUGUUGCAUGAGUCGUUGUUGUUGGUUUUAAUUACCAUUUGUUGUUGAUGUUGUUAAUGAUGAUAUACUUCUAUAUUGAUGAAUUAUUAUUAUGACAGGGUGUUAGAUUUAAUUGAUGAAUUAGAUAUCUAUUAUUGAUGAUAUUGUUGACUAUGAAAUAUAUACAUAUAUUGGAUAAUUGUAGUUGCCAUUGUUUUUGAGAGAUUUGUUGUUGUUGUUGUUGAUUAAGUUGUUGUCAUCGUUGAUGGUUGAAUUAGCAAGUGUUACUAAAGUUAAAGAAGUAAGAACAUUAUUGUUGAAUAUAUGUAGUUGUUUAUAUUGUUAUGAUGUGAUGAUUAUGUUGUGUCGUUUAUAUUAUUAUGAGAAGAUGUUUAUGAUAUUGAUUACGAUGUUAUGAAGACUGUUUAUGGUGUUGAAUAUGAGGUUGUUAUGAUGUUACAUGAUGAUGAUUAUGAAUGUUGUGAUGAUGAUUAUGUGAUGUUAUCUAUGAGUUGUUAAAUGUACUUGAUGAUGGUUAUGUUAAGUUGAUAAGUUGUCUUUUAUUCAUGAAUUGCUAAUGGAAUGUUUGAUGAAUAAUUAUUAUUAUGAAAUGAUGAUGUUACGUAUAGUUGCUAAGUUGCCCCUAUUCAUGAGUUGUUAAUAAAGUGCUUGGUGGAUAAUGUUAAUACGAAUUAAUGAUGUUGUUAUGUGUAUAUGAAAUAUGAAUAUGAUGUUGUUACGUUGUUUAUGUCAUUGAUUAUGAAGUUGUCAUGUUGUAUACGAAUUAUGAGUAUGAUGUUAUAUGAUUAUAAUUACAGGAAUGAUAAAUGGACACAAAAAUACAUACACAAAUACGACAGCAAGGGUAGUUUCGUAAUUUCCCCCUCAUUAAAACCUAGAUCUGUAGCUUCUCUCCUCUCUCAGAAAAUUGCGCACUCUCCCCAUCACCACACCUUCCAGAUCCUUUCUCCCCCAUGACUUUGUCCUUUAUCACCACCACCAUCGUUUCUUUGCCUCUCGCCACUAUCAACCACCAACCACCGCCGCGCUGCCCCUCUUCUUUCCCCGACGUUGAGGUACGUCGCCGGCAAUCAUCAUGGAGAUCCGUUCGUCCUCACUCUCUAUCUAAAAUCUGGUAGUAUUCACCGGCGUUGGUAACAGAGACGUCGUCGUUGGUCAUCAUGGAGUCUGUGUGCAUUGUAUUAUGUUGAUGUUAAUCUGUUUUGAGUUCAAUAUGGUGUUGUGUUGGAGUUCAAUCUUUUCACUCUCAUUGAUGUGUUGUGCUACUGAUUUUGUUUUCUCUGAAUUUUGAUGGCUACGGGUAAAAAGGUAAAACAUUUAAUUUGUCUUUGAAAUUAUAUUUCUUUUGUUGUUCAACAUGUUUGUAAGUUUGCUUAAGUUUUCUUUUGCUUCAUGUUAUCUGGUGUGAAGCUAUGGACAUUGUAUUGAUUUAUUUCAUUAUUGUGUUUGCCUUUUGCAGUGAAAAAAUGUCUACAUGCUCUUCCAAUUUCAAAUGAGCACAAUUGAAAAGAUAGGAUGGGUCACUAUUUUGUUCUAGUUUUGCUGUUAGUGUUGUGUAUUGCUGUUUCGGUAGGAUUGUUUUCAGCUUUUGGGGGCUGCAUUCACUGUUGCUAUAUCUGUGAUUUUGCAGUGGUGGUUUUGUGCUCAGUUUUUUGCCUGGCACUGUGAGAGUUGGCCGCCGCAAUGCUGAGCUGUCGUGGCUUCGCUUUCUUGCUGCCGUGGCUUCGUUUUGCUGUGAAGUGUGUGUUUGCUCAGUUUUCUCAUGCCCUGUUAAUAAACUUGUCUAUAUCAAAGAAUAAAAAGGUCAAGUUAUAGAUUUUCUACCAAUUGCGUCUUCUUUAUAUGAAUUAUCCGAAACAGCACCAACUCGACAAGGUUGUAUAUGUUCAGAUAUAAUGAAGGAGAUGAGUAAUUAGAAAAUUGAGAAGCUGAAGGUCAAGUUAUCUGAUGAGAAGAAAAGAAUUGGGCAAUCAUUAUUUUUUGUUGUCAUGGAGAUUUUUGUUACUCGCGUACUUAGGUUUUAGUGGAAAAUUGAUGUUCUCAAGUGUAUUUGAUGUAUUUGUUACAAUUUUUUUUUAAGGGUUAAUUUGUUACACUUGUUGACCUAUUUUGUGGUUGUUUAGAACAAUUAUGCAAAAUUGAAGUUUAUUAAGUGGCUAUUUUAUGACUGAUUCAAAUCCAGUCAUCUAGUAUCUUGAUGAUAAAUUUUGUGAUCAAUUUUAAAGUUUUGACAGGAACUUAUAAAAUAGCAUUGCUACCUUAAAUUGAUCACUAAUUUGUCAAUUACAACCAUACCAUUUACAACUUCCAAAACCAUACCAUUUACAUGGUUGAUUAAGUACAUCACAAAAUAGAACUUAAAUUACAUAAGUUAACUAGCAUUGUACCUAAUGUUAACUUUACAAACAUGUUUUUAAAAAAAAAAAUACGAAUUCAUAGUCAUGUGUUGACCUUUGUCACCAUGAUUUGGCCACCAAAAAACACAAUAUCAUAGUUAUAAAAGUCUGGUUAUAUACACAAAAGGGUCACUUCAUAUACUUAGCAAUGAGUGCAUUAGCUUUUGUCCAAAAAAUAUUAGAGCUGUCCAUGCUAGUUAACUAUCAUUGUACUUGCAUCCAGCACAUUUCCACCACUAACAACAUCAAGAGAUGAUUUAAUGCAGAUGUUGCUGUCAAACUGAUUUGUCACUCUUUCAGUAUUGAUAUCCUACAAAUUUGGACAAACAAAAAAUUAAGAUGCAAUCCAUAUAUACAUGGUGAUUACAAAACUUCUAAAUAAAAUAAAACAUACAUUAGUCCCUCUAUCAUCACUCUGUUUGUGUCGAUUACUUGGCCUCUUAGCAAAUUUUUCAUGUAUAGAUAUUUUUCUUUUUGAUGGAGGGCGACCUUUACGUUUUACCCGCAAUGGACUGUGAAUUUUUGUACCAUUGUUUGGAUUUGAGUCACCAUUGAAACUUCCUUUAAUAUUUUCAGCUGUAGCAUUCCUGGUGGGUAAAUCAGAAGCAAACUGAUGUAGUAUUUCAUGGAGGUCUACAGAUGUGUCUUCAAACUCAGCCGCUAUUUCAGCAACCUCGUAGAAGUGCUUGCAUAACUUGUCAAACCUGUCCAUUUGUGGCUUCAGUUGUGUCACACAAUAACUGCUCUUAAUAUAUGUAUGCUUCCUUUUAAUAUUUUUGUUCCAUUUAGUUAAAACAUACUUCUCUGGUACAUUUUUUACUCUCUCUUGAGCACACACACAUAACACAUGACGGCACAAAAUACCUCUAAAUUCAAACAAUGAGCAUUCACAACUUACAUCAUGGUUUUCUCGAUUAAACACAACUUUAAAUACAUGUUCUUUUGUUCUAUCUCCAACUAACACGUCCUCCAACACAUGAUAUGUGGCAAAGCAGUCCUCCACAGUGUUCAAUGAGGAAGCACAAUUCAUUUUAGAUCUAAAUUCAACUUGAAGCUCCUUAAAUUUAGCAUGAGUGUACUGACCUUGGAAUUGCUUUUCAAUUGAUGAGUUUGAACCGCAAGAAAUUGUGGUAUUCAUCGAAGUAAAAUCUGCUUCAAAUUCCUUUUCUGCUCGACUUCGGAGAGCAUUAUCAUAUUGUUUUACAAAUUGAUUCAGACUUGUCGUUGAAUUGAUAUAACCAUCAAAGAAAGCAUGUAUACUCUCACUUCGCUGAGUUGUUGACAUACCAGCCCAAAAAUAUUUUCUUAACAAGGUUGGUACCCAUCUAUGACGCUCGUUAUACAACCCCCUCAACCAAUGAUUCUCUUGAAGCUCAAAUUUUUCGAUGAAGGAACACCAUUUCUCUUCAAAAUCAUCUGUUGUAAACGUAUCAUAAACAGCUUCUUUCAUUGCAAACUUAAUCCUUUUAUAAUCACCAUAUCCGCUUAGUUUUUCAGCAAUUUUUUUCAUUAUAUGCCAUAAACACCACCUGUGACGAGUUGUAGGGAAAACUGCCUCAAUUGCAUUUUGCAUUGCCUUACAUUGGUCGGUCACAAUACCAAUAGGAGGCUUUCCUAGCAUACAACGAAGCCAUGAAUUAAAAAGCCAUUCAAAUGAUUCUGUGUCUUCUCCUGAUAGCAACCCACAUCCAAGUAAUGUUGAUUGACCAUGGUGAUUCACACCAACAAAAACAGCAAAAGGCAUAUCAUAUCUAUUUGUCAGAUAUGUUGUAUCGAAAGUUACUACAUCUCCAAAAUACUCAUAAGCAGCCCUACUUCUUGCAUCAGCCCAAAACACAUUUUUUACAUGAAAAUCAUCAUCCAAAUCUAUUUCAUAGAAGAAAUUAGGAUUUUGUUCCCUCAUUUGACAAAAAUAGCUUAUCAAGGCCUUGCCAUCACCUUCUUUUCCAAUUGCACGUCGUUCCUUGUUAACAUAGUUCCUUACAUCUCUUUCAUUAAAUGGAAUAUUUUCAUACCCUCCUGCAUCUUUAACCAGAGAUUGAAAAGUCUUGUUGACCCUCACACCUGCAUCAUCAUUGAUUUCAAUUGUCCUCCUUACAUGCAAGUCCAUUUUCUUGUUGGCCUUGAACAACCUUGCCUUUCUAGGGCUGGUAUGAUGAGAAUGAUCAGGUUCAAAUUUCUGAAUGUACCACAAUCCAUCUUCUUUCAAUUUGAUACAAAUUUUAGCAGGACAAUUUUUUCCCAUUGUCGGACGUGUCUUCAAUGUACACAGACUUUUUGUCACUUGAGACCUUUCUCUUGUGCAUGCAAGAAUUAAGUAGCAGACCUCCCCAUCUCGUCCUUUUCUCGAUGUUCUAAUCUUCCAUUCAAAACCCUUUCUAAAAGCAUACUCUUUAUAAAAUGAUUUAACUUCAUCUAAGCUAGAAAAACACAUAUCUAUUUUAGGCUCCCAGCAUGCAUCAUCAUCUUCUUCUUCAACAUUAAAGUUGCCAACUUCUAUACCUUCAUCAUCAAUACUACCACAAUCCACAAGAACAUUUGAACUAUCCAUAAAUUUUCAAUUGUGGGUGAAAUUGGCACACCAAAACUGCACAAAAUUACUUAAUUAGAUCAAUAAUAAGUUAUAUUGCAAACAUAGUGAUUUACAAGCUUAUUGCAUCAAAUAUAAUGUAGCAAAAACAUCAGAAACAACGUAAGCAUCACAAACAAAAACAUUAAAUAUAAUUUAAGCAUGAACUUUGUUCAUAUAAACACAAACAGCAUACCAAAAAACAGGGGAGGCGCAAACAGCAGACCAGAAAUCACAAACAGGCCUCACAAACAGCACAGACCUCCCUUCCCAAGCCAGAUAGCAGAAAAGGCCCAGCCAUAAAAACACUCCCUGCACCCCCUAAGAUAGUAGCACUACUACAGAUAGCAAAAUAGUGAAAUAACUUGUUCUCUAAGACUCUGAAGUCCACACUUAUGAAAUCAAUGCAACAACUAUAUUCCUACCUUUCUCUUCAAGAUUAUGAAGUUCCCUCUCAUAUAUAAAUACUCAACUAUUCACAAUUUCAACAUAAAGAGGUUUCACUCUACUUUCUCAAAGUACAUAUCAUAUUCAUAUCUCUUAAAAAGAAGAAAAAAAAACUCAAUUCAUCACUGACACUAUUUCUUUUAAAUUAUAUGUUCAAGUGUGUUUACAUUCACUUUCAUACUCUACUGAAUGAGAUAACUUUUUCUUACAAUUCUUACUACUUUUCUAUUAAAACUACCAAUCUUCUUUGGAAUGCAAAGAAAGAUUAGGUGAGUGUGGGAAAAAACCAACAAAAACAUGUUGUGAACUCAGAGCACAACACAGACCCUCCCCCUUAAAACUACCUCACAUACUUUAUCAUUAGAAACAAACAUCAAAACACCUAACAAAAAAAUACAAGAGAAACAUUGUAACACAAUUGAUUAUGGGGUAUUAGAUUUAAGUAUUAGCUGUGUUGAAGUCUAUAAUCAUGCAAUUAAGUUGAGAAAAUUAAUAUUGAAUAUAUUCAGUAUAUAAAACCUUAAUCAAUUUCAUCAUUUAGUCAAUUCAAAAAUUUAGGGUUUUUAAUUUGAAAUUUGGGGAAAACGAAAAUAAUGAAGGAAUCAUCUCACCCCAUGAUAAAAAUGCAAGAAUGAAGUAAUGAAAUGAGAUAAUAAGUAAGAAUAAAACAAAAAUUAUUUGGGUUUAGGAAUUUUUUUCUUCUUCUUAUCUACUAAGAAUCAAACCAAAGUUUAGCACAACAAGGUAUAACAACAAUUACAAGCCACUGAAAUUCUAAAAACAAGAACAGAGAAAGGAAAAAACCUGGGUAUGAAAACAAGGAGAGGAAUAUGAAAUCGCAGCCGAGAUAGGUGGAGCGACCGAAAAUAGCAUGAGGGUGGCACUGUACAAAGAUGAAGAAGGAGUGACGAGAACCUAUGAGUGAAUGAAAGAUGAUUUUUUCUUGCUCAUAGGAAAUGAGUGAUUCAGAAAGAGGGAAGGAAAACGAAACAAGUGGGAAAAUGAAACGAGGGAAAGAUGGUGGUAAAUAGUAAGAAAGAAGGAAAGAAAGGAAAAAAGAAAAAAGAAAAAACAUAAGUAUUGAGUAACAGUGUAUGGUGUCAUAUUUGUGUUUGUAUUAUUGUGUUUACUUAUCAUUCCUGUUAUAAUUAAGAUGUUGAUUAUGAAGUUAAAUGAUGCUGUUAUGAUGAUUGUUUAUGGUAUCGAGUUAUGACUGUUUAUAUGAUGAGUACAUGAUAUGGUUUAGGAGUCGUUAAAAGAAUUAUUAUUACUAAUUGAUGGAGUUUAAGUUGUUAGAUGCAUUUGAUGAAUUAUAUAUUAUUAUUAUUGAUUGUGAAUCUCACCCCUUCUGCUUGAAAAUGUUGCUCUUCGUAUGAGUAACUUGCAGGUGAUCGAGAGUAGGUUGCUGUGUUUUCCUGUCGUGAGUGGCUAUCCCUCACUGAGUCGUUUAGGUGCUCUGAUACGUAAUGGGAUGAGAACUUUGUUGCAUGCUUUUCUAUUCCUUACGUAUUGUUUAUAAAUUUAAAUGAUUAAGUUGUUAAUUGGAUUUUUAUGAGAUGUUUUGAUGAGGCAUUCGUGCCAAGACUUUUUAUGUUAAUGAAUUUAAUCCGCUGCAAAGUUUGAGUUAAUAUGUUGAAGGAUAAAUUAGUUAAUUAACUUAUUUAUGAUUUUAAGAAGUGUAGCAUUCCGUUUACAUGUUGAAUACUCUGAUUAAUUAAAUGAAAUUUUUAAGUCGGGAAAACGGGGUGUUACAACAACUCCUCAUAAAAAUCAUAUAAACCACCUCAAUCAUAAAAAUCGCAUAAAUCACACAUAUAUUAUAUAAAUAUAAUAUAAACCCAUCUAAAAUAACUCUAGACUCAAUUAAAUAAAUAAUUAAUUCGAAACGGGCGUUACACUAAGUCACACUAUAACCAGCCCACAAAGGACUAUAAAUACCACUAUUGAGAUCAUUCUCAAGGCAUCACAUAAACAGGAAGGGAGAUGAGAGUUUACUUUUCGUUUUUAAAUUAAGGACUAUAUAAAUGUUUUUUUAAAAUAAAUUAUAUGUGAUUGAAGUAUUAUAUGAUCGUUUAUCAUGUUAAUAUGUUAACUUUUUAUAAAACAUUUCAUAGUAUCUGUAUUUUAAAAAUGAAAAGUAAACCAUCAUCUCCCUUUCCCUCGUAAACCCUCCAUCCAAACACACCCUAAGGAAACAACUACCCACGAAGGUAUUACCUGGGAACCAAAAUCCCUAGCCAAAUCCGUAGGAGACCCUUUUCUUGCGGAAUUUGUACCAAAAUUCGUAGAAAAAUCGAGAAUUUAUAGUAGUAUAAGUAUAUGUACAUGGAGUACAAUUUUAGACAUCCGCAACAUACUUUACACAUAAAUAUACACAUAAGUUCAUUGUCAAAGGUCACAGUAAAUAACAAGUUUCAUGUUGACAAAGGGACACCCAGGGGCGGAGCCACCCCCAGCUAGCCUGGGCACUAGUCCAGGCUCAACUCCAAUUUUCUUUGUAGCAAGUUCAGCCAUUACGAGAGAACUUUUAGUUUUUUCUGCGGAUUUACCUGCAAAUAUUUAUGUAAAUUCCGUAUGAAACACAUUUCCUGCAGAUUUUGUCUAGGAUUUCCUGCAGAUUCCGCAGGAAAUGUGAAAUUAUUUGCUGGAAGGAAGUAACAUUUUACGAUAAUUUUUUUGCACAAGCUCUAUAAAAUUUAUGUUUCCGCCACUGGGGACACCAAUAUAUCUAAUUGUUACGGUUAACGUUAAAAAAUGGGUUCUUUUUCAAAAAACAUUAAAAAAAUGGGUUAAAUAACGUUUUACUCCCGAUAUUUGAGCGAGUUUUGAAAAAAUCCUUGUAAAAUAAUUUUUUAUAGAUCCCCUUUGUAAUUUAAAAAUUCCAUCUAAAACAACUUUGAUCUCAUCUGACUAGGCAACUAAACUAAUGUGGCAUGCUGAUUGGACAAAUUAGUUUAUUUUUCAAUAUUUUAAAAUCCAUCUCACAUUUUUGAAAAAAAAAAUAAAAUGAAAAUUAGAUUAUCUUCUUAUAUAUUAAAGUUAACACAGACGCAUAUUUUAGCCCUAAUUUAAACCUAAAUAUAUUGCAUAAAUUUACUAUUUUAACCCUGAUGCUAAAUUCAUUUGUUUAACCUUAUUGAAUUUUUCCCCUUCUCAAUUUCUCGAUACAUCUUCUUAUAAGCAUAUUUUAGCCAUAAUUUUGCAGUGUUGAUAUAUGCAUACUGUUUCAGGAUUUUGGUGGCUGUAUUGUAUCUUCAGUGGGGAGUUUAUGUAUCAAUCAAGAGAGACAUGGCUUGCAGACUAUCCAUAUGACUGUUUUUCAGCUUGCCGAAUUCAUAUAGACUGUUGUUGUAUUUUGUGAGAGGUGCCUUAUAACUGUGCAACUCAUGCUUCUCUGUGGCAGAAGUUGCCUCUGUAUAGUUUGCUGAGUUUAAGUGAUCAAGUUUCUUUCAACUGAGGCAAAUAAUGUGUCUUGAUGAAUUUUUUAGUGGCUUUGGUGUUAUAACACUCUUUUUCCCACAUUGUAAUGGUGUAAGUCCGUGACCAACUUAUUGGUGUUGAAUACUUAUGUAAACUAUAGUUAUAGUUAUGCUGAAAUAUUCUAAUACAUUAAUUUUACUAACUAUAUAAAGAACAACCAUCAAUUCUCCUAAAAAAGUCACAUUAAUUGUUUUAAGCCAAGAGCACUCCCACGUGAUUUUUUACAGUGAAGUGAUGUCAUCUUGGAUUAGUGGCUUUCACACUCUUAUAUGGGUUCUAUUGUUGUGUGAUGAAUUAUUUAAUUUUUAACAGCAAGUGAAGUAUCAAUUUAUUUCCAAGUUUUCAAACACUACAGGUUUUGCAUAUUAUGUAUGUUCCUAAUCAAUUGGCACACUUUUAGUAAAAUUGAAAGAGAAUAAAGAGUAAAAUACAAUUGUAUUCCAUUGAAGUGUGUUUAUGUCACAUUACUAAUUCAAUCUUAAAAAUCAUAAAUCACUGAUAUUGAACAAUGCAUUAAUAAGCUUCCUAGACACACUUUUGCGACUUGCUAUUGAUUUUUAUUUUUUAUUUUUUUAUGAAACAACAAAAUAAGCUGUUGGAUGUAUAGACAAUGAACUGAACUGGAUCACAGAGGAAACAAUCAAACAUGUGGAGGACAAUAAUAUGAUUAAGUUGUGAUCAAGUUGUCUAAAAAAUAUCAAGUAGGAUCAAGUUCCUAUUACCCCAUCCAGCAAAAACUUUUAACUUAGACUAUUUUGUAAGAUAAAAUCUUAUAUUAGUGAAAAGUUGUGAUAAAUUUAUUUUGUUUCAUUCCAUUAUAUUUGAUUGUCUUAUUGCGAAUAUAAUAUAAAUGUCUUCUUCUAUAUCACACCCGUGCGAUAGCACGGGUGAAAAGUCUAGUCUUUAUAUAUAAAAGUAGUCCCGAAAGCAAACCCUAAACCUAAUUUUAACCUAGAUUUUCAUAUGUCUUUUGCGUUUUUAACCCUUUUGUUUUAAUUAAGAGAUAAAUUUUAAAAUUAGUUUUAAUUGUGAAUAACCACUGUCAGCUAUUAUUCCUCCUAUUCCUCCUUUAAAAAUAUUGAAUUAAACCUUAUCGUGAAAACCUAGACGGUGACGCAGUGAACGACAUCCACACGCCUGAAUUUCUCAACACCAUUGUUGCGUCCGGAUUGCCAAAUCAUAGGAUUCGAUUGAAAGUAGGAGUACCUGUGAUGUUAUUGAGGACCAUAGAUCAAAAUUUGGGCUUAUGUAACGGUACAAGAUUGAUUAUUACAAAGAUGGGUAAAUUUACGGCCAAGAUACUGAUGUGACAUCAAAUGUGGUCUACAGAGAAGUUUUCCGUAAUGUGUAACACUUUUUUUUUGUUACAAUGAUGUGUAGCACUUUGUUUUGUAGUAUUGUUGUUAUCAGUACUAUUUUUAUAUCGAUAAACUUUGGAUUUUCUUUUCUUCAAUAACAGGGUCGAUUUCAUGGAAUUUUUUUAAUAUAGUACAUUAAAAACGUUUAUGUCAAUUUAUUUUGAGUUGAAUUAUACUAUUUUUUCGAUUCAAGUAGAGUAUUUAUUCUUAUAUUUGCGCUAUUUUUUUUUUCUGUAUGACCCGUGCGUCAGCACGCGUCAAUGGUCUAGUAAAACAAAAGGAAGAAUCGCAAAACCUAAUGUGCUUUUUCAUAAACUAAGUCAAAACCUAAAGUACUUCUUCAGAAUAGCAAAACAUUUUUUUUUAUCCCCUUCUAAAACCUAAAUAAAUAACUAGAAGAAAAAAAAAAUAAAGGCUUAAUUGCACUUUUCCCCCUAUAGUUUGCCAAUUGUGUGAUUUUGCACCCCAUAGUUUUAAACGAGCGAUUUUGCCCCUUAUAGUUUUCCCUUUAUGGUCCCCAUAACAUUUAGUGUUGAUAUGUCUGUUUUUUAUCAAUUAAUGUGUGUCACGUGUGUAAUUCCAUUUUUUUUUUUUUAAAAAAAAAUGGUAUUUUUCUGAUUUUGAGAGAAGGAGGCACGUGAUAUUUCUUCUUAAAAUCUUAAAAAUCACGUGCUCCUUCUUUCAAAAUCUGAAAAAUACUAUUUUUUUUAGAAAUGGAAUUACACACGUGGCACACAUUAAUUGAUAAAAACCAACACUAAAUGUCAUGGGGACCAUAAAAUCAGAAAGGGGGAAACUAUAGGGGGCAAAAUCGCUCGUUUAAAACAAUGAGGUGCAAAAUCGCACAAUUAGCAAACUAUAGGGGGGAAAGUACAAUUAAGCCAAAAAUAAAAAAGAAUAGGAAAAUAGAAGAAGAACUGACGGAAGAAAAAGAAAGAUGCAAGAAGGAAGAAGAAGAAUCGACGGAAGAAAGAAAACGAGGGUUAGGCUUUACAUAAACUCCAUAUUUGCAUGAUGCCCUUCUUGUGGAACAUACUUUAUUGAAUGAUACCCUUCUUAAAACAGCGUUAUAUGCUUGCUGAGAGUACUAAAGAAUUAGUGGAAACAAGGAAGAGUAAGAAAGGAUUAUGUUGUACCAAAUCCUCACUAGUUAUUUUGAUGAACGUGUAAAUGAAAGGGGGAUCUAAAUUUUUUAUUUCACAGGGGUUUUCAGAAAGGGAGAAAACAUUAAUUAACCCCUUAUAUUCAAACCACUUCCAAUUGAUCCGGAUACAUUCUGCACUGUUCUAGAAUAUUGUAGUGGUAUAUACACCUCAUCUGUUUUAUGAAGAUACUUAUUUUGUUGCCUUUUCAGAUAAUUAUUUGAACUUAUCUACUGGCACAAGUACUUGUGAGAUUGUUUGAGAGAGCUUAUGAAAACAACUUGUGACAUGUUCAUAAGCUGUUUUCAGGUUAUUUCCAUAAGCUCUCCAAGAUAGCUUAUGAAAACAAUUUGAUUUGAUUUUCUUUUAUUAUAGAAAUAGCUUUUACAUAAGCACUUAUAUGACAACCAUUUAUGCUAUAAGUGCUUAAUUAAAUUGUUUACACAAACAGGGCUUAUAACUAUUGUAUGCUUGAUUUCUUGUUUGGUCAACCUAUCCUUCCUUUGAUCCUCCUCUGUUCUCUACCAGGAAAAGAUCUUGAUGCUGUUCUUAAAGCAACACCUAUAUUGCUCGAGAGGGAGGCUAGAGUCAUUUUAGUUCAGAUUUUCCAAGGCCUUAUUUACAUGAAUAAAGGAGCACUCAAGAUUAUCCAUUAUGAUUUGAAGCCUGGAAAUGUUUUGUUUGAUGAACUUGGUAUUGCCAAAGUGACUGAUUUUGGUCUUAGCAAGAUAGUAGAGAAUGAUGUGGGAUCCCAGGGUAUGGAACUUACAUCCCAGGGGGCUGGAACGUAUUGGUAAGUGAUGAAGAUCAUUGUUGUAGGAUUUCGAAUUUUGAAGUAUUCCAAAUUUGUUGGUUUUAACUUUUAAGCUUCUAUCUCUUCAUUGUACUUUAAUUUUGAUGCUCCUUUUAUGUUCCCAUGAUCUUUCAACAUUUUCUUUAAUAAAACCUCUUGUUGCCUUCUUUUCUUUUUUAAUUUGCAGGUAUUUGCCUCCGGAAUGCUUUGACCUCAGCAAGACACCUCUCAUAUCAUCCAAGGUAAUUUUUUUUUUCAAGUCGUGAAUACAUGGAUAGCUUUUUUGUGUCAAUUUUCAAUUUGUCAGUCAUUUUGGUCAAUGGAUAUUUCACUUGAACAUUAAUUUCAUGAUGUCUGUAUUAUGCAAACUACUAACUCUUGGACAGACAUCUUACACGAUAAUCUCUUUACAUUUCUAACUUGUGAAAACAGGUUGAUGUCUGGUCUGCUGGUAUUUUGUUUUAUCAAAUGCUCUUUGGUAGACGUCCUUUCGGACAUGACCAAUCACAAGAGAGAAUACUUGGUGAAAAAACGAUUAUCAAGGCACACAAGGUUGAAUUUCCCUCUAGACCUACUGUUUCUAAUGAGGCAAAGGUGAGUUGAGACCUUUUUUAAUAAUUACCGCCAAGUGGCUGAUUGUUCUUUGGCCAUCUUUUAUUAUUUCUUAGGCAAUUGUAUUCUCUAAGCAGCAAACUGAAAUGUAGUUAAGGUUUUAAUUGUCGAAGUGGGAAACAGACUAUGAAGGAGUUAAAUAAAGUCUCAACCGUUGAUUUCCGAUCAAUAACUAUAAUUCUGCGUUGUAUUUUCUGAAGAACACUCCUCACACUAUAAUUCUGCGUUGUAUUUUCUGAAGAGCACUCCUCACUUUAGAGGAGCCCAAUAAAAAAUAGCAGUACUUACCGUCUACAGUUCUUACUUUGAAACCUGACAAUUAUCUCUACUGUGUGUACAAUUUUGCCAGGAUUUUAUUCCGCGGUGUCUUACAUACAACCAGGCUGAGAGACCAGAUGUAUUAACCAUUGCCCAAGAUUCGUAUCUUGCUUACUCAAAGAAAUAGUGAUGUCCAUUGACAUGGGUUGUUACCCUCACCCCUACCAUGGGGAGGGAUAUCAUCUUCUAACUUCAGUCACUAAAUAUAUGUCCGAAUUUGUAUAGGUUGUAAAGAUUUUGUAAUCUUGAUUGUGUCAAGAGAAAGGAUGUUUCCUUACUCUGAAAAGCAUCCCUGUUGUCUUUCAUGCAUUUCUCAUUUGAUUGAAAAUAUUGGAGGUCGUGAUGUAUAGGUAGGUAGGUGAGUGAGAAGGUUCUCUUGAUUUUUAAUAUUUUUGCCACCGAAUUAUAGGAUUUUAAGGCAUAUUGAUAUUGAUUGGCUACUUUUUGUUUAAAUUUGUGGAGAUGUUUUAAAGACAUUUGAUUGAAGAGUUUAUGAUAAAUUGACUAAAUAGGUGGUACAAAAGUACUACUAGUUCUCAAUGUUUUCCAAUUUCCAUAGCCCCAGUGAUGGAAUUAUCAGUCUCCACCAAAUAAUCUAUUCAUUGCCAUAUUCGUAAGGAUGUGGCAUUCCUUAUCGAUCUACACCAAGUAUCUGCAACAAGCCUUGGGGAAAUGCACCUGGUGCCGUAGCGAAUCGAGUAGCUCUGGAAGCAUGUGUACAAGCUCGUAAUGAGGGACGUGAUCUUGCUUGUGAGGGUAAUGAAAUUAGCUGUGAAGCUACCAAAUGGAGUCCUGAACUAGCUGCUGCUUGUGAAGUCGGGAAGGAGAUCAAAUUUAAAUUCUCAGCAAUGGAUACUAUUUGAAUUCCCAGCAAUGGAUACUUUGUAAUCCAGUAAUUAUCAUUCGUUCUGUUAAUUUCAAUUAAACUCGGCCAAGUACAUACGAAUAAGUAUAUGUAGAGUGAGUACAAUUCUACACAUCCACAACAUACUUUACACAUAAAUAUACACAUAAGUUCAUUGGCACAGGUCACACCAUAUAUGUAAAUAACAAGUUUCAUGUAUACAAAGAGACCAAUAUAUUCAAUUUUUACAGUUAACAUUAAAAAAUUAUUCAAACCUCUUCCAAUUUCUUCCAUAGGUCCUUGUCUUGAUAGCAAUAAAAAUUUGAUCUGAAUUAUUUUCUUACAACCUCCAUGGUGCAUGUAUAGUAGACUCUUUAAACUUUAAAUUUUUAAAAGUCGAAUUCGUCACUUUUCAACACAAUAUUUUACUUUUUAUUUUUAUUUAUUUAACCAAUGUCCUAAGAGUUAAGGACACUCUUUAACAUUUCUCUGAAGUAAAUGACUAUGUCAACGACUAUACUUUUGCUCAAAUAGAUCAAUAGCCAAGUAGAAGCAGCAAUGAUCCUUUUUGGUCUAGUGCCCUAAUAGAAUACUAGUAUUAGAUAUUGGUAAUGAAUAUUACAUAUAUUUCUUCAAUUGUUCAAAUUAAUAAGCCUUUUUUACAUGAUAUUUCAGCUCAUUAGUUUAGCUUUUCAAUUUACGUAUCUACAAAGUUUGUCCUAUAAAAAUUGGGUCUAUAAAUAUUAUUUUCAUCCAUUUGAUAUCAAUGAUUAUUUAAAAUUAUCAAUCUAUUAAUUAAAUUGAUUGGACCACCUCAUAUAUAUAAUUUUUUUGUGGUGGCUGGGUUCGAAUCCCAGACCUUGCAUAUAUUAUGCAUUGUCCAUAGUGAGUUAAGUUCACGAGGACAAUUUUUUUUUUUGUGGUGGCCGAAGUUUGAACCUCGAACCUUGCAUAUAUUAUGCGUUGUCUCUACCAACUGAGCUAAGCUCACGACGACAAUUUAUAAAAAGUAAAUUGUUUUUUUUAUUUAAAAAAACUAACAAUAAAAUUAACACUUCUCUAAAUAAUAUUAAGAAAAAAAAGUAUCGGGUGGUUGGUGCAACAAAAUAUCCACGCCCGACGGAUCGGAUCAGUUUUGCCAACAAAUUUAGACUAUUAGUGAAUUCAUUUUGAUUCGAGGGAAAAACGACUACUUCAAAACUCUAUCGCUCAGGUAACGUUUUCUCCGAUCUCAAUUCUCUUCAUCGUUUUCAAUUUUUCACAUUUUUAUGCUUGCAGUGAUUCGCUUUGAAACCCUAAAUCGGGUUUUCAAUUUGAUUUUUACUUGAAUUUGUUUUUCGGCUAGUUGAUUUCAAUGCUAAAUCCUGAAAGAACACUUUGUAUAAAAACCACUUCAAAACGAUUUCAACUCUUCACAUGUUAAUGCAUAUGUAGUGAUUCACUAUUUCCAAUUCAAUUUUCACUUGUAUUUGUUCUUGUUCCGCCUGUUGAUUUCGAUGCUAAAUCAUGGAGGAAAGCUUCGCUCCAUAGUUUCGUAAUUGUUUUCUCAUUUUCAUUGAAAAUAAACUUCAAAGCCCUAAAUAGAUUUCCGAUAAGUGUUUAUUUGAAUUUUCUGUUCCGCGUGCUAAAUCGUGAAAAACACUUCGUAUAAUCAAAAUAAUUUCAAAACGCUAAAUUGAUUUCUGACAAGUUUUUACUUGAAUUUAUUGUUCUGGUACUUGAUUUUUAUGUCAAAACACUUUGACUGUCUUCACAGGAGAAAGAAUUAUGGAAGCUAUGUUGCAUGAUAUGGAGCUUAGGUUCGAAGCCAAGUUUGAAGCCAAGUUUGAAGCCAUUGAAUCAAAAAACGCCGAAAAUUUCAACGCCCUGCUCACUUUGCUGUCAUCAAAAGCUGAGAGCAAGAAAGCUUCCGACGCCGACGCCGCCGACAUUGAUAUUGACAACUUAAAGGAAAGAUCAAAGUUUAGUUCGUGUGUAGGCAUGUUCUCCAACGGUGAUGAUCCGUUCGCUUGGAUCACCAAAUCUGAAGUGUAUUUCAAUGUUCAAAAUACUCCUGCCGAUUUAAAAGUCAAUUUGGCUAAACAUUGUAUGCAUGAUGACGUUUCUAAAGCUUUGAUUAAGGAGGGUAAAGAAGAAGCUCCGACUUGGGAGGGACUGAAGGAUGCGUUGCUUAAAAGCUGCAGCGGCGUGAGUGAUGCUGUGAAUAUUUAAGUAACUAUUAGGAUGGUUGUGGCGGGCUAUGUAUGGAUAAGUAGAUUAUUAUUAAGCCUUAAAUGGUUGAUACUCUUUUGUGCUUUUGGAGUAGUUUGAGAAACCCUCUACUACUAUUAUCUUUUUACUAUCAAUAAAAAUACACUCUGUUUCCUAAUUGCAUUUAUUUCUUGUCUUUCUCUUUGUUGGUUGUUUUGGUGUGUUGGCUGUUUUGGGUGCGCAAGACUGCUUGGUUUGCAAAUGUGUUGCUUUAUAUGUAAAUAAAUAAUUAAGACCUUUUAUAUGAUCUCUUUCAAUUGUCACUUUAGCCACCAUAUCCCAAUGAUGUCGCUAAUGCUUUAAAAUUUCAUCACUGUGAUUCAAUUUCUUCUAUCAUUUGAUUUAUCUUUGUAUUAAAUUAGGGGGAGAUUGCAUCUCUACGUACAAAGUUGCUCAGUUGGAGAGAGACUUACGUAAAGCUAAGCAAGAAACCUCUGAUAAAGAAAAGGUAUACCAAUAAUUGUCUGCAAGGUUGUGAUUCAGUAGGAUGUUUUCUUAAUCAUGAAUUCUAAAGACAUAAUAUACCAUGAUAAUUAAUAUAUAGUUUCAAAAAGGUACACCUAUAAAUGAAAUAAAAUUUAGCCCAAAUUUAACUAAUUGACACUUAAUUUGCUAUUAACAAUAAAUCUUACGCGUCAUAUAUAAAUCUUAGAUUCAACAAAAUUUAUGCUCAAACUGAAAAAAUUACAAUAAUUUACAUUGUAUCUCCUGGUUUCAAGAAUAGUACAACUUCAAAUUUAUAGUAAAUUGUAAAUGUCUUUUUGAAAUGUAAAUUGUAAGGACAUGUGUAUUCUAGGUAAUAAAAUUGACAGUUGUUGAAGUUAACAUGAUUGUUUCCUGUUACUUUAAUAUUUGAUUUUGGCACAUGUAGGAACUGAAGCAACUGAAAGAUACCGAAGAGAAAAUGAAACCUAAGGUUUGAUUAUUUUUCAGCUUUUUAUCGCACAGCAGUUGUUGGUAAACUUUUCUUCCUGAUUCUAUCACGACACAAGACUCCUACGUGGUAUUUAAAAUAUAAUGAAGUGGUGGAUGAAAUCGUGCAUGUGCAUCAAACUUCUAUAACAAAGAUGAACUAGAAAUUUUGAAGAGGUUAUUGUUCUCAUACUCCUGUAUAAGUUAAGGAGCAUUCCAUGUGUCACGCAUUAAAAAAAAGGUUAAGCAGCCUGUUCUUGUAUUUUGCAGAGAACAGAAACAAUAUAUGACUUGCUGAAGUCAGUGUCAAAGGUUGAGAGACAAGAAGCAAGGCUAAAAGCACGACAGAAUUCGUCGAGACUUGGAAAUGUUUUAAUCAGGUAUAGGUGGAGCACUGUGUCAAAUUUUCAUAAUAUUUUUAUUUUGGGUUUCUUAUUGGUUUGAUUAUGAAUGUCAGAGCUGGAACUGUCGUAUCUGAGAUCUGGGAAGAUGGUCCGGCGUUGAAGGAUCUGCAUGCCCAGCUUGUAUGUCUAACCUCUUUCUUCCCCUUGUAUUUAUUUUUCAACAAUGGUAUUUGCAAGUAUGAUCAGAUAGAUGUCACACCCUGUUUUGGAUAAUUUCUGUCUCAAUAUAUCAACAAACUGAUUGUUUGUGACGUAACACAUCAUCGGUAAAUUAAAUUGUCUCUAAAGAUAUUUUCGUUUUCAUUUGUGCAACAAUGGUUUUAUGGGCCUCUCAUUAAAGAUCUUAUAUUCUAAAUAUUAUCAAACUUUCGCCAUUUUGCUUUUUUUUUUGGAUUGAUGACUAAAUACAAUUAUAAGGACGGUGGUGUCUUGAAACUUCCAAGCGUUUUCAUUUUCAGUACUAAAUACAAUUAAAGAACUUAUUAGCUUGUAUAUUUUGUGAAUGUUUCUAUUACUUCUGUAUGGUAGUUUUUUUUUUUUUUUUUUUUGCAAUCAAAACCAUUGCCUAUGACAGCAGUUUGCGUUAGUAAUACCAUGAAUUUCCUUAUCCCUUGAUUUAUGUUUUACAGAAACAACUGCAAGAAACAAAGGAGGAUAUUGAGCAGCAGCACAAUUUAUUCAAGAAAAAACAAUCUGGUAACACCCAGUGUCCUUUUUUUUCCUUUCUUUUAGCACCUGUCUUACUAAACUUGGGGAAGACGUGUUAAGCUGACCGCAUGAGUGACUGUUCUUUUCCUCUUUCCCUUCAUUCUUAGUUUGCAUUUUGCUAUUUAUACAUUACCCUUGUACUAUUAUAUAUCAUGAAUGUGCUCCUUAAGAUGACUAAUUGACAUAAAAUAUUUGUUUCAAAUCAACCUAUCGGAUACUGCUAGGCUAUGUUGUAUCACAUUAUUCUGCUUACUUUCUAAUGGUUUGAAUUUUGUUUUUCUUGGCCCUUUUCUAUGGUUGAAGAUAAGGGUGAUGGAAUAGAUGCAGAGGCUGGAUUGUCGGAAGAUAUUCUCAUUCAGGAGGAAAUCUAUAAGUCUCGACUAGCCAGCAUUAAACGGGUAAGUUGCUACUUCUUCGAUUAUUCUAUUUCCUCUUUAUACUUCUAAUGGUAGAACAAUUUUUAGGAAGAAGAAAUCGCUUUGCGAGAGUGCCACCUCUACGAACUAGAGAAGGGAAGACUAAUUCGUGAAAUGAAACGCAUACUGGAUGAAGAUGCUUCACAGUUCAACAACUUUCAGAUUUUAAACCAUCGUUAUGUCUUCCUAAACCUUCUUGGAAAGGGAGGCUAUAGCGAGGUGUACAAGGUCUAAACUUUACUGUUCAAUAUUAAUCAUUUUAUCGUAUUUAUAUUAAUUUUGUGAAUAUUAUACAAGGUUGAGUUACUAAAACCAAAAUCCUAGAGAGUUCCUUUGCCUUUUAUUGGCAAAUGUAAAUAAAUACUUUUUUGCAGUGAUUUGAAGUAAAAAAUUUCCAGCAGGCUUUUGACUUGGUGGAGCAUAGAUAUGUUGCAUGCAAGCUUCAUGGUGUAAAUGCUCAAUGGAGUGAAGAGAAGAAGCAAAGUUACAUAAGGCAUGCAAUUCGGGAGUAUAAUAUUCACAAGACCUUGGUUCAUCGUCAUAUUGUUCGUUUAUGGGACAUCUUUAAGAUUGAUCCAAAUACAUUCUGCACUGUUCUGGAGUUUUGUAGUGGUAUAUAUACACCUCACUUGUUUUCUUAAAACGACUAUUUUGCUGACUUUUUUGGUAGAUUACGAGUCUGUUUGGAUUGAGUUAUUUGAGCUUGUAUAUAAUGGUAGAGAAAGCUUAUGUAAACAGUUUGAUUUCAUUUUAUCUUUUAUAAUAGAAAUAGCUUUUGCAUAAGCACUUAUACGAUAAACACUUAUGCUGUAUGUGCUUAAUUAAGUUGUUCAUCCAAACAUGGCCUCUAAUAUUGUCUGUUUGAUUUCUUGUUUUAUCUACGCACCUUCCUUUAAUCCUCCCUUGUUUUCUACCAGGUAAAGAUCUUGAUGAUGUUCUUAAGGAAACACCUAUUUUGCCCGAGAACGAGGCUAAAGUCGUUUUAUUUCAGAUUAUCAAAGCCCUUGUUUACAUGAAUGAAAGAACGCCGAAGGUUAUCCAUUAUGAUUUAAAGCCCGGAAAUGUUUUGUUUGAUGAGCUUGGUAUUGCCAAAGUGACUGAUUUUGGUCUUAGCAAGAUAGUGGAGAAUGACGUGGGAUCCCAGGGUAUGGAACUUACAUCCCAGGGUGCUGGAACAUAUUGGUAAGCGAUGAAGAUCGUUGUUGUAGGAUUUCAAAUUUUGAAGUGUUCCAAAUUUGUUAGUUUUAAGCUUUAGCCUCUUUAUUAUACUCUAACUUUGAUGCCCCCUUCAUGUUUCAAUGAUCUUUCAGCAUUUGCUUCAAUAAAACCUCUUUCCCUUUUCUUUUUUGAUUUGCAGGUAUUUGCCUCCUGAAUGCUUUGAGCAGAGCAAGACACCUCGCAUAUCAUCCAAGGUAAAAAACUUUUUAAUUCGUGAAUACAUGAAAAGCUUUUUCUGUGUUAUCGAUUUUCAAUUUGUCAGUCAUUAUGGUCAGUGGACAUUCUGGGAUUUGUGUCAUGGUGUCCGUAUUCUGAAAACAACUAACUGAUAGAUAACCAUCUUUCAUGAUAAUCAGUACUCACUUUACAUUUCUGACUCGUGGAAAACAGGUUGAUGUCUGGUCUGCUGGUAUUUGUUUUUAUUACAUGCUCUUUGGCAGACGUCCUUUCGGGCAUGACCAAACACAACAGAAAAUAUUUCUUAAGCACACAAUUAUUAAUGCAUACGAAGUAGAAUUUCCCUCUGGAUCUACUGUUUCUAAUAAGGCUAAGGUGAGUUGAGCCCCUUUUCUAGUAAUUACUGCCUGUUGCUAAUUGUUCUUUGGCCAUCUUUCAUUUACUUAUAUUAUUCUAUUAUUUAGUGGUGGACACAAUCUUUGCUUGUUUUAGGUUAUAUUUAUUGGACAAAAUGUCAACUUUAUUCCAUGUGCAAGCACAAUUGGCCUUUGUGAUUUAUCUGAAUUUGUUAUUUCAUUCCUCCAUAUCUGAAUUUGUUAUGCCAUUAAAAUGAUGUUGGUUUAAUAGUUGAAAGUAAUUUGGACCAAUGAGAAAUUAUUGGUUGUGCAAGAUAUGUUUUUUAGUUAAAAACUUUAUCCUUCUUAUUAUCACUGACAGAACCAUAAUAAUAUUUCUUAGGCUUGAACAGAGAGUUUUACGGAAUUUCCCUUUUUAUUUUAAUAUAGGAAGGUUGUAAUUUUCAUUUAUGACCCCAGAUAUAAGCAUGCUUACGUUUGGUGUUCACUUUCUUAAUUUAGCUUAAAGAAAUUGAGUUGACUCCCUAUAAAGUGCAAUGCCAACCGUUGAUUGAAAGAUUGUGAUGAAAUACAGCUAUAUGAAAAACGAAUGGUGUAGUUAAAGUCUCAACCAUUAAUUUCCAAUCAAUAGUUAUAAUUCUGCAUCAUAUUCUCUAAGGAGCACUCAUCAUUUUAGAGGAGCCAAAUCCAAAAAUAGUACCUUUUUUAUCUACAUCCUUACUAUGAAACCUGACAAUUAUCUAUACUCUGUACAAUAUUGUCAGGAUUUUAUUCGGCGGUGUCUUACAUAUGACCAGGCGGAGAGACCAGAUGUAUUAACAAUUGCUCAAGACUCAUAUCUCACUUUUACUCAGGAAUAGAGAUGUCCAUUGACUGGUUUGUUACCCUCACCCCUAUCAUGGGGAGGGAUUUCAUCUUCUAACUUCAGUCAUUAAAUAUCUGUCAGAAUUUGUAUAGGCUGUAAAGAUUUUGUAAUCUUGAUUGUGUCAAGAGAAAGGGUGUUUCCUUACUCAGAAAAGAAUCUCUGCUGUCUUUCACGCAUUUCUCAUUUGACUGAAAAUAUUGGAGGUCGUGAUGUACAGGUAGGUGAGAAGGUUCUAUUGAUUUUUAAUAUUUUUGCCACCAAAUUAUAGGAUUUUAAGGCAUAUUGAUUGAUUGGCUACAUUUUGUUUAAAUUUGUGGAGAGUUGUUUUAAAUAGGUGGUACAAAAGUACUACUAGUUCUCAACCAUCAGAUGUGAUGUUUUCCAAUUUCCAUAGCCUCAGUGAUGGAAUUAUCAGUCUCCCCACCAACAAAUCUAUUCAUUGCCAUAUUUGUAAGGAUGUGGUAUUCUUUAUCGAUCUACACCAAGUAUCUGCAACAAGUUACAGACGAACAAGUAUAUGUAGAGUGAGUACAAUUCUACACAUCAACAACAUACUUUACACAUAAAUAUACAUAUAAGUUCAUUGGCACAGGUGCCACCGCAUAUAUAAAUAACAAGUUUUAUGUAUACAAAGAGACACCAAUAUAUUGAAUUUUUACAGUUAACAUUUAAAAAUUAUUCAAACCUCUUCCAAUUUCUUCCAAAGGUCCUUGUCUUGAUAGCAAUAAAGAACAUAUCUGAAUUAUUUUCUGACAACCUCCAUGGUUUAUGCAUCUGUCGUCAUAGUUAUCAUACUUACAUCUCCAAAUUGGAGUUUAGAAUCAAGUAAAUGACCAACUCAACGACUAUGCUUUUGCUCAAAUAGAUCAUUAGCUGAAUAAAAAAAACAACAAUAUUACAGAUAUUUCUUAAAUUGUUCAAAUUAAUAAGCCUUUUUUACAUGAUAUUUCAGGUCAUCAGUUAAGCUUUUCAAUAUACGGAUGGAUCUCCAAGUUUGUCCUAUAAAAAUUGGGUCUAUUAUUAAUUCUCUUUGCAAUUAUAAUCAACUUUGUAAGGGUAACAAUUUUAACACGUUAAUUCAAGCACCCAUCGUCUAUAAAACUCAAUACCCAUCUUCUAAUAUAUUAAUAUUAUCUUUUGUGUUGUAAAGAAUUUAAAAAAUCAACACACUACAGUAGAGAGGUAGUAGUAUUUGUGCAAAGUAGUAGUAUUUGUCUAUUCUUUCAUUACGAGUAUUGAAUUGAGGUUGAUGCAUAUAGUUUUUUUUUGUUGUUGAAGAAGCACAUAUAGUAUUUAUUAUAUGUUACGAUUGAAAAUAAAUAAUUAAUAUUACAUUGAAAGUUAAAAUGACAUGUAUUUUAGAUGCAUAUUUGUUUGCAUAAAGUUAAAAUGACAUUUAUUUUGGGGCUAGCUAGGCAAAACGAAGUAACUUGUAUUCAUGUACUAGACAGGCCAGACUCUUAAUUUUUCGGGCAAAAUAAUAAACUGAAAUUGUUUGAACCUAUUCGUUUCACUUUUAAAUUUAAAAUAAACCAUUUUUUUUAUUGUCAAGUUGCCCGGUGGGUGUAUUAACACACUUUUAAGUAAGUGCAAAGAAGUGAGAAUUUCCGAAUACUCCAACCCUUAUAUAUGAUUGUUUUUGCAGCUAUCAACUUAGUUGUACUUACACGACAAUAUCAACCAAUUUAGUUGUAUAAUGAUUUGAACUCAAGGUAUAUUAUUUAUGAAUUGUUAUUUGAUGGUAGUAAAUAAAAAAUAAUUUUCAGGACAAACCACUUUUUGGUCUCUAAAAUGUAACAUAUUAUCAUGUUGAUCUCUAACUUAUACGACAACUCAAAUAAUUCCUCCACUCUUCAAUUCAUUAAUCAUUUUGUCCAUAACAUUAACUCACCCAAAAUUGUUGACAUGAUAGUUGAAAAUGAUGAGAUAACAUGGUGAUGUGUGUGUGGGAGGGCUAAAAUGAAAGAUAAUCUUAAAUCCUACCUUGAACACCCCACUUUUUCAAAGAAGUAUAUAUGCAGGGGUCGGGAUUCGAACCUCGAACACCCCACUUUUUUACGUUUAUUAUUGCUUACUAUUAUGUAUGAAAUUAUUUGCAAAGGUUCCUUGUACAAGAACACAUAUGAAACAAUUAAUAGUUUGUUUCAAAGAAGUAUAUUUUGUCUACAUUAUUUAUUUAUGAUACGGUUAAUAUAGUUUGUUUCAGAGAAGUAUAUUUUGUUACUAACACAAAGAUGGUGUUCCCCAGCUCUAAGGCAUUUAAGCUACCGCCUACAAGGUCUUCAAAGAUUGUGGCUGCAUAAAAAACCAAUGGAAUGUUGAGACAAACGGUCAAAGACUCACACAUGAUAAAAUUAUAACAAGAGGUCAACAAUCAAGUGAAAUACAUAAAAUUUUAAUUUAUGCAUGUGCAAAUUUGGGUUUAUGUUUAAAUGUUGUUGGUGGCUAUUUCGAUUAACUUGCAUAAUUAUGCAGCUGUAGAUUGUGGUCUACAAAACUUGACUCGCACUGAGGCUAGAUUAUACAGUAGUUUAUUUGGAAAUAAUAAUUUAUAGUCACUUCAGAAAAGACUUUGCCUAAGCUAUUGAGCAAUUGGUCGUAACCUUAUUUAGAAGCAAAAUAUGAAAAUAAGGACCAUUGGUUCAACGUUUCUCAAUUGUAUGCAGUCUAAAGAGAUUUCUAAAUACAUAUAUAGUUAACUUCCAAAGUAUGAUAUGUGGAACAUAUAACAUUGUUUUGCAAUAUCUAAGUAUUUAGAAUCUAUCGCAUUCACAUGGGAUCAUGCGACACUAGUGCCUUUCAAGACUUAUUAUUGUUUUUAAGUACGAAAAGAUGUUUGUUUGUUAAUGAUAAAUGAUAUAAGCAUCUCUUGUGAUACAAUAAUGGAGAGAUAGUAUUCAUGGGAUUAAGUUUUGUUAACUAAUAAUCUAAUGUUCUUCUUUGAUCGAUUAUAUGCACUCCUUCUAUUUCAAUCAUACAUUCAUUUAUGGUCUUGCAAAUAACGAGAGAUCCAUUCUAUCCUCUAACUUCUAAUGUUUUACUCAGUUAGCUGAUAACAUGACAUAAUGUUCCGACAAUGUGUGUGAUUCUAAACCUAACUUGAUGUCUCACAACUAACAUCUUCAAAUGUCUCUACCCAUGUCCCUUACAAAUAAAUAUUAUUUUCAAACUGCACGUCAAAAAAGCACUUAGAGUGAGAAUAGAAACAUCAAUAUAACGAAAUAUGACUUGUAUAUAACCAAUCAAAUCAAGCAUCUACAUCAAAAUCAUAGAAACUAUACAUAAUCCCAUCAAUUGUGGGAAUUAAUUAUAUAUAACCUUACAAUACAUAUCAAGAAAAAGAGAGAGUCGACGUUGAAGACGAUGUCUUGAUCUUCCGUGCCUUCAACUUUCUCACCCUAUAUCACUCUCUAUCUAGUUUUGGAACUUCAGGAAGUGAAAAUAUACAAAAAAUAAUAAAUAAUAAUGAGACUUUCAGCUCCUAUUUAUAGAUUCCAAAAAAAUGAGACCAAGUUUCUUUCAUGGAUAAGUUACUUUAAAGUCAAGCUUUUUAGUUUCGUGCUAGCAAAGUCUCUUUCACGAUUACUAAGUUUACUUUUAUGGUUUUUUCAAAGUUAAGUAAUCUUGCUGGCUAAGAGCAUCAUUUACUCUCUUUAGAGUUUAGAUACAAAAUGUAUUGGAAAAUUUCAUAUUUGACUUAGUUUUUCAUAUUGACACAAAAUUGAGGGUUUUUAUUGAGUUUAUUGCAAAAUAAGUUAACAAAAAUCGUCAUUUUUUACAUUUAUUAACUCGCUUCCAUAUAUUUUGUUUGUCUAUAAACAAAAAUCCUACAAAAAGGCAAAUUUCACAAAAUUUCCAUAGUUUCUCGUUAUAAUAUAAAAUAUAUUAUAUUUAUUAAUAUGUGUAAAGAUGACAAAAACAACUUAUAAUUUCUUAAAAAAAAACUUGUAAUAAAAUACGAAGGAAUAUUAGUUUGUAAUUUGACUAAUAGUCAACUUUUAUUAUGGCACCCUUUAAAAAAAAACUAUUAUUAAGAUAGUAGAGUGUUUUAGAGAUAUUCCUUGUCGAUAUAUAUAUAUAAAGAAGGAAUAUCUCUAAAACACCCUACUAUCUUAACACCAUGAAGAAUUUAACAACACAUUUCUGUCCCAUAUAAGGUGCAGCAGUUGCUUUUUAUUCCCAAUCAUACAACACAUUAACCACAAAAUUUGCACAUUUCCAUUAAGCGUUGUCGUACUUAAAAUGUGCAAAGACUUUGGAAAGCUGCACUAUGCUGAUAUAGCAUCGGAGCAAUGUAGGAACGAUUACUAGUAUUUUGUUGAGAAGUGUACGACUAAAUUUUUAUUAGAAAUUCGCAAAGUGGUUUUAUAAGAUUGCAAUUCUGGAAUAAGCCAUAUGUUUUUGAUUCUAUUGAAUAUAAUUAUCCAAAAUCGAAAUGAAAGGAUUUACUUUAGAACAAAACUUCGAUUCCAUUUCCUAAUCGGGGCUAUUGAAAGGAAUCUUGUUUGGAAGAUGAGUUAGAGAGAUUUACCAGUUCAACUAUUUCUGGGAGGGGGGCUAGCAAAGUGAAUCCUGUUGCGAAUUACAUUCUCUUCAUUUUCAUUACAUUUUUAUUCUCUCAUGCUUCUUCCUUAUGUUUAUUCCAUCUAACUUAUUGUGAAGUUGUUUCAAACUAAUGUGCCUUGAUGGUAUUUCUUAGUAACAUCAAUAGUAUCUGUUUGCUCAUUUUUUUGCAGUUGGUGCUAAUGGAUCUGGCAAAACAAUUUUUUUCCAUGGUAAGAAAAUCUCCUUUUGUGAGUUGGUUGAAACUGGAUGGCUCAACUUGAAUUUGACCCUUACUUCCCCCGUUUCUUUUGUAUCUAGCCAUUCGUUUCGUGUUGAGUGAUCUCUUUCAGUUUCAGAACAUAAGAAGUGAGGAUAGGAAUGCACUACUCCAUGUAUGGCAUAGUUCAUACUUCCUUUUAUAUAUUUGUACUUCUGGUUCCUUCCAAUUGUAGAAUUUGACAAUGAUUAAACAAAUUUUUCUCUUUACAUCCCGGUAAUAAUUUGAAAAUAAUAAUUUCAUUUUUAUUAAUAACAAGGAGCAUGAUUUUCCACUGUUUUGAAGUUCAUUUGCUUUAAUUACGUUAUAAAAACAUCUCUUAUGCAUAUUUUGUUUUAGCCUUGAAAAAAAGAAAUACCACUUUCUAUCGUUGUUUGUUGGGUAAGAUUGAUUAACAUAUAUAAACUCAGGGAAAGAGUCCUCUGGCAGCUGAAUGAUACAGUAACGUGUUACAAUGGUUGAAGGAAAUGAUACUCUCCUAAGAGAAUACCGCACUACUGAUAUGAAAAUAAUUCUCAAGGCUCAGUUGCAACGUUUCCCACUAUACUCUACCCUCCCGUUCCACUACUCCCUCCUAUAUGCAUAUCCUUUCUUUCUGUUAUGCCUUCUAACUGCUCCCCUUCCUUUCCCUCCUUCACGCCUCGCUGUCCCUCUGCAGACUUGGGUUCCCAGGCCUAUUAUCCUUCUUUCUCAUGUGGUACACAUACUUGGCUGGUUUAUCAUUGUGCGUAAAUUGUAUACGUUGCAUGAUUGCUAUAACGACCCAAAAUUUGAGAGAUUAACUUAUGAAAUUCUUAGUGAAAAAGAUGAACAUUUUUUUUUUUUAAAUAAUAAUAAAAGUACCUGAAAACUCAUUGACUUCAAAAAAUUGAAUAAAUAAGUUUCUCUUGAAUUUUCAGAAUAGUAAAUCAGAGUUGUUUUACAUCAAAAUAUAAAAUUCCUAACAACAAGGCUUUCCGCCUUUCACUACCUAAAGACACAUCCUAGCUGGUCAUAACUUUGGACACUUGUGAGAAAUCUCAACAAGGCGCACCAAAGGUCCACAUAUCUCGGAGCCUCCAACCGUAAGUCAUUAUCAUUAUCUGAUUUUCAAAUACGGAAAAGGGUCAACUCCCAAACAAACAAAUAUACAAGUUAUACAUUUAUUUAACAUGUAUUUAAAGGCAUGCAAAUAGUACAAAUAUUAAUAUAAAGUACACAUGUGUCAACACCCAAAACAACAAUGGACUCGACAAAUGCACAACACCCUAAAGGUUGACCUAUAUGCGACACAAAUGAUCCGGAUAUCACCUCCCUUAUAGGGCAACAAAAGUUCUUCGUAGAUAUUUGUGGGCUUCAACCAAUUAUGAACACUCCACCGUGACUCCAACCAAUUAUGGACACCACAUACCCCACGGGUCCCAACCAAUUAUGGGCACCAAAAGAAGACACGAGCCUCAACCAAUUAUGAGCACUCAAAAGGAAACAAUAAGCCUCAACCAAUUAUGGGCACUCAAGACUUCGGAUCCCAACCAAUUAUGGGCACCAAGCGACAAUGAAUGUAUGCAUGCGACACCUGCAUAUUAACUCCACAAAUAGACCACUCACAAUGAGUAUGCGACUAAAUUAAUCAUUGUCUUAACCACCUGCUAGAGACAUUGAUUACACCGACAGGAAUGCUGACUAACAAAAUAUGCUAGACCUCAAUCAAGGCAUGAAACAACAAUUUAUACUCACAACCAAGCAAUAUAAAAUCAAGUUCACAUAGUAUGUAAGCAUGAUACAAUACAUAAACAUGUUAAAAACAUCAUCCUUUUAAAAAAACAAGUAAAUACAUAUAUAAAAUAAAAAAUGGAGCGCCCUUUCCCUUACCUUAGCAAUAUAGCAGCUAUUAAUAUUAUUGCUCCACUGAAUCUACACUUGAUUAGAUAAUUUUCCUAAGGUUUGCUCUAAUCUCUCUAUUAGCCCUUCAUCCUUUUCCGCUAUGGUUCUUCCUUUUCUCUCUAUUCUUCAAAGUGUAGAAUCAGCAAAAGUGGUGACUAAAUAGAAGAGAAGAGGUAACUGAUUGUUAUUAUUAGUGAAAUAACUCUCCCACUAACUCUCUUCCUAGAUGAGUGGCACUAUACUUGAGGAAUGGUAGGUUACACGGUUUUUUUCUUUCUUUCUUCUACACAUUUCUUUUUCUCUACACUAGUUAUCCUAUUGUAUACCUGUCCCAUUUCUUGUUCUAUACUAUUGGCUGAUCAUUAUACUUAAUUAAAUUGAUACUAACAUGAGAUAAAGAUGAGGAAUUCUACACGUGCACACAUAAAAAUAGUAGGAAUAAAUAGUUAUAGGGUACACUAUUUAAUAAUUAAUAUAAUGAAUUUUGGCUAUAUACUUUGAAAGAAAAAUGCAAAAUAAUAUUAUCACUCAAUAAAUCACAAAGGUAAUUAUUUUAAAGUCAAAUUAAGAUAAAAUAAUUUAGAAUAAAAAUAUGAUAAAAUAUCGAAAUCUUACAUUCUACCCACCUAAAAUAGUUUCGUCCUCAAAACUGACUAAGCAAAGUAGAUUUCCCUAAUAAAUUUGAGGCAAAUUACCCGGAUGUUACAAUUGCCAUGUCAAGGAAAAUGACUUUAUCUUGAAUUUUUUUAUAGACUAUAUUGGGAAGAUUCUGAUAAGUGUAGUUACCCUUUUUUUUCCUGGAUUUCGUUACUAUAUUAAUCUAUAUCUUUUAAAAUAGCGGAUGAUUAGGUAUUUAUCCGUUCUUAUGCACCAAGUUCUACACUAUGGGUUUUGCUGCUCAAUCUAUCAACAUAAAGGAUCUAUAGGCAAAAAAAGAAUCUAAUAUAAGAGAGAUUUUGGAUUUAUUUAACUUAAAAGACUUGUGAAUCUGUGAUGACUACUGGAUGCGUAUUAUUUCCAUUUUCCUCUUUUAAUUUUACCUGUCAUUUUUAACUCAUCCAUUUUCAAUGUUGAUGUAAUUUAUUCUUAUUCCAUGUAUGAAAAUCUUUGGCAUUGUUCUCCGGGGUUUGAUUGUAACUAUCACCUACUUCAAGUUGAGAAGUAAUUUGAUUAAUGAUAUGGUUCUUUGGGUUCGUCGGAGUUUUUUUUUUUUGAAAAACUUUCUGAUACAAUUUCAUCAUUCUAGAACUUGCUUUAUAUUAAGUAUCCUUUUAUCGAAGUUUUCUGCAAAAUCUCUCGAUCGGUGCUUGCCGAUGUACUUCUUUAUACAUUGCAACCUGAUAGCUUUCUUUUUUACUUUCUUUAUUAUUCAAGUGCUUUAUCUUUGACAACCACUUUUUUACAAAAUUUUGCACAUGUACUUUAUCUUGGUAUCUAUUUGUGUCUCUGAAUAGGUUGACAAGGAGGAAGUGCACUUACGCCGGACGAUUAGUUCAAAAAAGGACGAAUAUUUUCUAGAUGGAAAACACAUAACGUGAGUGUAAUAGAUCAAGACAUCGAACACAUACUAUACAUUCAUUUUUAUAGAAAAUUGACAUUUUAUCUUAUGCUCUUUGGUUAUUUGAGUAUUUAUUUACCUAUAGCCUAAAGAAAGAUGAUAAAUAAUUUGCAGUAAAGCUGAAGUGAUGAAUUUGCUGGGUUUUCUCGCUCAAAUCCAUAUUAUGUUGUACAACAAGGAAAGGUAUUGGUGCAUGCUGAUGGUACUAUGGUUUGGUUUUUUAAAUUCUUAUGUUGAUAAAAUUCAAAGUAAUUACUGAACUUGCUCAUUUAUUUCUCUUGCCUAGAUAGCAUCCCUAACCUUGAUGAAAGACUCUGAGCGAUUGGAUUUACUGAAGGAAAUAGGUGGUACUAGAGUUUAUGAGGAGAGGCGUCGUGAAAGUUUGAAAAUAAUGCAGGAUACAGGCAAGUUUUUUCAAUUAUUAUCAUUAUUUUUAAAUUUCUGUUAUUUAUGUUUAUUUUCAUGUUAUCGAUGUUAUUAUCAUGUAUUUUACUUUGAGACAGGUAAUAAAAGAAAACAAAUUAUCCAAGUUGUACAGUAUUUAGACAAGAGGUUGAAGGAACUAGAUGCGGAGAAAGAUGAACUUAGAGAUAUCAGCAACUUGACAAGCAGAGAAAAUCCUUGGAAUAUGCCAUAUAUAACAAAGAAGUUAAAGAUGCUCAGCUUAAGCUUGCAGAGGUUAUCUAUAUUAAAAUAUUUCCUUAUUUAUAGUUAUUUGAAUGAUUUUUUUUUACCUUGUUUUGUUUUUGAAUUUUUUCAUGAUGAUUGGAUUAUCAAUUACAUCCAUUUUGGUAAUAAUUUGUUGUUUUUGUUAAUUCGUAAUGCAUGGUUCAAAAUCAAUGCUGAGAUACUAAGAUGACAGAUGUUAUAAUAAAUUCUUAUGAAGAUCUCAUUUUUGUUUUCAAUUAAUAUUUUGCUUGGGUGUAGCUAAUUAGACAGAGUGGCAGAUAGCCAGAUACUUGAGUACUUGAGAUACUCCAGCAGAUUCACAGUCUCAAUUGUUUGGGAAGGUUUUAAUGAUAACAAUUCUUGACUAAAAUCAGAAAUAGAAUACAUCAACACUGUUUACUACCUACCAUAAUACAAUAAUAACUGCCACUAUACAUAUAAAUAUACAACGCACAUAACUGUCCUCCUAACCUAUCCGUCUAAUAAAAAUAACUGUCUAACUGCUUAAUAAAAUAACUUACCGGCCAUACACAUAACUAUCACCAGUAGCUCCUUUUUUCUUUGGACAUAAACUCUCCAAAAUUCCAAGGCCUUGUGCUGUAGACUGGUCUGUCAUCAAUUUGCCUGAGAGGUGGAGGAAAGUAACGACCUUGGUAAAAGUAGAAGCCAAACAAUGCUAUCUAUUAGCAAUGGCAGACUAUGGCUGAAGGCCAAAAAUCCGACAUUUUACGCUGCUGUUUCUGCUAUAAAGUGCCAUGGUGCUUCCGUCCUUCACAAAUUGGCUAUAGCAGUUGUCAAGAAAUCCGCCACUGUAAAUCGCCAUGACCAGUAUUUGACAACACUGGAGCUAGGUCAAGCAGAGAGUAAAAUGCACUAGACAUAUAGCAAUAGCAAAUUAACGAUCUUCCAACUUAGUUGACAUCUCUAAAUUCGUUAUGUUUUGGAGAGACCAGACUACCAAAAAUAUUUGUUUCUCAGAGCAAGUUUUAGGGUAAGUCUUCCACCUCAUUCAUACCCAAAUCUUCCGCUCCUUAGUCUUCUGGCAGUUGGUUACUCUGCCACUCCUCCCCUUUUCUACUCUGUCAUUCCCUUUUUCUUUUGUAAUUGUCUCUUAUCUCUAUUUCAUCCCCGUCCAUUCCCAAUCAGCCUAACAUCUUCGACUCCUUUUAUCCCUGCUAUAAACUUGGGUAAAAUGCUCUCAAAUAUUCAAUGCAAUUAUUUGCAGUUCGUAAUUGUACAACUAAAUUUUUGUUGUUAGUCUUUAUAGAUCAAUAAAAAAUUAGGAUGCCAAAUUUAUAUUGUUAUAGUCUUCUAGACAUUUUUAAUUCUUGUUUUACUCUAUUGGAUUUCUGAUGCCUGAAGGUAAAUGCUUGACUCUUUGUUUUAGAUAGAAGAAGCUCGGACCAAGGUUUCUGAAGUAUCAGCAAAGAUGUAUAAUGAGGUUCUUGAUGCACAUGAGAAAUCCAAUAAUUUGGAGAAUAAUUUGAAAGAUAUAACAAAGGAACAUAAAAACUUUAUCAAAGAAAAAGAAGUUAUUGAAAAGCAACAAACAACAGCAUUUAACAAGCGCGCAGAGCUUGAUGUCAAAGACUUGCAAGAGAAGAUCUCUCGAAAUGAACGUGACAAAGUAUUAUUCUAAUGAUGAUAUUAUGCUAUGAGUUAUAGUUCUUAUGAACAGGGUAGUUCUGUUCAUGAUUUAUCUUUGACCUACAUGGUUUUAGGGAGAUGCUGAAAAAGAAUUGAAGAUAUUUGAGAAACAAAUAGAAGACUCGAUGGAUGAACUGGGAAAAAUCAGUCCUAUAUAUGAUGGUCUGGUCCAGAGAGAAAAAGACAUUACAAUGAGGUAUAAUGUGGUUGUACAUGUCUACUGAUAAUGUUUUAAAGGUUAAUGGUGCUUUACCCCCUGUAAUAUAUGUCAUUUUUGGUUCUCCCCUGUAAAAUUUUUUUUUUUGAUUUAUCCCCCUGUAAUUUUAUUUUUUUUUGGAAUACCCCCCUAAUAGGUCGUAAUAAGCUGUUUUGUAUAACUAAGUUGUUUUGAAUAAGCGGUUUUUGAAAAUGAGGCCGUAAUAAGCUGUUUUUGAAAUAGAGGUCGUAUGAAGCUGUUUUGCAUAAAUAAGUUGUUUUGAAUAAGCAGUUUUUGAAAAUGAGGUCGUAAUAAGCUGUUUUUGCAUAAAUAAGCUGUUUGGAAUAAGUUGUUUUUGAAAAAGAGAUUGUAAUAAGUUGUUUUGUAUAAAUAAGCUGUUUUGAACAAGUUGUUUUUUGAAAAGAGGUCGUAAUAAGCUGUUUUGUAUACAUAAGCUGUUUUGGAUAAGUUGUUUUUGAAAAAGAGAUCGUAUUAAGCUGUUUUGAAUAAGCUGUUUUUUUUUAAAAGAGGUCAUAAUAAGCUGUUUUGUAUAAAUAAGCUUUUUUGAAUAAGUUGUUUUUUAAAAGAAGAUCGUAAUUAUUUGUUUUUCAUAAGAUAAGCUGUUUUUUAAAAAGAGGCCAUAAUAAAUUGUUUUUGUAUAAAUAAAUUGUUUUUAAAAUGUGGUUGUAAUAAGUUUUUUUUUUAAUUUUUUAUGAAUAAGUUGUUUUGAAUAAGUUGUUUUUUAAAAAUAGAUCGUAAUAAUUUGUUUUUCAUGAGAUAAGUUGUUUUGAAUAAAUUAAAAGUUAAAUUACAAAGUAUAACAAUGUAUUGAUUUUAAGAGGAAAAAGGUAAAAUAGUAAAAUUAUAACAUAAGCCCUCCAUUUCAUUUCUUUAUUGGCCUUUUAACUCCAGGAAGGUUUUCCCUCCUUUCUCCCUUCCCUCCCUUUCCUUCCCUUCCCCUCCUUAGCCUUUCCUUUCAUUCCCCUCAAAACUCGCAAACAAAGCCUUUUAAGAUUCAAGUAUCAAGUAUUUUUAGUUGGGGUCGGCUGCUGUGCUCCACUAUCUGUGAUUUGCAACACUGAUCAAUAGCUCUUGCCAUUGUCUGGUACUGUUACAGUAACUUUGCUCUCUUGUACUUCACUUUCCGUCUUGUUUUUUUUAUUUUUGUUUUGCGCCAGAGGAGAAAAAGCUGACGGAAGAAAUUGAACGACUUAAUGUUGAAAUGCAUGGUUGUGAUAUGGAUAUCGAGAGCCGUAGAACAAAUAUUAAUGCUUUGGAAUUUCAAAUGGCCAAGUUAUGUGAACGGUCUAAUAAGUUCGUAUCUUGUCUUUUUUUUUGUGAUGCACUAUAUGUUUUUGAUUUCAUAGUCAAUGAGUAUUUCUUAAUGUUUGAUAUUGUUAUAUUAUAGGUCCUUAUGGAGCAGAGAGAAUGAACUUACUGCUGAAAUUGAUAAACUGAGAGCAGAAGUUGAGAAGACUGAAAAGAGUCUUGAUCAUGCAAUUCCUGGUGUAAGUAGCCCAUCUUAAAAGCUUCUUUUAAAUGUGGUAUUUGCCAAUGCAUAAAAUGUAUAGGUCCCUUGUGGUGUUUCUGAGGCAUUGCACCUUUCACUACGGGUAAGGUACUUUGUGCUUGUUUAUUUUAUAUACUUUUAAACAUUUGUACAUACCCUGUAUGAAUUAACACAACAUGUGUUCAUAGAUGUAAACUAUUGUCAUUCUAAAAAUUUAGGAAAAACCUUGACUUUUCCUUAGGUGUUUUUACAACUAUUUUUAAUAUGCAACAACUUUUGGUCCAAAAGAAGCUGCAGGCUCGUUACCUCCAAAAAUGACAUGACAUUAAGUGAUAAAUAAUGAAAUAGAGCGAUUCGAUUAUAUUCCGUGGUUGCAGUACUUCUUACUUUUUAAAUAUGCUGAAAAGGAAAAGUUGGUACUACAAAUAUCCCACCAUGAAGGGGUCUAGGGAAAAGUCAAACUAUUAUGGUGAAUGAAUUUAAUAAUUGCUACAAGGUUUUACAUUAUUAAAAUUAAAUGUAUCUAAGUGUUUAGAAGUGCCGUUGAUAAAAUUAAAUGUAUCCCACUAAAUAAUACUUGUUCCUUUUUAACCGUCACUUUUAGAGAAAAAAUUUGUUUCUAAUUAACUGUCACUUUCAAAGUUCAUUGCAACAUUAAAUGAUGUUUUACCAAUAUUACCCUUAUAUAUUUAUUGCAGAAAGAGAAACAUAUGAAUUAAAAUAUUAAAUUAACAAGAUCAUUAUAGUAAAAGUAAAAACAAUUGUAUCAAAAGUAGUAACAUUUAUUAAUUGUCUUGGUUUGUGUAAAAUAUCAAAAAGUGACAAUUAAAAAGGAUCGGACGUAGUAGUAUAAGUGUUGGAGAAGUGUUGGUUUGACUUUUCGCAAGACCCAUUUAAUUUUUACUUCUAAACAAUUGACUUUUAAAUAAACAAUUAUUUAGUGCCAAACCAACACUUCUAAACACUUUCCCAUUUAAUUUUUACUUCUAAACAAUUGACUUUUAAAUAAACAAUUAUUUAGUGCCAAACCAACACUUUCUAAUCAACGCUCUCAAAAAAAAAAAAAACACUUUCUAAUCGAUUGAAAUUUAAAUGGGUCUAUGUUUAUGCCGGGCUUAUAUUAUUCAGUGAGAUACAUUUAAUUUUAUUCGAUUAAAGUGUGUUGAAGCGAGUGUUUGAAAGUGAGUUGAUAAAAAAUUUAAAAUCUAAUACUCCGGUUUUAAAUUUAAGCAAAAAUUCUCUUAUCAAAAUUCAUAUUAAUUGAAUAACUAAUUAGAUUUUUUUUAUAAGGCCAUGAGAAAGGUCGGGCAUCCGGGAGAAUCUGCAGCAUCCCAACUAGGUUGGCAUCCCACAGAAACCCCCAUCCUCUACCACCAUUCCAAUACGUAAUAUUAUUAAAAAAAGGGAAAAAUAUUUACAAAAGAGGGGGGACUAGGCCAAAACCCUCAAAAUGAAGAAAAAAGACAGAAAUAAAAAGGAACAGAAAAAGCUAAGGAAAUCUAUAGUUUGGUAGCCCAUUCCUGUCAUGUGCAAAGUCCGCCAACAACGUAGAAGGAAACAUGAUGAAGCAAGUAGCAUCAGCUAUGACAUGUCCUAGGGUUGCUAGGCCAGCCGUACAACCAUUUCCAUCCCGAAAAAUAUGAGAACUAAUAAUCAUCCAGAAAUACCUGCAAUAUAUAAUUUUGUUCCUCUGCAUACUGAGAAGAGACAAAAAUUACCGUAUAUAUAGAGCACAUACAUUCCUCCAAAACAUGAUAUUCAUUUAAACGGUGGAAGAGGACCAUGAGAGCGGGUUUUAUAUGAAACUUUUUGCAUAUUCUUUUUUUUCUGAGACUUGGAAACAACCUGUGUAAAUGGUACCUCGGUAGCUGCUGCCUUUGAUAGCCAAGUGUGCAUAAAAUCCAAGUCUUUUUGUAGCACCGGAUCUAUCUUAGAACCCUCGGGAGCCACAAUACUACUGAUAUCAAGAGUUUUAUUUUUUACGGGAGAUAAAACAGAUAUAGUAUUUCCCUCAAGAUUAUUAGCAACUAUAUCAUCGGAAACAUUCUCAAGCUGCAUACUAAAAUUAUUAUUUUAAAUAACAUGACUAGAAGUAUGAGUUACCACAGGUGACGAAAUUCCUCCCAGAGUGUCUGUGCAGUCUGCCCCUUGGUUUGCUACCAGGGUUGCAUCUAUAUGGUCAGGUAUUUCUUCCCCAUGAUUUUGGUCAUCAAACAUAGGAGUCGGUACAGCAGCAGGCACAACCUCUGAUCUGACAGGAACAAUAUCCUCCUCUUGCACCUCAUGUAAAUUAAUCUGGGCCGGAAUUUCAUCCUCUUGGUCCGUUUGUGAUUCAAUUGCAGAGGAAUUGUUGUUACUUCUGUUUGCUGCUCAGUAACACGAAUAUCUUGCUGAAUAUCAUCAUUUACUUCCCUUUCCUUUUCUAUAAAAAUCGGUGUUGAAUUAGUGCCAUGUGUUGCGCCAAAUGCUCUUGAAGAACCGAUCCCUGAAGGGUUGUCAGUCCUUGGAAUCCAAGUAUCUUUCGUUGCCUGAACUUGCUUUUUCCCAUGCGUUAUUUUUUCUUUGGCAACUGUUAUGUCCUUUGUGAUUUCCUUUCUAGGAUACAGUCUUCUGCAGACAGUGACGUCAUGGCCGAUAUUCUGACAGUGAGAACAGAAGUCGAGCAUCCAUUCAUAGGCCACGGCAACCAGGAAAACAUAUCCUUCCCUCUCAACAACAAUUUCAUGAAAAAUCUUACGGGAGAAAUCCAUAUCAACUAGAAUUCUCGCGUAGUGUCCAAACAAUCUCUUUGUUGUCGCAUUGUCUAUCACAAGAGGGGUUCCCACCGCACUUGCAAUCUCCCGGAGAGUUUGUUCCAUCCAGUACUCCUGCGGAAGUUCUAACAGGCGAAUCCAAACAUGAGCGUGAGUGUUUCGCUGCGUAUGCAUAUUGAAAUCCUUGGACCAUUCAAAAAGUCAAAGGACACCCGGUUUUAGCGUAACUGUGCCUGCUGCCCAGACAUUACAUUUAUCCAUCUCUGAAGCAAAGAAGAAUUCAUAAUAACCUCUUCCAAGAGACAUCAUGCGCCAUGAACCUGCAGUCUUCCAGUGCUUUUGUAAUUUCGAUUCAAUCUCCUUUGUAGAAUAGGCUUUCUCUCCUUUGUUUAAAACCAGACGUCCCCGUAGGUUGGUCUUACAGAAAUUCAUUCCACGUUCAUAUAGGAUCUGUGUGAUUUUGAUACUUAGUGUUUCUCCCAUAAUUGUUGGUGUUGGCAUGACAUUGGGGGCAGUCUGAUGGGAGGUUGUAAGAGCAUGUGCAAACGAAACCUUCGGCGAGACCGAUGGGGCAGGCGGUGAAAGGGCUGUGGCAACUUUUGGAGCGAUUGAGAUAGCAGACAUCUCAGCCUGCCAAUCAAACAUGGCGGCUGAGAUCAGAGAAGGAAAAAGGGGAAGCAAACACGUAAAAUGGUCUUGGAUUAGAAUGUUGUUUUGCUAACUUCCAAUUCUCCAAUGAAUUUUCCAAUUACGUAAACUAAUGGAACAAACGUGAUCCAAUUGAAUUGGUGUUCAAAUGCAACUAAGCCACCACUUCAAUAGCAAACACAAUCAGUGCAGUUCACACUAACAAGAAGCAACAAAUUUAUCCAAGAAUAAUAUACCUGAAUUGAAGAACGACGGAUUGGAAAUUGUAUGAAAAACUAUCCACCACUUCAAUAGAUAAGUUAUUCAAUGAAUGUGAAAAAAAAAAUCUUUUUUUUUUUGUCUAAUACCCCAGUGGCUAGAGCUUACACAAUUAAAUGUGGAGAAGUGAGGUAUACGGGGUUUGAACCUCAGCCCCUGCAUAAAUUAUGCAAUGUCCCUGCGUGAAAAAAAAAAUCCUUUAAUAAAUAAAUAAAUAACAUAAAUGCACCAUUUAGCAAGCUAGAGCCUAGAGGGUUGGUAUUCUUUUUUAUCAUCUACGGACCCCGGAAAAGAUGUCUUGUUUCUCUAUUUCAUAUGUUAAACUUCAUAAUAGAUACCAAUAACUUCACAUUGGAUUCGAAUCAACUUGAGUUGGUUUGAGACAUUGUAGUGUGAUGAUUCUCUUAAAGAUUUUAGAUUUAAUUCACUCUGAUGUCAAUUUCGAUGGAUUAGAUUAACUUAAAAAAACUUCAUAUUGGAUCUAGUGUAGUUUAUAGACAGUUGAAUUUCACUAAUUAACGCAUUCCAAUGUCAAAAUACACCAUCCGUCUCUAAAUAUAAGUAAAUUUUAUUUUUUAAGUUCAUUCAAUUAAUGAUGUAUGUGACUCAUAAUAUAAACUACAUACAUUAUUAAUUGAAUCAACCUAAAAAAUAAGAUUUGUUUGUAUUUAAAAACAGAGGAACUACAUUACAAAUGACAUACAUUACUGGUCUUCGAUAAAAAGCAAAAGCCGUUGAUAAUAACUGCCCGUUUGAUGUCUCCAUGUGAUUGGUAACAAGUUGGGACCAUCAAUGUUUUGUAGAUUUUGUCCAAAUAAAAAAUGUAUGAUUUCCUUUGUAUAUAUAUACUUUUUUUUUUGUCACAAAUAGAGUUUAUUUAUAUCAUUAUAUAAUGAAAACUGUAAAUUAACUACCGUUUGUAAUCAAUUUUGAUCGAAUUUUUUUCUAGACAAAUAUACUCUUAACAUUUUAAUUAACUUUUUUAAAUUUAAUUUUUCAAUAAGCCGAACCGAUCUACCGAAAUUUGUGUUGGAGAUAAUUGAACUUUAGACUUUGAAAGAAGUAAACUGCAAUGUUUUAAGUCAAUCACCAUCCGACAAUAUAGUUUAAGGAGUCAGAAAAUUAACUACUAAUUUUAGUCAAUCUUUUUCAAAACAAGUUUUCUUUUUGCAAUAUAAUUUUUUUUUUAAAAUUUAAAUUUGUAUUAAAAAAAAACAUGGAUAUAUUAACCGGAACGUAGAUGAUUUUAUAGAUAUUAUGAAUUUUCCCUAAAAAAAAGAUAUUAUGAAUUUAAAACAAGCAAAUCAAAAUUAAAAUAGAAUAGAUAAAGUAAAACGUUAUAAUUUAUUUAGACCAAAAAAAAAAACGGUAUAAUUUAGCUUCAAGCUAGUGUCUAGUGAUUUAAAAAUUAAGUUACUUGAUUGGUGUGGAGAAUAAAAUGGUCAAAAAAGGUUAGUGCUAAAGGUGCAUUUGAAAGAAGAAAUGUUACAUCAAAAUUUAGUAUCUUUUGCCAACAAAAAAAUUUCGUAACUUACAUAAUUAAAUGAAGAAUGAUUAAAUUAUAUAUAUAUAUAUAUAUAUAUAAUACUACAUCCCUUAAACUGGGAAAUUCAGAUUAAUUACAAACAGUUGUAACUACAUAUUUGAAAAGACCCUCAUCCAAUUAAUUCAUUCUUCUGCGAUUUGCGAUGGCUCUGUUGUUCGUUCUUUUCAAUCUUAUGUCAAACAUAUGUUCAACAUGUCUUGCAAGCCAUUCGGGUUUACCAGUGAAGAAGAAUACAUUAUAUCCCAAUAGCAACCCGAAUAUUGCCCCACAUGCAUAUCCGAUUGCUACCGCUUUCCAGCCAAAUCCGGAUUCUUCUUCAUCUUCAGAUGUUGAAUGAGGUGGCAGAUCUUCCUCAUUUUUGCAUGAUUUAGACAAUUGGAAUCCACACAACAUUGUAUUUCCUUCAAAAGAAUCAUUUCCAAAUGUAUUAAACUGUUGACCUUUAGGUAUGAUUCCCUCAAGAUGGUUUUGUGAAAGGUUUAAGACUGAGAGGAAGUUCAAAUUUGUCAAAGCCACAGGAAUCUCACCCUUCAAUUGGUUGCAUGAGAGGUCCAACCACUCCAAAUUUCUCAAAUGACUCAAAGAUUGUGGAAUGCUACCUAUGAUUCCAUUGUUUGAAAGGUUAAGUCCUUUGAGAGAAUUUAAUUCUCCAAUGACUUGUGGAAUUUCACCUUCAAACAUGUUAUUUGAUAAAUCAAUAGUUGUGAAAGUAGUCAAUAUCUUUGUUAGCUCCAUGAAAAAACCUUUCAUUGUGACCACAACAGAAUCAUUGUAGUAAUAAGAGUCACCCAUGUAUUGCAAACCAGUGUUAUUGUCAUUCACAUUCAUCAUUCCUUGAAAGUUCUUGAUGCAUGAUGUUGGCAAGGGCCCACUAAAAUUGUUGUUAGAGACAUCAAAAAUUCUCAACUUGGGAAAUGUAUGCUUGGUGCUAGAACAGGUGAUUGCACCAUGAAGAUUAUUUGAUCGUAAACUUAUCACCUGUAACUCUGGUAGAGUUUCUAGCCAAUCAGGAAAUGUAUCCUCAACGUUGUUGUCACCAAGGUCCAAAACUUCAAGAUAUGAACAGUUAGCCAAAGAUUGUGGUAAUGGUCCUUCCAAUUGGUUGCCAUUCAACUUUAUAGUCUCAAAUGCAUUUCCUUUGGAGAAGGUUCUAGGAAUGCUUCCAUAGAGGUUGUUCAUUUGCAUAUCCAAUACAGUAAGAGAAGUUAAUGUUCCCAGGCAUUGUGGAAUCAUACCUGUCAAAUUGUUGUGAGCCAAAUCGAGCAUAUAAAGGGAACUGGCAUUGCAGAAUGUUGAAGAAAUGUAUCCUGUGAAGUUGUUAUUUGAGAGUGAAAAGUAUUUAAUGCCAGAAGGUGGAAUUGGAAGAUCUCCUUGAAAGUUGUUGUGAGCCAAAUUGAGGGUAUAAAGGGAACUUGCGUUGCGGAAUGUUGAAGAAAUAUUUCCUGUGAAGUUGUUAUUUGAGAGUAAAAAGUAUACAAUGCCAUCAGGUGGAAUUGGAAGAUGUCCUUGCAACAUGUUGAAACUAAGAUCAAUGUACCGAAUGUCCUUCCAUGUGUUUAAGAGCUUCUUAUGAAACCAUUUGGG
rnacentral:lncRNA from 1 species